GCGAAUGCCAAAACAACCAACCGAGAACUCUGGAAUAUUGGAGAAAAACAAGAGAUGAUGAGCUAUCCCAGCAAUUUAAGCACAAGAUGUAAGCACAAGAUGUCGCUUAGCAUUUGGAUUCAAAGGGUUACCCCGGACAAGAAGAGUCCUCCUCGGAGCUUCUAUACACGGUGUGUGAGUAGUCAGAUAAUUUUUUUCUACUCGGCCGACAUGCACCCAACGCAUGCAGGGUGGGAGAAAAUAAUGAAGUGGCUGGAGAAUACCUUGAGAGAUUUCAUAGAAGAUAGAUUAGGACUAGCUUAGACUAUAGCUGUCCUGGAUUCUCAAAAUUUAUAUUAUAUAUUUGCAUCCUUUUCUGGAAAUUAUCUUUAGAAUUAGUAAUUAAUGUCUUUCAUCUGUCACGUGCGUAUGUUUUUCAUCCACCUCGAUGUACCUAACCUCACCAUGAUAUCAUGGGUAGCGAGGACACCCAGCACAAAGGAGAACACACCGCGGGAGAGUCUCCCCGGCUAGCCUCGACUGAAUCCACCUCUGAGUUUGACGCAUGUAGACUGCUAUGUGUAUUUCCACAUGAAGGUGGAGGUGUAAUUUCAUAGUGACCUUUAUCUAUCUCAAGAAUCAACCAUUAAUGUUGUUUUUUAUGUCUUCUGCAUUGAGGGCAAGAGGACAUUCAAAUUCAAGAGAAGAUGUCAAUGCAUCAAUUCAUUAACCGAUCCAAUUUCUUUGCUGAGAAAUAUUAUUGUGAAGUCAAGCCGGUGGGAAGUGGAAGGUUGAAAAAGUUGCUGCAAAAACUUCACCCUUUCUCAAGUGAGACCAUUUAUUUUAGGGGACUGUUAGGCGUCCACCCACGGAUGCGCGUUAUACAUCUGUCAUCUCGUUGGCCAUUGGAUCUACACGUAGGCAGCCGUCGAUCGCUUGUCAUGUUCCGCUCCACUACAGGAAUCAGACCCUUUGACGUCUGCCUGCCAUAGCAGACGACAAAGGCCUUUGCCGUCAGCCUCAUGUCGGCAAAAUUUCUGCGACAGCUUUCGACGACAAAGUACCUUCUUUGUCGUGUGCCACCACAAAGCGGACAGCAAAGACCACCGUGUGCCAGGGCGAUGGUGGAGGGGGCACGGAGAGGAGGGGCAGUGGUGGAGGAGGGGGCACGAAGAGAAGGGGCGGUGGUGGAGGAGGGGGCACGAUGGUGGAGGAGGGGGCGUAGAGAGGAGGAGGGCCCGGGGUGGAGGAGGAGGGGGCACGGAGAGGAGGGGAGAUGGUGGAGGAGGGCUGUGAGGAGGGCGAGCUCCGACAACGGGUCGCGGGGAAGAGGGGAGGGCGAGCUCCGGCAACGGGUCGCGGGGAGGAGGGGAGGGUGAGCUCCGGCGGCGCGGUGGGUUUCAUGGGUGCCGGGAGAGAGAAGAGAGAGAUCAUUAUGAGAGAGAGAGGGGGUGUGGGUGGGGGCCGAUGUCCGCUAGGGCUAUUUGGCUCUUUGCCGUCUGCCCCCCGACGGCAAAGAGGUAUAAGGCAGACGGCAAAGAGAGAGACCGUUAUGGGGAGAGAGGGGGUGUGGGGUGGGCCACCCCGUGCUCUUUGUCGUUUGUCUGCCUGUUUUUUGCCGUCAGCUAGCAAACGAGAAGAGCGGUCAGUUCUUUGCCGUCUGGCAUUAGUCNNNNNNNNNNNNNNNNNNNNNNNNNNNNNNNNNNNNNNNNNNNNNNNNNNNNNNNNNNNNNNNNNNNNNNNNNNNNNNNNNNNNNNNNNNNNNNNNNNNNUUGUGUGUAUCAAACGUCACAACGUAACUGGGUGACUAUAAAGAUGCUCUACAGGUAUCUCCGAAGGUGUCCGUUGAGUUAGUAUGGAUCAAGACUGGGAUUUGUCACUCCGUGUGACGGAGAGGUAUCUCGGGGCCCACUCGGUAAUACAACAUCACACACAAGCCUUGCAAGCAAUGUGACUUAUUGUAAGUCACGGGAUCUUGUAUUACGGAACGAGUAAAGAUACUUGCCGGUAAACGAGAUUGAAAUAGGUAUGCGGAUACUGACGAUCGAAUCUCGGGCAAGUAACAUACCGAAGGACAAAGGGAAUGACAUAACGGAUUAUAUGAAUCCCUGGCACUGAGGUUCAAACGAUAAGAUCUUCCUAGAAUAUGUAGGAUCCAAUAUGGGCAUCCUGGUCCCGCUAUUGGAUAUUGACCGAGGAGUCCCUCGGGUCAUGUCUACAUAGUUCUCGAACCCGCAGGGUGUGCACACUUAAGGUUCGGCGUUGUUUUAUGCGUAUUUGAGUUAUAUGGUUGGUUACCGAAUGUUGUUCGGAGUCCCGGAUGAGAUCACAAAUGUCAUGAGGUUUUGCGGAAUGGUCCAGAGACGAAGAUUGAUAUAUAGGAUGACCUCAUUUGAUUACCAGAAAGUUUUCGGCAUUACUGGGAAUGUACCGGGAGUGACGAAUGGGUUCCGGAUGUUCACCAAGGGGGGGNNNNNNNNNNNNNNNNNNNNNNNNNNNNNNNNNNNNNNNNNNNNNNNNNNNNNNNNNNNNNNNNNNNNNNNNNNNNNNNNNNNNNNNNNNNNNNNNNNNNGAAUUCAAUCUACUAAACUUCCCACUUGGUCCCCUUCGGAAUCUUAUUUUGACUCAUCCCCAGACCACUAGUCAGGCACAAGUCCAAAUGAUCCUCUCCCUUUCGACAUUGAGCACUCUUGCAAUGGAUGAGCGCAAGCAAGAUAUGUUGGCACUUUGGAUGGCAAAUAGAAUAAUGAUGGGGAAGGAAGACAAAAAGGUGUGAACGGCUCACAUCGAUGAGGACAACCAUAGGCGAGAGAAAGCCAAAUGAUAGAUAUGAUGUGAGGAGUAGGGAUUUCCAUGCAAUGGAUGCACAUAUGAGCUAAGGUAAGCUCUCCAAUAGAACUAGUGGGGGUGCAUCCAACUUGCUUGCUCAUGAAGACCUAGAGCUCAUUUGAGGAGGCUCAUCAUUGAAAUAUGAAAGCCAAGUUCUAUAGUUUAAGGGUUCCCACAUAGUUAUGCAUAAAUGAUAAUCUCUAUGGGGUACAAAUAUAGCAGUGGAGUACGAGUGUGGAUAUUUCAAAAGGAAUAGUAGUGUUGCCCCCUUCUCUCUUUUUAUUUCUUUAUUUCUUUUUCUCUUUUUUUUAUUUUUUUUUGUUCUCUUUGGCUCUUUCUAUUUAUUUCUCAUUCGUCCUCUUUGAGAUCUGUUCAUUUGUCCUCUUUGGGAUCUUUUCCUCACUUAAGGGCAACAUUCUAUGUUUUACAAAAAUAAAAAUAAGAUCAUCACACUUUAUAAGAACUACUCAACAUAAAGACAAAUGAAAACUAUCAUGAUGUAUGCAAAUGUAUUCCUCUGCCAAUGUAGCAGGAUAUGCAAUGAUACUAGCGCGUCAUGUAGCAAUAAUAAGGGCAAGGCCCAACUAGCAUGCGGCUCCUCGAUCAAGCAAAAGCAUGUAUGACAUGAAGAUCAAGUCAUGAGAUGGUGGAUGUUGCAUGGCAAUGUAUCUCGGAAAGGCUAUGGAAAUGCCUUAAUAGAUAGGUAUGGUGGCUGUUUUGAGGAAAGAUAUAAUGAGGCUUAUGAUGACAUAGCGUAUCAUGCCAAGGGUUUGGAUGCACCGGCGAAGUUCGCACCAACUCUCAAGAUGAGAAAGGGCAAUGCACAGUACCGAAGAGGCUAGCAAAAUAUGGAUGGUGGAAGUGCCUACAAUCGAAUACUCACAUUAGUCCAAAGAACUCAUACACUUAUUAUUGGUAACUCACUAUCUAGUUAGGAAAUUCACAAAGAUACAAGUACCCCGAGGAGGAGUGUUUGGGGGUUUGGUUAUCCUUGUGCAUCCUCGAUCCAUGGUAACGUGAGGGUACUCUAUAUAUUCCAACCCCUCCAGAGGUUAGCGAUCAAUAUAGUAGCUAGAGUUCUCAAAUAAUUUUUAGUUUUUGAAAAACACACAGAUUUCCCAAAAUAUGACACCUAUCACUAAUAGGCUCAAGCUCUUGGCACCAAUAGUCCAAACAUUACUCAAAUCAAUACCUGAAAACUAUUGCAAGUUACUACUAUACUUAAAUAGCAACCUCAGUUACCUACUCAUGCAAGACACACAACUCAGUGCAACAAGCCAACUCUCUAAACAAGAUAAGCAUGAUAACUCAAGAGAGUUCCAAAAGCAACCUAAAUAAAAUCUCUUAAAAAGAUAUAUCAUGAAAACUAAGAGCUAAGCAUGACAUCAGCUAUGUAAAGAUAGAGAACACACAAAAAAGAUAAGCAUGAAAACUAUGUUCUGUUCUAGGGUGGAAUGGAGCGUGUUUCUGUCCCAAACAAGGAAGGAUAGGUUUCGACUUGUUAUGAACAUCAAGCAAAACUAAACAAACUAAAAAAUAAAGAGUGGUACGCUCCAAGCAUAGCACAUAACAUGUGAAGUGAUAAAAGUAUAGCAUGGAGAUGGAGGAAUUGAUGGUUGUUGAUAGAGAAGGGGAUGCACGGGGGCAUCCCCAAGCUUAGACACUUGAGUCUCCUUGAAUAUUUAUUGGGGUGCAUGGGGGCAUCCACAAGCUUGAGCGCUUGACACUCCUAGAUCUUCUUUCAUCAUCUUCCAUCGCAUACUUGAAAACUCCCUUCAUACGAAACUCAUCAUAAGCUGAUUAGAGUGGUUAGUGCCCGUGAUAAAAAAAUUCAUUACCUACUAGAAAUAAUGAUUUUCAUGAAAAGCUAAUGUUUCUCAUGAUUUCCAAAAGGAUUUUGCAAAGGAAAAGCAAGCUUAAGAUUUGCAAAAUGAUGAAAACGCAAAACGUGGCAGAAUUUGUGAAAAACAGAACAUCAGGUAGUAAAUAUUUUUUUGGGCCACUUCUGUAACUCAAAUCAAAAUACUCAGAAUAGAUGCCAGAAAGACAAUUAUAUAGAGCAUUCUGUAAAAUAAUUCAGAUCAAAAACAUGAUCUGGUGAUUUUUGGCGAAUUUGUCCGUCAAGCAGACAGAAUCUAUUUCUGGACGGCAUGUCACAACUUUUGAACUUUCUUGCAAUCGGAGGCUAAAACUUGAGACAAAUCUUAAAAAUAAAGAUACAAUGAUGUAGCUACAGUAGUAACACACAUCAAGACCACUAAAAACUGAAAGUAAAAACUCAAAGUAAAGAUAACAAGGGUUGUCUCCCUAGAGCUCUUUCUUUAUAGCCAUAAAGAUAGGCUUAACAUUUUAAUGAUGCUCUCAUAGGAAUAAGAGUUGUAUAACAAAAGAGAGCAAGAAGCAAAUACCAAACAUAUUUAAGUCUAACAUGCUUCCUAUGCAUAGGAAUAUUGCAAUAGAAUAAUUCAUUGAAGCACAAAGCAAUAAGCAUAGGAAGGCAAAACAAGUGCAGCUUCAAAACCUUCAACAUAAAGAGAGGGAACUUGAUAUUAUUGAAAUAUCUAUAAGCAUAUGUUCCCUUCUCAUAAUAAUUUUCAGUGGGAUCAUGAAUAAACUCAACAAUAUAAGUAUCACAUAAAAGCAUUGUUACCAUGAUCCACAUGGACUUCUUGAAGAGGAUAAACCUUGGAGUAAAAGAGAGGUAUUAAAUCUUGCCAAUUUAGCAAAUGAGAGUUAUCAAGAAGCCUAUACCAAUCAAAAGCCUUAUCUUUUAUUGAUAGAGAGAAUAACUUUCUCAUAACAAAAUCCAUCGAUAUACCUCAAGCUUAAAUAAGAAGCAUAGUUGUGAAAGAUAUAGCAAGUGUUCGCCUCGAUGUCUAUCUCCUGCAUAUCGAUUAGCCAAGACACAAUCAAUAAUGUUGGUUGGUAUUUUAAAGGGCACAAUUUCCGUAGGUAGGGGAGGCUUCACCACCACAAUAGCGGUGGGGUGGUUCCCCACAAGAAACAAGCCAAGAGAAUAGUUGUCCAUAAGCCUAACUAGUGAAAAUAAAAACAAGAAACAAAAAGAUUUAAUUGCAAGAUCUAAAGAUAUACCUACAAGCACUCAACUUCCCGGCAACGGCGCCAUAAAUAGCUUGAUGUCUAUGCACGCUUCUAUUUUUGUAGACUAUGUUGGGCCUCCACGUGCAGAGGUUUGUGGGACAACAGCAAUUUCCCUCAAGUGGAUGACCUAAGGUUUAUCGAACUCACGGAAGUACAGGUUGUAAGAUGGUCUCUCUCAAGCAACCCUGCAAUUAAGAUACAAGAAGUCUCUUGUGUCCCCAACACACCUAAUACAAUUAACAGUUGUAUAGGUGCACUAGUUCGGCGAAGAUAUGUUAAAAAGACAAGUGAUAUGGAUGGGAAAACAAGGUAUUGUAAAUCUGAAAUACAAAUGGAAGCAAGGUAGCAAGUGACAAAAGUGAGCAUAAACGGUGUAACAAUGGUGAGAAACAAGGCCGAGGCUUCAUACUUUCACUAGUAGCAACUCCCAACAACAUUAACAUAGUCUAAUCACAUGAUAUUUCCACUAAAACAUGCAAUGGAGACGUACUCAGAGGUCAUUCCUUUCUGAUCAAGAGAGGACAAGAAUUAUGUAGGGCUACAAAAGCACACCUCGGAGUUUGUAGUUCUCUUCUAUGGAUUUCCCAAUGUCACUUCGGCCAUCCAAAGAGAGUACCACAAUCACCACAACGUAUCUCAAGGACAGUCAAAGACAAGCACCAAGAGACUCUCAAUGUCAAUCAAUUCACAAAAGAGGAAACCACUCAUGAAAAUAUUCUUCUAAUCCAUGUCCAAUAGACCGCUGUCACCAUGGUCUCAGGGAUUAUACUACAUAAGAUCAAGUGAGUACAUCAACCCAAUACAUAGAAUAAGGGGAAACAUCAUGAGAUCGCCCUAGAUUAACAUAGCCUAUGAUCACAAUAAAUAUCACAUCAUGGGAGAGAGAAUUAACCACAUGACUACUGUAGAAGACUACUGUAGAAGACCUCAACCCCGAGGAGGAACUACUCCUGCUUCAUGGAGGGAGGAAGCAACGUCGAUGGAGAUCAAUCCGGGGGCACUUCCCUGUCCCGACAGGGUGCUCGCACAGGAAUUUUGGUCCCCCGAAACUUGUUGGCGAUGGCGGCAGAGAUCGGAAUUGCUUCUGGGGAAAAGGGUUCGAGAAUCAGCGUUUCCUCCAUGGGGGUAAAAAUAGGAGCCAAGGUAGGGCACCAGAGGAUGUGGGCCCCACCCAGGCGACCUGUGGGCGCGGCGAGGAGGUAAGCCGCGCAGGGAGGCCGUCUGGGCAGGCCCUGGCUCCCCUCUUGCCCAUCGUCGUGCUUUGUGAAGCUUCCGUCAUGUUGAGUUUUAUAUAUUUUUCUCGGGAUUUUUGGGACUCUAUAAAUUGGGGUAAAAGUCCGUGCAAAAAAGACAUCAGCAGACAAAAACUGGCACUGGGUGCACUGAGUUAGUAGGUUAGUCCAAAUAUGUGUAAAAAGGUAUGAAAGUGUAGCAAAACAUAUAACAAUGUCACCCAAAAGAUCAUGGAGCAAACAGAAAUUAUAGAUACGUUUGGGGUGUAUCACACACCAUGUCCCUAGCGAGCCUCAAGUUGACUAGUCAUUGAUCAAUAGAUGGUCCUGGUUUCCUGACCAUGGACAUUGGGUGUCGUUGAUAACGGGAUCACAUCAUUAGGAGAAUGAUGUGAUGGACAAGACCCAAUCCUAAGCAUAGCACAAGAUCAUGUAGUUCAUCUGCUAGAGGUUUUCUAAUGUCAAGUAUAAUUUCCUUAGACCAUGAGAUUGUGCAACUCCCGAAUACCGUAGGAAUGCUUUGGGUGUAUUAAACGUCACAACAUAACUGGGUGACUAUAAAGGUGCACUACAGGUAUCUCCGAAAGUGUCUAUUGGGUUCGUACGAAUCGAGACUGGGAUUUGUCACUCCCUGUGACAGAGCGGUAUCUCUGGCCCACUCGGUAAUACAUCAUCAUAAUGAGCUAAUUGUGACUAAGGAGUUAGUAAAAGAAUGAGUAAAGAGACUUGCCGGUAACGAGAUUGAACAAGGUACCGGGAUACCGACGAUCGAAUAUCGGGAAAGUAACUAUUGGAAAUAUGCCUAGAGGCAAUAAUAAAAUUCUUAUUAUUAUAUUUCCUGUUUCAAGAUAAUCGUUUAUUAUCCAUGCUAUAAUUGUAUUGAAUGGAAACAUAAAUGCAUGUGUGGAUAUAUAGACAAAACAAUGUACCUAGUGAGUCUCUAGUUGACUAGCCUGUUGGUCAAGGAUGGUUAAGGUUUCCUAGCCGUAGACAAGUGUUGUCACUUGAUGACGGGAUCACAUCAUUAGAAGAAUGAUGUGAUGGACAAGACCCAAACUAUAAACAUAGCCUAUGAUCGUGUCAUUUUGUUGUAGUUGUUUUCUGCAUGUCAAGUAUACAUUUAUAUGACCAUGAGAUCAUGUAACUCACUCACACCGGAGGAAUGCCUUGUGUGUAUCGAACGUCGCAACGUUACUGGGUGACUAUAAAGGUACUCUAUAUGCAUCUCCGAAGGUGUCCGUUGAGUUACCAUGGAUCAAGACUGGGAUUUGUCACUCCGUGUGACAGAGAGGUAUCUCGGGGCCCACUCGAUAAUACAACAUCACAAACAAGCCUUGCAAGCAAUGUGACUAAAGAGUUAGCCACGUGAUCUUGUAUUACGAAAUAAGUAAAGAGACUUUCCGGUAACGACACUAAAAUAGGUAUGGCGAUACCGACGAUCAAAUCUCGGGCAAGUAACAUACCGAAGGACAAAGGGAAUGAUAUACGGGAUUGUGUGAAUCCUUGACAUAGAGGUUCGACCGAUAAGAUCUUCGUAGAAUAUGUAGGAUCCAAUAUGGAUGUCCAGGUCCUGCUAUUGGAUAUUGACCAGAGAGUGUCUCGGUCAUGUCUACAUAGUUCUCAAACCCGCAGGGUCUGCACACUUAAGGUUCGGUGACGUUUUUGGUAUAGUUGAAUUGUUGAUGUUGGUAACUGGAUGUUGUUCGGAUUCCCGAAUGAGAUCCCGGACGUCAUGAGUGUCUCUGGAAUGGUUCGGAAACGAAGAUUGAUAUAUAGGAUUGUUGCAUUUGCCUUCCGGAAAGAUUUCAUGCAUUACCUGUAAAGUACCGGGAGUGACAAAUGGGUUUCGGGGUUUUACCGGGAGGGGUCACCCACCCAGGAGAGGACCUAAUAGGCCCAUGGGUGGCGCACAAGCCCUUAGAGGUCUGGUGAGGCCAACCCAAUAAGCCUAUUUCGGCCAAGGCAAAAAAAGAGGAAAAGGAAAAAAAAAGAGAAGGAAGUGUUGGGGAACGUUGCAUGGGAAACAAAAAAAUUCCGACGCACACGAAGUCCUAUCAUGGUGAUGUCCAACUACGAGAGGAGAUUAGAUCUACGUACCCUUGUAGAUUGCUAAGCGGGAAGCGUUAAGAAACGCGGUUGAUGUAGUGGUACAACUUCGUGAUUCAAAUCACCCUUGUCCAACGAUCCGUCCCACGAUCCAUUCCGAUCUAGCGCCGAACGGACGGCACCUCCGCGUUCAGCACACGCACAGCUCGAUGACGAUCUCGUCCUUCUUGAUCCAGCAAGAGAGACGGAGAAGUAGAUGAGUUCUCCGGCAGCAUGACGGCGCUCCACUGGUGGUGAUGAUCUACUCCUGCAGGGCUCCGCCCGAGCUCCGCAGAAAUCCGAUCUAGAGGUAAAACUAUGUGGUAUAGGUUUGAGUUGCAUGUGGCAAAGUUGUGUCUCAAAAAGCCCUAAAACCACCAGUAUAUAUAGGAGGAGGGGAGGGGCUAGCCUUGGGGCUCAAGGAGCCCCUUGGUGCGCCGGCCGAAGGGAGAGGAGGACUCCUACUCCAAUUCGGUUUGGGGAAGGAGGAGUCCACCUCUUCCUUCCCACCUCCCUCUUUCCUCUUUUUUCCUUUCCUUUGGUAUUUUUUUUCCUUGUGGCGCCAUGGCCCUAUUGGGCUAGCCUCACCAGCCCACUAAGGGUUGGUGCGCCAUCCUAGGGUCACUAGGCUCACUCCCGGGUGGGUGGGCCCCUCCUGGUGAAUACCCGGAACCCAUUCGUCACUCCCGAUACACUGCCGGUAAUGCCUAAAACUUUCCGGUGACCAAAUGAAACCAUCCUAUAUAUCAAUCUUCAUUUCCAGACCAUUCCGGAAACCCUCGUGACGUCCGUGAUCUCAUCCGGGACUCCGAACAACAUUCGGUAACCACACAUAUAACUCAACUAUACUAAAACAUCAUCGGACCUUAAGUGUGCAGACCCUGCGGGUUCGAGAACUAUGUAGACAUGACCCAAGACACUCAUCGGUCAAUAUCCAAUAGCGGGACCUGGAUGCCCAUAUUGUAUCCUACAUAUUCUCCGAAGAUCUUAUCGAUUGAACCUCAGUGCCAAGGAUUCAUAUAAUCCCGUAUGUCAUUCCCUUUGUCCUUCGACAUGUUACUUGCCCGAGAUUCGAUCAUCGGUAUCCGCAUACCUAUUUCAAUAUCGUUACCGGCAAGUCUCUUUACUCGUUCCGUAAUACAAGAUCCCGUGACUUACACUUAGUCACAUUGCUUGCAAGGCUUGUGUGUGAUGUUGUAUUACCGAGUGGGCCCCGAGAUACCUCUCCGUCACACGGAGUGACAAAUCCCAGUCUUGAUCCAUACUAACUCAAUGGACACCUUCGGAGAUACCUGUAGAGCACCUUUAUAGUCACCCAGUUACGUUGUGAUGUUUGAUACACACAAGGUAUUCCUCCGGUGCCAGUGAGUUAUAUUAUCUCAUGGUCAUAGGAAUAAAUAAUUGACACACAGAAAAAAAUAGCAACAAAAUGACACGAUCACAUGCUAUGUUCAUAGUUUGGGUCUAGUCCAUCACAUGAUUCUCCUAAUGAUGUGAUCCAGUUAUCAAGUGAAAACACUUUGCAUAUAGUCAGGAAACCUUGACUAUCCUUGACCAACUGGCUAGCCAACUAGAGGCUUGCUAGGGACAUUGUUUUGUCUAUGUAUCCACACAUGUAUCUAUGUUUUCAUUCAAUACAAUUAUAGCAUGGAUAAUAAANUUGACAUCCAUCUGCCAGAUUUCAUAAUCAAAAAAUGCAGCUAUUGCUAACAUGAUUCGGACGGACAUAAGCAUCGCUACCGGUGAGAACGUCUCAUCGUAGUCAACUCCUUGAACUUGUGAAAAAACCUUUGCCACAAGUCGAGCUUUAUAAACAGUCACAUUACCAUCCGCGUCUGUCUUCUUCUUAAAGAUCCAUUUGUUUUGAAUAGUCUUGCGGCCUUCAGGUAAUACUUCCAAGGUCCACACUUUGUAUUCAUACAUAGAUCCUAUCUCGGACUUCAUGGCCUCGAGCCAUUUAUUGGAAUUCGGGCCCACCAUUUCUUCUUCAUAAUUCAUAGGUUCAUUAUUGUCUAACAACAUGAUUGAUAAGACAGGAUUACCGUACCACUCAGGAGUAGUACGUGAUCUUGUCGACCUGCGAGGUCCGAUAGUAACUUGAUCCGAAGUUUCAUGAUCAUCAUCACUAACUUCCUCCUCCACCGGCGUCGCUUCGACAGAGGUUUCCCCUUGCCCUACGCCACCAUCUAGAGGGAUUAGAGGUUCGACAACCUCAUCAAGUUCUAUCUUCCUCCCACUCAAUUCUUUCAAGAGAAACUCCUUCUCAAGAAAAGCUCUGUUCUUAGCAACAAACACUUUGCCCUUCGAUUUGAGAUAGAAGGUGUACCCAACUGUCUCCUUUAAGUAACCUAUGAAGACGCACUUUUCCGCUUUGGGUUCCAUCUUUUCAGGCUCAAGCUUUUUGACAUAAGCAUCACAUCGCCAAACUUUAAGAAACGACAACUUUGGUCUUUUGCCAUACCACAGCUCGUAUGGUGUCGUAUCAACGGAUUUUGAUGGUGCCCUAUUUAAAGUUAAUGCAGCUGUCUCUAAUGCAUAACCCCAAAACGAUAACGGCAAAUCAGUAAGAGACAUCAUAGAUCGCACCAUUUCUAACAAAGUACGAUUACGACGUUCGGACACACCAUUACACUGUGGUGUUCCAGGCGGUGUAAAUUGUGAAACAAUUCCACAUUGUCUUAAGUGAGCACCAAAGUCGAAACUGAGAUAUUCACCCCCUCGAUCAGAAUGUAGGAACUUGAUCUUCUUGUUAUGACGAUUUUCAACUUCACUCUGAAAUUGCUUGAACUUCUCAAACGUUUUAGACUUGUGCUUCAUCAAGUAGAUAUAUCCAUACCUACUCAAAUCGUCAGUGAAGGCGAGAAAAUAACGAUAUCCACCGCGCACCUCCACACUCAUUGGACCGCACACAUCGGUAUGUAUGAUUUCCAACAAGUCACUUGCACGCUCCAUUGUUCCGGAGAACGAAGUCUUAGUCAUCUUGCACGUGAGGCAUGGUUCACACGUGUCAAGUGAUUCAAAAUCAAGUGACUCCAAAAGCCCAUCGGAAUGGAGUUUCUUCAUGCGCUUUACACCAAUAUGACCUAAGCGGCAGUGCCACAAAAACAUGGCGCUAUCAUUGUUAACUCUACAUCUUUUGGACUCAAUGUUAUGUAUAUGUGUAUCAUCGCUAUCAAGAUUCAAUAGGAACAAUCCUCUCACAUUGGGUGCAUGACCGUAAAAGAUAUUACUAAUAGAAAUAGAACAACCAUUAUUCUCUGACUUAAACGAGUAACCAUCUCGCAANNNNNNNNNNNNNNNNNNNNNNNNNNNNNNNNNNNNNNNNNNNNNNNNNNNNNNNNNNNNNNNNNNNNNNNNNNNNNNNNNNNNNNNNNNNNNNNNNNNNNNNNNNNNNNNNNNNNNNNNNNNNNNNNNNNNNNNNNNNNNGCAAUAAACAAGAUCCAGAUGUAAUGUUCAUGCUUAACGGAGGUAACCUUCUCGCAAUAAACAAGAUCCAGAUAUAAUAUUCAUGCUUAACGCAGGCACUAAAUAACAAUUAUUGAAGUUCAUAACUAAUCCUGAUGGUAACUGAAGUGAGACUGCGCCGACGGCGAUUGCAUCAACUUUGGAACCAUUUCCCACGCGCAUCAUCACUUCAUCCUUCACCGGCCUUCAUAUAUUCCGCACUUCUUGCUUCGAGUUGCAAAUAUGAGCAACAGAACCCGUAUCAAAUACCCAGGCACUACUACGGGAGUUGGUUAAGUACACAUCAAUAACAUGUAUAUCAAAUAUACCUGAUUUUUCCUUGGCCGCCUUCUUAUCAGCCAAAUACUUGGGGCAGUUGCGCUUCUAGUGACCCAGUCCCUUGCAAUAAUAACACUCUGUUUCAGGCUUAGGUCCAGCCUUGGGUUUCUUUGUCGGAUUGGCAACAGGCUUGCCGCUCUUCUUGGAGUUACCCUUCUUGCCUUUGUCAUUUCUCUUGAAACCAGUGGUCUUAUUGACCAUCAACACUUGAUGCUCUUUCCGGAGUUCUGACUCUACGACUUUUAGCAUCGCGUAUAAAUCGCCGGGUGACUUGUUCAUCCCUUGCAUGUUAUAGUUCAAAAAAAAGAUCUUAUAGCUAGGUGGCAGUGAUUGAAGAUUUUCUGUCAGUGAUAGCCUCUUGCGGGAGUUCAAUCCCCAGCUUAGCUAGACGGUUUGAGUACCCAGACAUUAUGAGCACAUGUUCACUGACAAACGAAUUCUCCUCCAUCUUGCAAGCAUAGAAUUUAUCGAAGGUCUCAUACCUCUCGAUCCGGGCGUUCUUCUGAAAGAUAAACUUCAACUCCUGGAACAUCUCAUAUGUUCCAUGACGCUCAAAGCGACGUUGAAGUCCCGGUUCCAAGCCAUACAAGACUGCACAUUGAACUACUGAGUAGUCCUCCUUACGUGUUAACCAGGCGUUCAAAACCUCUUGGCUAGACGUAGCGGGUGGUUCAUCUCCUACUGCAGCAUUAAGGACAUAAUCCUUCUUCCCAGCUCGCAGGAGCAACUUUAGAUUACGAGCCCAGACUACAAAGUUGCUUCCAUCAUCUUUCAACUUAGCUUUCUCUAGGAACGUAUUAAAAUUCAGGGUUGCUACUGCGUCAGCCAUUGAUCUACAACACAAAUAUUGCAAAGUGGACUUAGACUAUGUUUAAGAUAAUUAGAGUUUAACUAAUCAAAUUACUGAUAAACUCCCACUGAAAAAGUACAUCUCUGUAGUCAUUUGAGUGGUACAUGAUCCAAAUUCACUAACUCAAGUCUGAUCAUCACGUGAGUUGAGAAUAGUUUCAGUGGUAAGAAUCUCUAUGCUAAUCAUAUCAACUAUAUGAUUCAUGCACGACCUUUCGGUCUCAUGUGUUCCGAGGCCAUGUCUGCACAUGCUAGGCUCAUCAAGUUUAACCCGAGUGUUCCGCGUGUGCAACUGUUUGCACCCGUUGUAUGUGAACGUUGAGUCUAUCACACCUGAUCAUCACGUGGUGUCUCGAAACGACGAAUUGUCGCAACGGCGCACAGUCGGGGAGAACACAAUUUCAUCUUGAAAUUUUAGCGAGAGAUCACCUUAUAAUGCUACCGUUCUUCUAAGCAAAAUAAGGUGCAUAAAACGAUUAACAUCACAUGCAAUUCAUAAGUGACAUGAUAUGGCCAUCAUCUUGUGCUUCUUGAUCUCCAUCACCAAAGCACCGGCAUGAUCUUCUUGUCACUGGCGCCACACCAUGAUCUCCAUCAUCAUGAUCUCCAUCAUCGUGCCGCCAUCGAGGUUGUCAUGCUAUCUAUGCUAUUACUACUAAAGCUACGACCUAGCAAUAUAGUAAACGCAUCUGCAAACACAAACGUUAGUUUAAAGACAACCCUAUGGCUUCUGCCGGUUGUCGUAGCAUCGACGCACAAGUCGAUAUUAACUAUUACAACAUGAUCAUCUCAUACAUCCAAUAUAUCACAUCACGUCAUUGGCCAUAUCAUAUCACAAGCAUACCCUGCAAAAACAACUUAGACGUCCUCUAAUUUGUUUUUUCAUGUUUUACGUGGCUGCUAUGGGUAUUUAGUAUGAUCGCAUCUUACUUACGCAAAAACCACACCAAAGAUGUGCAAAUUGCUAUUUAACCUCUCUCCAAGGACCGCCUCGGUCAAAACCAAUUCAACUAAAGUUGAAGAAACCGACACCCGCCAGUCAUAUUUAUGCAACGAGUUGCAUGUUAGUCGAUGAAACCAGUCUCUCGUAAGCGUACGAGUAAUGUCGGUCCGGGCCGCUUCAAUCCAACAAUACCACCGAAUCGAGAAAAGACUAAGGAGGGCAGCAAAUUGAAUAUCAACGUCCACAAAACCUUUUGUGUUCUACUCGAGAUAACAUCUACGCAGGAACCUGGCUCUGAUACCAAUGUAGGGGAACGUUGCAUGGGAAACAAAAAAAUUCCUACGCACACGAAGACCUAUCAUGGUGAUGUCCAUCUACGAGAGGAGAUUAGAUCUAUGUACCCUUGUAGAUCGCUAAGCGGGAAGUGUUAAUAAACGCGGUUGAUGUAGUGGUACAGCUUCGUGAUUCAAAUCACUGUCGUCCCACGAUCCGUUCCGAUCUAGCGUCGAACGUACGGCACCUCCUCGUUCAACACGCGUACAGCUCGAUGACGAUCUCGGCCUUCUUGAUCCAGCAAGAGAGAUGGAGAAGUAGGUGAGUUCUCCAGCAGUGUGACGGUGCUUUGGUGGUGGUGGUGAUCUACUCCUGCAGGGCUCCACCCGAGCUCCGCAGAAAACCGAUCUAGAUGUAAAACUACGUGGUAUAGGUUUGAGUUGCACGUGGCAAAGUUGUGUCUCAAAAACCCUAAAACCACCAGUAUAUAUAGGAGGAGGGGAGGCGCUAACCUUGGGUCUCAAGGAGCCCCUUGGUGCAUCGGCCGAAGGGAGAGGAGGACUCCUAAUCCAAUUCGGUUUGGGGAAGGAGGAGUCCUCCUCUUCCUUCCCACCUCCCUCUUUCCUUUUUUUCCUUUCCUUUGGUAUUUUUUUCCUUGUGGCACCAUGGCCAUAUUGGGCUGGCCUCACAAUCCCACUAAGGGCUGGUGCGCCACCCUAGGGUCACUCGGCUCACUCCCGGGUGGGUGGGCCCCUCCUAGUGAAUGCCCGGAACCCAUUUGCCACUCCUGGUACACUGCCGGUAAUGCCCAAAACUUUCCGGUGAGUAAAUGAAACCUUCCUAUAUAUCAAUCUUCGUUUCCGGACCAUUCCGGAAACCCUCGUGACGUCUGUGAUCUUAUCCGGGACUCCGAACAACAUUCAGUAACUACACAUAUAAGUCAACUAUACUAAAACAUCAUCGAACCUUAAGUGUGCAGGCCCUGUGGGUUCAGAACUAUGUAGACAUGACCCGAGACACUCCUCGGUCAAUAUUCAAUAGCGGGACCUAGAUGCCCAUAUUGGAUCCUACAUAUUCUCCGAAGAUCUUAUCGGUUGAACCUCAGUGCCAAGGAUUCAUAUAAUCCCGUAUGUCAUUUCCUUUGUCCUUCGGCAUGUUACUUGCCCGAGAUUCGAUCGUCGGUAUCCGCAUACCUAUUUCAAUCUCGUUAUCGGCAAGUCUCUUUACUCGUUCCGUAAUACAAGAUCUCGUGACUUGAACUUAGUCACAUUGCUUGCAAGGUUGUGUUGGAUGUUGUAUUACCGAGUGGGCCCCGAGAUACCACUCCGGCACACGGAGUGACAAAUCCCAGUCUUGAUCCAUACUAACUCAACGGACACCUUUGGAUAUACCUGUAGAGCACCGUUAUAGUCACCCAGUUACAUUGUGACGUUUGAUACACACAAGGUAUUCCUCCGGUGCCGAUGAGUUAUAUGAUCUCUUGGUCAUAGGAAUAAAUACUUGACACGUAGAAAACAAUAGCAACAAAAUGACACAAUCACAUGCUACGUUCAUAGUUUGGGUCUAGUCCAUCACAUGAUUCUCCUAAUGAUGUGAUCCAGUUAUCAAGUGACAACACUUUGCAUAUAGUCAGAAAACCUUGAAUAUCCUUGACCAACUGGCUAGCCAACUAGAGGCUUGCUAGGGACAUUGUUUUGUCUAUGUAUCCACACAUGUAUCUAUGUUUUCAUUCAAUACAAUUAUAGCAUGGAUAAUAAAGGAUUAUCUUGAAACAGGAAAUAUAAUAAUAACUAUUUUAUCAUUGCCUCUAGGGCAUUUUUCCAAUAGGAAGGAGGUGGACAAGAUGGGAAGGAGUCCUCCACCAAACCAAGUUGGAGGAGGACUCCUCCCUCCUUGCCUCGACCGAAGCCUCCUCCUUGGAGUAGGAGGCAAGCCACUCUCCCCUUGGUUCCUCCUAUAUAUAUAGUGGAGCUUUGAGAGGGUUUUUGCACCUCAAGCCUUUGUGCAGCCCUCUCUCCCUCCACUACUGUGACACCUCGUAGCUAGAUUGGUACGGCACGGCGAAGCCCUAUUGGAGUAGCUUCACCAUCAUCGCCGCCACACCAUCAUGCUGCCGGAGAAUUCAUCUACCUCUUCGUCUCUCUUGCUAGAUCAAGAAGGUGGAGAUCGUGAUCGAGUUGUACGUGUGUUGAACGUGGUGGUGCCGUUUGUUUGGCGCUAGAUCGGGACGGAACGUGGGACAGUGGCGAUUUGGACCGCGAAGACGUUCCACUACAUCAACCGCGUUUCUUAACGCUUCGCGCUUAGCGAUCUACAAGGGUAUGUGGAUCCGAUCUCCCUCUCGUAGAUGAUAGGUCUUCGUGUGCGUAGGAAAUUUUUUGUUUCCCAUGCAAUGUUCCCCAUCGGUGGUAUCAGAUCUAGGUUCAUGCGUAGAUGAUAUCUCAAGUAGAACACAAAAGAGUUUCUGUGCGUUGAUGUUCAAUUUGCUGCCCUCCUUAGUAUUUUCUUGAUUCAACGGCAUUGUUGGAUUCAAGCGGCCUAGAACAACUUUACUCGUACGCUUACGAGAGACCGGUUUCAUCGACUGACAUGCAAAUUGUUGCAUAAAGAUGACUGACGGGUGUCUGUUUCUUAAACUUUAGUUGAAUCAGAUUUGACCAAGGCGGUCCUUGGAGAAGGUUAAAUAGCACUUUGCAUAUCACUGUUGUGGCUUUGCGUAAGUAAGAUGUGAUCAUACUAGAAACCCAUAGCAGCCACGUAAAACAUGAAAAAACAAAUUAGAGGACGUCUAACUUGUUUUUGCGGGGUAUGCUUGUGAUGUGAUAAGGCCAAAGACAUGAUAUGAUAUAUUGGAUGUAUGAGAUGAUCAUGUUUGUAAUAGUUAAAUAUCGACUUGCACAUCGAUGCUACCGCAACCGGCAGGAGCCAUAGGGUUGUCUUUAAAUUUAUUUUGCACUUGCACAUGCUCUUGCUAUAUCGCUAGGUAGUAGCUUUAGUAGUAACACAAUAGAUAGCGCGACAACCUUGAUGGCAGCACAACGAUGGAGAUCAUGGUGUGGCACCGGUGACGAUGGAGAUCAUGCCGGUGCUUUGGUGAUGGAGAUCAAGAAGGACAAUUUCAAUGCCAUAUCAUGGCACUUCUGAUUUGCAUGUGAUGUUAAUCCUUUUAUGCACCUUAUUUUUCUUAGAACGACGGUAGCAUUAUAAGGUGAUCCCUCACUAAAAUUUCAAGAUAAAUUGUGUUCUCCCCGACUGUGCAAUGACAACCCACAAGCGUAUGGGAUCGCAGCAGUUUUCGAGAGUAGAGUAUUCAACCCAAAUUUGUUGGUUCACACAAGGGAAGCGAAAGAAUAUCCUCGAGUAUUAGCAGCUGAGUUUGUCAGAUUCAACCACACCUGAAAGAUUAGUAUCUACAAGCAAAGUAUCAGUAGCAAAGUAGUAUGAUAACAACGGUGCCAGAAACGAUCUGUUGACGGCAGACUAUUCCUAACUGUUGUAUCAAUGGCGCCAGUAAAAAGCACGUUGACGGGGGACUAUUCUUCCCCAGCAACUGCUCCAGAAAAGGUCUUGCACUAAGUAGCAGCGGAGUAGCAAGGAACAGCAGUAGCAGCAGCAGCAAAGUAACAGCAUUAGCAGCAAAGUGACAGUAGUAGCAGCAAAGUGACAGCAGCAAAAGUAGUAGCAAAGUGGCCCAAUCCCUUUUGUAGCAAGGGACAAGCCUAGACACAGUAAAGUAGCGAGGACCAGUAGUAAAAGACUCGUAGGCACUGGAUCGGUGAUGGAUGAGUAUGACAGAUGUGAUUCAUCAUGUAACAGCUAUAACACGGAGAGAUAUGUAACUAGCUCACGUUCGUCAAUCUAAUGUAGGCAUGUAUUCCGUAUGUAGUCAUACGUGCUUAGGGAAAAGAACUUGCAUGACAUCUAUUGUCCNNNNNNNNNNNNNNNNNNNNNNNNNNNNNNNNNNNNNNNNNNNNNNNNNNNNNNNNNNNNNNNNNNNNNNNNNNNNNNNNNNNNNNNNNNNNNNNNNNNNNNNNNNNNNNNNNNNNNNNNNNNNNNNNNNNNNNNNNNNNNNNNNNNNNNNNNNNNNNNNNNNNNNNNNNNNNNNNNNNNNNNNNNNNNNNNNNNNNNNNNNNNNNNNNNNNNNNNNNNNNNNNNNNNNNNNNNNNNNNNNNNNNNNNNNNNNNNNNNNNNNNNNNNNNNNNNNNNNNNNNNNNNNNNNNNNNNNNNNNNNNNNNNNNNNNNNNNNNNNNNNNNNNNNNCUUGCAAGAUAGGAUCUAAAACACACAUAUAUUGGCGACAACAUAAUAGGUUCAGAUCUGAAAUCAUGACAAUCGGGCCCUAGUGACAAGCAUUAAGCAUAGCCAAGUAGUAGCAACAUCAAUCUAGAACAUAGUGGAUACUAGGGAUCAAUCCCCGUCAAGAACUAACUCGAUUACAUGAUAGAUCUCAUCCAACUUAUCACCGUCCAGCAAGCCUACGAUGAGAUUACUCAUGAACGAUGAAGAGCAUCAUGGAAUUGUCGAUGGAAAAAGGUGGUGAUGACGAUGGCGACGAUUUCCCCUCUCCGGAGCCCGAAACGGACUCCAGAUCUCCCCUCCAGAUGAAGAACAGGAUGUGGCGGCGCCUCCGUAUUGCAAAACGCAUGAUGAAACGGACUCCAGAUCUCCCCUCCGUAUGAAACCUUCUCUCUGUUUUUUUUCAGGCGAAAUGGAAGAUAUAUAGCUGAGUUUGGGGGCGGUGGUGCCACGUGGGCCCCACAAGCCUGCACGGCGCAGCCUAGGGGGCUGGCCACGGCCUGUGGGCUUGUGGCGCACUAGCACGCCCCUCCGGUGGAUCUUUGCGCAGGUAUUUUUCUUUAAUUCCGGAAAAAAUCUCCGUAAAUUUUCAGGACAUUCCGAUAACUUUUAUUUCUGCACAAAAACAACACCAUGGCAAUUCUGCUGAAAACAGCAUCAGUCCAAGUUAGUUCCAUUCAAAUCAUGCAAAUUAGAGUCCAAAACAAGGGCAAAAGAGUUCGGAAAAGUAGAUACGACGGAGAUGUAUCAUGUACCAUUGCGACAAUUCGUCGUUUUGAGACACCACAUGAUGACCGAGUGUGAUAGACUCAACGUUCACAUACAACGGGUGCAAAACAGUUGCACACGUGGAACACUGGGGUUAAGCUUGAUGAGCCUAGUAUGUACAGACAUGGCCUCGGAACACAAGAGGCCGAAAGGUCGAGCAUGAAUCAUAUAGUUGAUAUGAUCAACAUGGUGAUGUUCAGCACUGAAACUAUACUCAACUCACGUGAUGAUCAGACUUGAGUUAGUGAAUUUGGAUCAUGCGACACUCGAUUGACUAGAGGGAUGUCUAUUUGAGUGGGAGUUUAUUAGUAAUAUGAUUAGCUAAACUCAAUUGUUUUGAAUAUAGUCUAAGUAAUCUUUGCAAAAUUUCAUGUUGUAGAUCAAUGGCUCGCGCAGUAGCAACCCUGAAUUUUAAUACGUUCCUAGAGAAAGCUAAGCUGAAAGAGGAUGAAAGCAACUUUGUUUAUUGGGCUCGAAAUAUGAGGCCUAUCCUCCAAGCUGGUCAAAAGCAAUAUGUGCUUGAUGCUGCGCUAGGUGAUGCACCACCCACUACGGCAACCUAAGAUGUUUUGAACGCUUGGCAAGCGCGUAAGGAUGACACCACUCACUAGUUCAAUGUGAAGUUUUGUAUGGCUUAGAACCGGGACUUCAAAGACGUUUUGAACGUCAUGGAGCAUAUGAGAUGUUCUAGGAGUUGAAGUUUAUCUUUGAGAAGAAUGUCCGGAUCGAGAGGUAUGAGACCUCCGAUAAGUUUUAUGCUUGCAAAAUGGAGGAGAAUUCGUCUGUCAGUGAAAACGUGCUCAGAAUGUCUGGGUACUCGAACCGUUUAGCUGAGCUGCGGAUUGAACUCCCACAAGAAGUUAUCACUAGCAGAAUUCUUCAGUCACUGCCACCUAGCUAUAAGAGCUUCGUGUUGAAAUAUAACAUGCAAGGGAUGAAUAAGUCACCCAGCGAGUUACUUGUGAUGCUGAAAGUCGCUGAGUCAGAAAUCCAGAAAGAAUAUCAAGUGUUGAUGGUCAAUAAGACCACUAGUUUCAAGAAAAACGGCAAAGACAAGAAGGGUAACUCCAAGAAGAGUAGCAAAGUUGUUGCCCCUCCUAAGAAACCAAAGGUUGGACCUAAGCCGGAAACUGAGUGCUAUUAUUGCAAGGGGAUUGAUCACUGGAAGCGCAACUGCCCCAAGUAUAUGGCCGAUAAGAAGGCGGCCAACGCCAAACAAGGUAUAUUUGAUAUACAUGUUAAUGAUGUGUACCUCACGAGCUCUCGUAGUAGUGCCUGGGUAUUUGAUACCGGUUGUGUUGCUCACAUUUGCAAUUCGAAACAGGAACUGUGGAAUAAAUGAAGGUUGACGAAGGAUGAAGUGACGAUGCGCGUGGGAAAUGGUUCCAAGGUUGAUGUGAUCGCCGUCAGCACAGUCUCACUUUAGUUACCAUCGGGAUUAGUGAUGAACUUAAAUAAUUGUUAUUUAGUGCAUGCUUUGAGCAUGAACAUUAUAUUUGGAUCUUGUUUAUUGCNNNNNNNNNNNNNNNNNNNNNNNNNNNNNNNNNNNNNNNNNNNNNNNNNNNNNNNNNNNNNNNNNNNNNNNNNNNNNNNNNNNNNNNNNNNNNNNNNNNNNNNNNNNNNNNNNNNNNNNNNNNNNNNNNNNNNNNUUGCGAGAUGGUUACUCAUCUAAGUCAGAGAAUAAUGGUUGUUCAAUUUAUAUGAGUAAUAUCUUUUAUGGUCAUGCACCCAAUAUGAGGGGUUUGUUCAUAUUGAAUCUCGAUUGUGAUGACACUCGUGUCCAUAACAUUGAGACCAAAAUAUGUAGAGUUAACAAUGAUAGCGCCACUUUUUUGUCGCACUGCCGCUUAGGUCAUAUUGGUGUUAAGCGCAUGAAGAAACUCCAUGCUGACGGACUUUUGGAAUCACUUGAUUUUGAAUCACUUGACACAUGCGAACCAUGUCUCAUGGGAAAGAUGAUUAAGACUCCGUUCUAUGGAACAAUGGAGCAUGCAAGUGACUUGUUGGAGAUCAUACAUACUGAUGUGUGUAGACCAAUGAGCAUAGAGGCGCGCGGUGGAUAUCGUUAUUUUCUCACCUUCACUGACGAUUGGGUAGGUAUGGCUAUAUCUACUUGAUGAAGCACAAGUAUGAAACGUUUGAAAAGUUCAAACAAUUUCAGAGUGAAGUUGAAAAUCAUCAUAGCAAGAAGAUCAAGUUCCUACGAUCUGAUCGAGGAGGUGAAUAUCUGAGUUACGAGUUUGGUGCUCACUUAAGACAAUGUGGAAUUGUUUCACAGUUAACACUGCCUGGAACACCACAGCGUAAUGGUGUGUCCGAACGUCGUAAUCGUACUUUAUUAGAUAUGGUGCGAUCUAUGAUGUCUCUUACUGAUUUGCCAUCAUCAUUUUGGGGCUAUGCAUUGGAGACAGAUGCAUUCACUUUAAAUAGGGCACCAUCAAAAUCCGUUGAGACGACGCUACAUGAGUUGUGGUAUGGCAAGAAGCCAAAGUUGUCGUUUCUGAAAGUUUGGGGAUGUGAUGCUUAUGUCAAAAAGCUUCAGCCUGAAAAGCUGGAACCCAAAGUGGAAAAGUGUGUCUUCAUAGGUUACCCAAAAGAGACAGUUGGGUAUACCUUCUAUCUCAGAUCCGAGGGCAAAGUUUUUGUCGCUAAGAACGGAGCUUUUCUUGAGAAAGAGUUUCUCUAGAAAGAAUUGAGUGGGAGGAAGAUAGAACUUGAUGAGGUUGCGGAACCUCUGCUUCAACAAGAUGGUGGCGCAGGGUAGAAAGAAAUUUCUGUCGAGGCAACACCAGUUGAAGAGGAAGCUAAUGAUGGUGAUCAUGAAGCUUCGGAUCAAGUUACCGUCGUACCUCGCAGGUCGACAAGGGCAUACACUGCUCCUGAGUGGUACGGGAAUCCUGUCUUGUCAAUCAUGUUGUUGGACAACAAUGAUCCUGCGAAUUAUGGAGAAGAAAUGGUGGGCCCAGAUUCCAACAGAUGGUUAGAAUCCAUGAAAUUAGAGAUAGGAUCUAUGUAUGAAAACAAAGUAUGGACUUUGGAAGUAUGAGCUGAAGGUCGAAAGGCAAUUCAGAACAAAUGGAUCUUUAAGAAGAAGACGGACGCAGACGGUAAUGUGACCGUUUAUAAAGCUCAACUUGGGGAAAAGGGUUUUUCACAAGUUCAAGGAGUUGACUACGAUGAUACAUUCUUACCUGUAGCGACGCUUAAGUCCGCCCGAAUCAUGUUAGCAAUAAAUGCAUUUUUCGAUUAUGAAAUCUGGCAGAUGGAUGUCAAAACGGUGUUCCUUAACGGGUUUAUUAAGGAAGAGUUGUAUAUGAUGCAACCCGAAGGUUUUGUCGAACCAGAGAAUGUUGACAAAGUAUGCAAGCUCCAACGAUCCAUUUAUGGACCAGCGCAAGCAUCUCGGAGUUGGAAUCAGCGCUUUGAUGAGGUGAUCAAGGCGUUUGGGUUUAUACAAGUUUUUAGAGAAGCUUGUAUUUAUAAGAAAGUGAGUGGGAGCUCUAUAGCGUUUCUAAUAUUGUAUGUGGAUGACAUAUUGUUGAUUGGAAACAAUGUAGAGUUUUUGGAAAGCGUAAAGGAUUACUUGAAUAAAAGUUUUUCAACGAAGGACCUAGGAGAAGCUUCUUACAUAUUGGGCAUAAAGAUCUAUAGAGAUAGGUCAAGGCACCUAAUAUCUCUUUCACAAACCACAUACCUUGAUAAAGUUUUGAAGAAGUUCAAAAUGGAACAAUCCAAGAAGGGGUGCUUGCCUGUGUUACAAGGUAUAAAGUUGAGUAAGACUCAAUGUCCAGUAACUCCACAAGAUAGAUAAAAGAUGAGUGUCGUCCCCUGUGCUUUAGCCAUAGGGUCUAUCAUGUAUGCAAUGUUGUGCACAAGACCGGAUGCAGCAUGGCCAUAAGUAUAUUCGGGAGUGGAACACUGGGCGGCGGUCAACAAUAUUCUGAAGUACCUGAAAAGGACUCAGGAAAUGUUUCUCGUUUAUCAAGGUGACGAAGAGCUCGUCGUAAAGGGUUACGUCGAUGGAAGCUUUGACACUAAUCCGGAUGACUCUAAUUCUCAAACCGGAUACAUAUUUAUUCUUAACGGGGGUGCGAUAAGCUGGUGCAGUUCCAAGCAAAGCGUGAUAGCUGAUUCUACAUGCGAAGCGGAGUCAUAGCUGCCUCGGAGGCGACUAAGGAGGGUGCCUGGAUGAAGCAGUUCAUGUCAGAUCUUGGAGUAGUGCCAAGUGCACUGGACCCAAUCAAUCUGUUGUGUGACAACACUGGUGCCAUUGCUCUAGCCAAGGAACCAAGGUUUCACAAGAGGACCAGACACAUAAAGCGACGCUUCAAUGCCAUCCACGAUUACAUCAAGGAGGAGGAUAUAAAUAUUUGCAAAGUACACACGAAUCUAAAUGUUGCAGAUCCGUUGACUAAACCUCUUCCACGAGCAAAGCAUGAUCAACACAAGAAUUAUAUGGGUGUUAGAUUCAUUGCAUUGUAAAUGACAUAGAGAUGUGAAGCUAGAUUAUUGACUCUAGUGCAAGUGGGAGAUUGUUGGAAAUAUGCCCUAGAGGCAAUAAUAAAAUAGUUAUUAUUAUAUUUCUUGUUUCAAGAUAAUCGUUUAUUAUCCAUGCUAUAAUUGUAUUAAAUGAAAACAUAAAUGCAUGUGUGGAUAUAUAGACAAAAAAAUGUCCCUAGUGAGUCUCUAGUUAACUAGCCUGUUGGUCAAGGAUGGUUAGUGUUUCCUAGCCAUAGACAGUGUGGUCACUUGAUGAUGGGAUCACAUCAUUAGGAGAAUGAUGUGAUGGACAAGACACAAACUAUAAACGUAGCAUAUGAUCAUGCCAUUUUGUUGCUAUUGUUUUCUGCAUGUCAAGUAUACAUUCCUAUGACCAUGAGAUCACGUAACUCACUGACACCAGAGGAAUGCCUUGUGUGUAUCAAACGUCGCAACGUUACUGUGUGACUAUAAAGGUACUCUACAGGCAUCUCCGAAGGUGUCCGUUGAGUUAGCAUGGAUCAAGACUGGGAUUUUUCACUCCGUGUGACGGAGAGGUAUCUCGGGGCCCACUCGAUAAUACAACAUCACAAACAAGCCUUGCAAGCAAUGUGACUAAAGAGUUAGCCCUGGGAUCUUGUAUUACGGAAUGAGUAAAGAGACUUGUCGGUAAUAAGAUUGAAAUAGGUAUGGCGAUACCGACGAUCAAAUCUCGGGCAAGUAACAUACCGAAGGACAAAGGGAAUGAUAUACGGGAUUGUGUGAAUCCUUGACAUAGAGGUUCAACCGAUAAGAUCUUAGUAGAAUAUGUAGGAUCCAAUAUGGACGUCCAGGUCCCGCUAUUGGAUAUUUACCGGAGAGUGUCUCGGUCAUGUCUACAUAGUUCUCGAACCCGCAGGGUCUGCACACUUAAGGUUCGGUGACGUUUUCGGUAUAGUUGAAUUAUUGAUGUUGGUAACCGAAUGUUGUUCAGAGUCCCGGAUGAGAUCCCGGACAUCACGAGUGUCUCUGGAAUGGUCCGUAAAUGAAGAUUGAUAUAUAGGAUUGUUGCAUUUGGCUUCCGGAAAGAUUUUGGGCAUUACCGGCAAAGUACCGAGAGUGAAGAAUAGGUUUCGGGGUUUUACUGGGAGGGGCCACCCACCCGGGAGAGGACCUAAUAGGCCCAUGGGUGGCGCACCAGCCCUUAGUGGGCUGGUGAGGUCAGCCCAAUAAGCCUAUUUCGGCCAUGGCAAAAAUAAAGAGGAAAAGGAAAAAAAGAUAAAGAAGGAGGUGGACAAGAUGGGAAGGAGUCCUCCACCAAACCGAAUUGGAGGAGGACUCCUCCCUCCUUGCCUCGGCUGAAGCCUCCUCCUUGGAGUAGGAGGCAAGCCACCCUCCCCUUGGUUCCUCCUAUAUAUAGUGGAGGUUUGAUAGGGUUUUUGCACCUCAAGCCUUUGUCCACCCUCUCUCCCUCCACUACUUCGUGACACCUCAUAGCUAGAUCGUUACGGCAUGGCGAAGCCCUUCAGGAGUAGCUUCAACAUCAUCACCGCCAAACCGUCGUGCUACCGGAGAAUUCACCUACCUCUUCGUCUCUCUUGCUGGAUCAAGAAGGAGGAAAUCGUCAUUGAGCUGGACGUGUGCUAAACGCGGAGGUGCCGUCCUUCCGGCGCUAGAUCUGGACGGAUCGUGGGAGGACGAUGGUUUGGAUCACGAAGACGUUCCAUUACAUCAACCGUGUUUCUUAACGCUUCCUGCUUAGCGAUCUACAAGGGUAUGUGGAUCCGAUCUCCCUCUCGUAGAUGAUCAUCACCAUGAUAGGUCUUCGUGUGCGUAGGAAAUUUUUUGUUUCCCAUGCAACGUUCCGCAAUAGUAACAUACCGAUAGACAAAGGGAAUUGUAUACGGGAUUAAUUGAAUCCCCGACAUCGUGGUUCAUCCGAUGAGAUCAUCAUGGAACAUGUGGGAGCCAAUAUGGGUAUCCAGAUCCCGCUAUUCGUUAUUGGCCGGAGAGGUAUCUCGGUCAUGUCUGCAUGGUUCCCGUACCCAUAGGGUCUACACACUUAAGGUCCAGUGACGCUAGAGUUGUAAUGGGAAUUGUAUAUGUGGUUACCGAAAGUUGUUCGUAGUCCUGGAUGAGAUCCCUUUGUCACGAGGAGUUCUAGAAUAGUCCGAAGGUGAAGAUUUAUAUAUGGGAAGUCCAGUUUUGGUCACCGGAAAGGUUUUGGGGUUUAUCGGUAUUGUACCAGGACCACCCAAAGGGUUCCGGGGGUCCACCGAGAGGGGCCACCUGUCCGAGAGGGCCACAUGGGCUGAAAGUGGGUGGGAACCAGCUUCCUGGUGGGCUGGUGCGCACCACCCAAGGGCCCAAGGCGCCUAGGGCUGGGAACCCUAGGGCGUGAGGGGGAGCCUACCACCAACUUGGGAGGCAAGCCACCCCCCUUGGCCGCCGCCCCCUCUAGAGGGACCUAGGGUGGCUGAGCCCCUCUCCCCUUCCCCCUAUAAAUAGAUGGGGUGAGAGGGCUGCGCACCACCUGAACCCUCUCCCCCUGGCGCAGCCCUACCCCCUACACCUCCUCCUCCGUAGCGCCUGGUGAAGCCCUGCUGGAGAACCACGAGCUCCACCGCCACCACGCCACCGUGCUGUCGGAGCUCUCCCUCAACUUCUCCUUCCCCCUUGCUGGAUCAAGAAGGAGGAUACGUCCCCGGGCUGUACGUGUGUUGAACGCGGAGGCAUCGUUCGUUCGGUGUUUGGAUUGGAUCUUCCGUGAUUUGAAUCAUCCCGAGUACGACUCCAUCAACCGCGUUCUUUACAACGCUUCCGCUUAGUGAUCUUCAACGGUAUGAAGAUUCACUCCCACUUUCUCGUUGCUAGCAUCUUCUAGAUUGAUCUUGGUGACACGUAGGAAUUUUUUUGAAUUACUACUACGCUCCCCAAGAGGAACGCCAGAGCUUAAGAUUUAGACAAAUAUCACCAUCUCAAGUGAAGGUUAAUCGAGUUCGUUACACAUCCAGAAAACAACCACUCGGGGCGAUGCAAAAUACCGGGAAUUUCUUGAUUCGAACUACUCAAGAAGUCACCUGGCGGCCAUGCUGCCGCGAUAGCAUCAGGCUUCUUGACGAUGUGUGUCGCAGAGGUCUACCCCCGCGGGUGGGGGGACGACCUGGUCCUAAAGCUUCAAGGGCCCGCAAGGUCCCGACACCUCGUGAGGCAUGCCCGACCCACCUCUCCUACAACUUGCUGGCGUCCUGAGCGGUGAACUCAUAUGUCCCUCGCACCCAGCACCACGCUUGCGGCUUGUGGGGGUGCACGCCAACACUUUGUUCCCGAGCACCCACUCAUCCUCCCGACCCCGCUAGGAGACUCCGAGGCGGGAGCCCCCGAGCCUGGGCAGACGCGGGUGCCUGGAGUGGCAUCCUAUGCCUGAGGGAGGCGCCAGUCGCGACACCCUCCAUCCUAUCGGCAUGGACGCGGGCCCGUUGCCGGAUGGGGGGCUCAUUGGGGGAAGACCCGACCGCAUGGCACUCCUCCGUGUUGUGAGAGCGUGCAUAGUGGUAAGCGCAGAACAUCCCGCCUACUCUUUCAGGCGCGCCUCUGUAGGGGCCCGGCGGCGGCCCAAAGCCGGUCACUGGGACCCGGAGGGGCACGAGUACAACGCCAGGCGGACCGUGCUCGGGCCCCUCGAGCUGGGGACCGAGCAGGUCAGCGCGUGCUGGUGGAGGCGACUCGCUUGUUGAGCCUCCUGCCUCUGACGCCGGGGCCGAUGCGGGGCGUAGGGCGCCAGAGCCCUCCUGGCGACGACGACGAGCUCGGAGAUGUGGCCCGCCCACGCGUCAUACCUUCCGUCCGUAGGGCGAUGGUGAAGCAGUUUGCCCGGUGAGCAGCGCGGCUUGCACAUUCACAUCCCCCACAUGGACACAAGAUGAUGAAGAUGUCGGGGGGGCAAAGCAGAUGCUUUGCCACACUGGGGACCGUGGGAAGCCCUACUGCUCGCGGGCGGUGCGGGCAACGACAGUGGUGGCCACAACGUUGGUGGGGCGGUAACAGCCGCCCGGCACCAAGCACUCGGGGCACGCGCGGCAAGCGUCGGACAUGGUGUGGGUGAAGCUGGAGCCGAAACUCGAAGGGAAGAACGGCUACGCAUCCCUACCCGGUGUGCAAAAUGUCCAAAUCGGGGCUCCACAGACCCACAGAAAGGUUCAAACUCUCGGGUGCGCUUUCUUUCCUACCAUGUUCUACCGCUCUACUUCACGACGACUCUCCGGUGGCUAGAGCUAAGGGAAGCGAACUAGAACGCACAACAGUUUACCCAGGUUCGGGCCACCUUGUGGUGUAAAACCCUACUCCUGCUUGUAUAGAUUGCUCGAGGUGGAAGACGAGUAAAAAGGUGGGUUCUUGCCCUAGUCCAACACAUUGAGCCUCGGAUCCCCUACUAUGGAGGCCAAGCCUCUCUUUUAUACUGACCUUGGUCUUCUUCCUCGAAAACAUAGUUGGCGGAAGGGCAUCCACAACGGCCAUUUUGAAAGGGUAUAGGACUACGGCCCGCCAUGACAAAGGUGGUCUUCACGUGCAAAAGCCCUUCUUCAUGACACGUUGCUGGGCUCGAGGGUGACCUCCAUCCUGUCGAGCCCCCAUCCUUAGUCCUCUUGCACCGAUCGGGAAACCUUUGGGGGGUUUCCUUGGGAACCCGCAGCUGGCUUGGCUCCCUUAGCACCAAAGGGGAAAGUUUCUCUGUCUGUGCCUGCUGGCACCGCUCGUGCGCCGCAUGCACAACCUGCAUCACCCACGUGAAGGCACAGGGUCACGGGUAACUUCGGGAUGCGUCCUCGCGAGGGGUGCCCUCUCGAGGCCAUUGGGGACGAUGUUCAAAUGCUCACCCCGUGAGGCGAGGGCCCUCGCGAGGGUCUUCCUUGCCAGGCUCGCCGAUGGGUAGGGCUAGUCUUGCCCAGCCGCGUCGCGCCUAGGGCCGCAGGCCAACGAGCCUGGGUACCCCCGGUCUCAGAUGCCUGACAAAGAUGCUCCAAGCAAAACUCAUGAUAUGUGAUGAAUAAAAAUAUAGUUCCAAGUAAAAUUAUCGAUGGUUUUUAGAAGAAAGAGGGGAUGCCUUAUGGGGCAUGCCAAGCUUAGCUGCUUGGUACUCCUUAGAAUUGCCUUGGGAUGCCAUGGGGCAUCCCCAAGCUUAGGCUUUUAUCACUCCUUAUUCCUUCAUCCAUCGCGAUCCCACUCAAAACUUGAAAAAUUCAAUCACACAAAACUCAACAAAAUUUUCGUGAGAUCUGAUAGUAUAAGAAAACCAAAUUUACUAUAGGUAUUGCUGAAAACAUAUUCCAAUUUUGUUUUUGCAUUAUACCUACUAUAUUUUAACUUUACCAUGGCUUAUGCCCCCAUAUAAACCAUAGAAUCAUUAAAAUAAACACAUAACACAAAGAAAACAGAAUCUAUUAAAACAGAACAACCUGUGAAGAUUCAAAAGAGAUUACAAAAAUAGUGGAAACACUAGCACCCAAAUCACAUAAAGCAUAGCAUCUGGCUUGAUUCUGAGGCCUAGGCCCUGUCCUGAUUUCAAAAUAGUGAAAACACUAGCACCCAAAUCACAAAGAGACUGGGCUGGGCCGGGCUCGGGCCCGUAAAAACCACUUUUUAUGCCUAUGUCGGGCCGGGCUUGGACCCAAAAACUAGGCCGAACAGUCGGGUCGGGUCGGGUCUGGGCCUGAGUUUUAUAGUACGAGUUCCUUUAGGUCCAGCCCAAGGCCUGACCGAACCCGAGUUUUGGGCAGACAUACUUUUGUGUGCUCUUUGUGUGUUUGGUCAACUCAUUGACGCAGGGUGUGUCAUAUAGGAUUUUCCGCCCUUGAACCCAUCUCAUUGUUCUAAGAGCAUCUCCAACAGCCGCGCUUCGCGCCGCGUCCAAAAAAUGUUUUUACAGCGCGCGCGCCGGUCGGUUUAGCGCAGGGAUAGGCGCUGGCUCCAACAGCCGUGCUAUAAUGCAGCGCGCGCGCCGCACUCCAGCAGUGCCCAAAAAUGCAGCGCGCGCAGCACGCACAAACCACAUAUACAUUUCAAAAAAUAGUGAGAAAAACGAUCAAACAAACAAAAUAAAUCAACAAUAAUAGUUAUUACAACUCAAAUAAAUAGUUUCUCGUUCAGUACAACAAAUAAUGCAAUAAACACAACCAAUAGUUCAUGAACAAUACAAUACAAAUAAGCAAUCAAAUCAUGCUCUUUGUCGUCCAUGCCAUGCCCACCACUCUUCAAUCAGAUCCUUCUGAAGAUCAUUGUGUGUUGCGGGACGCCGAAUGGCAAUGAUACGAGGCAACAAAACGGGCAACCCUUUCAGCCCUCCGUCGCACUCGCACGGGAUGUCCCAAGAGCUCAUACUGUGAGUAGUCUACAUCUUGGCCACGCUCAUUCUCGAUGAUCAUGUUGUGCAUGAUCACACAAGCGUGCAUGAUGUACCAAAGCAUUUUUUUAUCCCAAAAUCUAGCCGGUCCUCUCACAAUAGCAAAUUGGGCUUGUAAAAUCCCAAAUGCUCUCUCCACAUCUUUUCUAGCAGCCGCCUGAGCAUUGUGAAAAUCAAGAUUUUUCUUACCUUCUGGCUUUUUCAACGGCUGGGGCGCUGUUCCUCGGACGUCGGAGGCGCGCGAGGGCCGGCCGGACUAGGAGGGGUGGGGCGGAAGCGCGGCGGCGUGGGGAGGCCGGGGAAGCGCCUGAACGGGGGGCGCGGGCGGCGGCCGCAGCGGAGACAGGCCGGGGAAGCGCCGGCGGGCGCGGACGGCGACGGCGGCUCGGGGAUAGGCCGGUGCAGCGCCGAACGGUGGUGCGAGCGGCGGCGGCGGCGCGGUCGGAUGGGGCGGUCGCGAGAGUGCAGAGCAAGCGCAGAGAGUGCACAGCGCAGGAGAUAGCAGGAGAGAGCGUAGAAGAAAGAAGGAGCGAGCGCGGGAGAGUCGCGCGCGCGGGAGCCGGCGCAGCAAAUAAUGGGCGCGGGAUUGCGUUUCGGCCAGCACGCUCAAUUGGAAAUGGCGCGCGCAGUUUUUGCGCACCCGCUGGAGCUGCCGCCGCGUCGCGCGCGCUAAAUACAGCUUUUUUUACGACGCGGCGUUUGUAUAGCGCGGCUGUUGGAGAUGCUCUAAGAAAAAGCAAACAUGUCUCAUACCUUUCGACUCCCUGUAGCACACCAUACCCUGCUGCCUCACGUGCCGCUGGACUAUGAGACCGUGCUCAAUGACAUCUACGGGUAACUCCUGGGGAAGCGACCGAGGUGCACGACCUCAAGGAGAAUCUCACCGCACAACUCCACCUAUCCAAGGAGCAUCAUCAAGGUGCCUUGGCCAUAGAUGACCCACCGACAACGUAACUGUUCGCCGACGGAUCGUUCAGGCAACAAACAACUCACCUUCACAUGGCCGCGAGUUGUGCAACUCUCCUUGAUCCUAGCCAACAACAUGUUCAUUGUGGGCGGCGGUGGAGACGAUGUGGCAAAGACAUACUUCAACACAUGAGCCCUUAAUGACGACCACACCCCAUACCCUGUCUCUCGUGGUCGCUCAUGUUGCUGCCUUUCUCUAUGACCUUCUCACCGCUGCCAGCCGUCAUCAUCAGGCCACCCGUCGGCUGCAUCUUUUCCAUGGUUGUAACCUGUCGACAAUAGGAUCAACCCCAUUCUUGGUAUAUAGCCUCAAAACCCUUUGCCUCUCUUUACCGUCCAAACAUGAAACCUUGCUAUUUGAUUAAGCGAAUGUUAUUCAAUUGACCUGAUAUGAUUAGGGUAAUAUUCUUUGCACACUCCUCAAGAGGAAAAAAAUGCUUUCCAUGUCACGUUCAAACCCUCUUCUAAUGUUUUUAUAGGUCAGUUUUUUGUAAUGACUAAUGGGUAUGUGGUAAUACAUUAUUCAUUUAUUAUUUUAAGUUUGUGUAUAUAAAUGUACAAUCCUCAUGACUAAUUAGGUUCUUAAUAAGAUACUUCCUCCGUUUUUAAAUAUAAGUAUUUUUAGAGAUUUUACUAGAAGACUACAUACGGAACAAAAUGAAUGUAUAUACACUUUAAGCCUCUAAAGUAUGUCUAUAUACAUCGAUAUGUAGUCCUCUAGUAAAAACUCUAAAAGACUUAUAUCUAGAAACGGAUGGAGUACUAACUAAUGAAGGUAAUGGCUCCUUACACUUGGUUAAGUAACUCGGAAGCUAAUUUAAAUAUUUGAAUUAACCAAUUCUUUACAAUGGGAGGAGCAUGACACUUUUUAUGUUGUUACUCUAUGUCUGAAGAUGUAAUGGUCAACAACACAAAUCCAUUGCAUGGAGAAGCUAUUGCAUGCCUAUUUAGGACAGUAUAACCGCACCUAAAGCGAGCCCUCUCAGCGAUUUGGGUUUUUGACCGUUCAUUUUUUUGAUCUAGACGUCUUGGGCCGCUGGAUCCGCUGUCCUAAGGGGCAGCUGCUCCCACAGAAAAAUCCCUCGAUGGUGGUUCAUUUAGGUUACGGGUCCGUAAUAGAUCCGUUAUUGUGCUAUUGGUACCCCUCUCCGCCAACAUGACAGUUCGCUCACCUCCGCCCCUUCCACUUUCCCUCUCUCUACCCGAUUCUCCUCAGCUGCAGAUCCCUGCCUCUGCCGCCGGUGUUUCUCAUGGCUACUUCUCAAGUCCACGCCGCCAUCCUUAUGAGCGUGCAGUUCAACUCAAACCCAUGACAUCUAGCCCACCAGAAGGUCCACUCACGAUGUCGCUCGAUUGGAUCUCAAGCCGCCACCCAGUUGGUCAUCUCCAUCCCCGUCGUAGGUUACUUCCCUUGCUCCACCCCAUCGCUGUCGAAGGGGAUCUAGCCACGCUUGAUGCCGGGCGACACGUGUGGUCUGCUACGGGAUCCAGCCAACGAAGGUGACCAGCUAUCAGCGGUGGUCGUCUCCACUCCCAUGCCACCGCUGGCUUGUGUUACCUUCCGCUUCUGUAGGUCGGCCAGUGCGAAGGUAGGUUUGGAGCUUAAUUCCUCAAGUGUUUCUGCAUUUGAUUCGAUUGCUAUUUGUUGUAUUUUGAAUAACUUUAUCGAUCUACCAUUUUUGAGUAUGUAUUUUAGGGGUGAAUGGUCUGAGUAUUCAUCUUUGAUCUAUGUGUUGUGUAUGAUGCAGUACCUGACGGAUGUUAUUCGUAAUUGACCUUUUUUUAUGCUUCUGUAUACCGCUUAAUUUGCAGUGCUGGUGGACAAACGAGUGUACUGAAAGAAAGGGGUGUCUGGGACGCCGCCUCCAGCAGCAAUGCAGAGGAGGGGUGUCUCGUUCGGACGUCACAUCAUCUGGCUUAGUCCCCAAAAUUGUUGAACUUCUGUACCUAAGGAGACAAAGGGGUGCGUGAACGGGCGAGGAGUUCACAGUGUUGUACUACCCCAGUUGGUGCACGAUGAAGCCUCGUAUUCCACAUAUUCACUACUUGCAUCGCAAUGUUUGUUGAUCCUUAAUCUAUGUUCCAAUUUAUUCCUAUAAAUUAUUCUCGAGCUCCUUUCAAAUUAGUGAUUUAUAUAUGCUUUACUUUUGUAAUUUAUUUAGGUUGCAGAUUGUUGCUUGAUUUAGAUUGCUAGCCAGAUCCAGGAAUUAAGUAUCAGUUCUUUUGUAUAUUUCUUACAGAAUUAAACCUAGCCAACAUAAAUGGAGUGGCACCAUAUUUGGAUUGAAUAGUAUACUUACAUUGAGUUCAACAUGGUUUAAGUUUGCCAAAAUGCAGGCAGUUCUCACCAUUGACAUCGCAAGGGAUAGGCACAAAUGCAAUUUGAAAUCAAUAAUACCACUGUUCUGUUAGUUUGCCGCCUGGCCAUUAUCAUUCUCUUAGUGUGUUUCUCUACAUUGAAAUUACAAUAUCUUUCUGCUCUCGAUUAUUUUCUUUAGUCUCUAACUCAGUUGUUGUAGGCCUCGGUUAGAAUAGGCAUGAAAAAAGAAACUUAAAUAGGUCGAUGCUGAUGAGGGGUUCACAGAAGGAUAGUACUACAAGUAAAGAAUGUCAGUAGCUUGUUGGUACUACUCUUUCUUCAGUCUGUAACUAAGUUGUUGUAGGCCUAGGUCUGAAUAAGCAUGAAAAAAGGAACUUAAAUAGCUUGGUGCUGAUGAGGGGUUCACAGAAGGACAAUACUACAAUUAAAGAAUGUCAGUAGCCUGUUGGUACUACACUGAACCUGCAUUUCCACCUUAUUGUCAUUGGAAACUUAUGCUAUCCUUCAAAUCCAUUCAUAAUAUUAUUCGUAUAGCAUUCCUUAUGCCGAUUUUAUUUGGUUUCUGUGGUGCUUUACCAAAGCCUACAUUUGGAUUGACCUCAUUAUUCCAUAUUUUCAUGUGCUUGAGAAUAUUAAUUCAUUUGUGAAACUAGACAUUUUUCUCAUGGGAAGGCUUGGUACAUAACGUACUCUACAUGCAUCCUACAUUUAUAAAAAAAAUUCAUGGUAUCCAUGGUAUGAAACAACCUUUACAUUUAUAGUGUAUAUUCAGUGACAACUCGGAUUAUGUCAACCUUUCCAUGGUACGGUCGGUUGCAUCCUGUUGGCACCGUAGUUAAGAAAUGGCUGUGGGGCACGUUAGCUUUUGUUUACUUGUUGUAGUUUUCUACCUAAUUUUCUUAACUUGGGAUGUACUUUGCCCCGAGCACAUGCAGAGUAUAUGGUGCAUAUGUUCCGUGGAUACUCCCUAUGAAGAAGAUAAAGAUCGACUAUUAUCGGAGGUGUUUGAUGCUUCUCUGUACCGUUUAAUUUGCAGUGUUGGUGGACAAAUGAGCUUACUGAAAGAAGGGGGAUCUGAACGUGAUGAAAAGGUUAUUUUGUUCGAUUUUCCUUAUAAGCAUCCAUAUAUUUUGUUCCCUUCUCUCUACCUUCAGCAACCAUGUCCGUCGUGUCGGGUUUGUAUCAUUUCGACCUAUCUUCUCACUCUUAAACCAUUUGGCUGGGUCGAUGUGUUAUUAAUAGAUACAAUUGAUCUUGCGUCGUAUCUCAAACUAUGUCCCUAAUACGCCCGCCCACCCCUGUGUAUAUUAAGUGAAAACUGGGAUUAUGUCAAGUUUUCGAUGGUAUGAUCGUCUUGUAUCUUGCUGUCAUCGAAGUUAAGACAUGGCUCCGGGGCAGGUUAGUUUUUGUCUAUUCUCUGUAAUUUUCUACCAGUUUUUCCUACCCUCGUGUAUAUGCUAGAGUGCAUAGUAUGCUUGCUUAUCCGUUCAAUGGAUACUUUAUAUGCAGAAGAUAAAGAUUGACUAUCAUCUUCACUUAGUUGUAGAUACUAAAUAGUUAGUAUAAAAUUAUGAUAAUUUAGAAAGAAGUAUUAUGGUGUGGUGCGGUAAUAAUUUUAAAUUUUAAAACUCCACACCUUGCAUCAUACUUUUCUUGCAAAUGUGGGCAGUGUAUUCAAGUUGCUCUGGAACAAUUUGAAGGGUUUCGUUGACACAGAAACUUCAGCCAUGAUUCACUGCAUAGAAGUUUAAAAUUGUAGUUGUUUCAGGUGCUUUGCCACAUUCUUUAUGCUUUGUUCUUUAUGCACCAUUAUUUGAUCCUAAUCUGUUUCAAUUCUUAACCACCGUCUUUUGGCUCUUGCUUUCAACAAAUUCAGUGUUGGUUAUUCACUUUCUUGACAUGAUACUUUGGGCAAUGAUUUAGACUUCUUGAGCCAUUCUCUAUUUAUUAUCGAUGCAUAUUUGAAAAUAAACGAAUAAUGUCUCCUUCAUAUAUGAAUGACACACUGAAACUAUGGAUUUUUCAGUCAACUGACUGUCCUAUGCCUCAUCCUGCACCCAGUACAUUUAUGUUUCAUUGCUAAUUAAGGUUCAUUUGUGAUACCUUUCUCAGGAUGGAAAUGUUCCUCGACACCAUGACAAACAUUGGUGGAGUAACAAUCCCAUUUGCUGCUGCCGGUUAUGUAUUGUCGCUGCCACAAAGAUUACCUGGACACAGAGUCACAGUGUGUUCAAAAAUGAUUACAUUUUCCUUUUGUAACCUGAUGGUGUUAGUAACAUCUCAGCAGUAGGGCGGGAUUAGCUAGCCCUUUCUUGGAUCUGUUUCUCAUUUAGCUUGUGGGGUCGACUAUUCAUACUUGGAUAUACAUAUAUAUAAAGCAUAUAUAGUAAAUGUUAUUUAGUUUGUUCUGGAUGACCGAUCAAUGUUGUUUACCUAGAAAUUGGUUUUUCAACCUGCUACGAUUUAAUUUCCUUUACCGUGCAUAGUUGCAUAUAUACUGUUUAUGGAUUAUAUUCUACGCUCACUUCAUAUGAAGAACAACAUAAAUUGCUGACUGGGUUUCCAUUUAAUGAGUAGUUGUGUGUGUCUACCCAUGCCAAAGUACCAGAUGAAAGAAAGCAUGUGAUAAUGCUGAUAGAUUGAAACUAUGGUUCCUUUUCAUAGGCCCACUGUAUCAUGCCUACUCAGUUGCAGCAUGAGUUCUCCUAGCUCAGGAAAACCUUGAAAUCCAGAUCCUCUAAAAAUCUGAGCGAGCUAAAUGAUACUCCAUCUGUAAACAAAACUUGAAACACUGAAAGCUAAGGGGAUUUGCUGGAACUUUCAUUAAUUGCAAUAAAUCGUCUCUCCUGAAGAAAUCAGAUGAGAAAUACUUGUACAUUAUUUUUGAAGGCAAGAUAUGAUCCUAUACAUUACGAAAAUAUGUAUCAUUUUAUUGGACAAGUGGAUGGUCUAUGAAACACGCGCCUUUGGCCUAUUAUAAUUAACAUGUUACAUUAUAAAAUCGUAAGUAACAUCUUACACUACAAAUACACACCAAAUUGUGUAAUAUAAUAUUACAACUCCAUGUUCUAACCUAAUUUUUAACACUAUCAUAUAACAUUUAAAAUGGAUGGACGCGGCAACGCGCGUCAUUAAUGAUCUAGUAUGAUAUGAUUGAAGUGAGAACUUCAUACGUCCACAUGGAUUGUAAGCACAUUACAUGGAUAAUGCUUUUUUUUUGCAAAUAGGACUUGCAUUACUCAAAACCAAGUGUUACAUUCACGAUCUAUCAGUUUCAUGGCCUCAUCUGGGCCAAAUCGUAGCCAAACCAUGGUUUGACGAUGCCACCUAUCAAAAUGAGCCAAAACGUGGUUGAUAUUAUUAGAAGAUCAAUGAACAUGAGUAAUGCAAGAAUCCCACAAUCGCCUCCUUCUUUAAUCAUCUUGACAGCCUCUAGACAAUAUGAUUCUAUGUCUAUUGGUAAUUGACUCCACUAUAGUGCCAGCAAAAUUCCUUCUUUCAGAGCUAGAAGUUCAGCUUCCAAUAUCACCACAUGAGUAAAUGCAUCUAGCUACAUGAGCAAAAAAUAACGGUCCCCUCAUUAUUUCGGAGUACCAUUCACGCUCUUGUCACUUCGCCCAAUACAGAAGCAUCCGUGUUAAGCUUUAGGACGCGCUUGGAUUGUAGGUUUAGUUCUAAUACGGGUGUAUAAUUGAUACAGACCUCGGACGGUCGUUUUUAUUCCGGAUGAAAAUCGUACUACGAUCGGUAUUAUACACUUGUAAAUUAAAUCCGGGUGUAUAAGUUUACACCUAUUUAAAACAGAGCCUUACUCUAUCCGCACAGGUUUUAGCCCAUUUGCUCACGGUUGUAACUUCCGUUUGCCUUGGAUUUGUCAUAGGGAGUAUACAUGUACAACUGAAGACUUACUUUUUAUUGGAUCGCCGCUUGGGUCAGAUUGUAACAUCAACCGCGAAGACAAGUAGCUGCUCAUAAAUCUUACCGUGAGAUCAACAGGGGGUGGUUUCUUUGCACGCACCAUCUCAUUACGCAGGAACCAGAUUCUUUAAAAAAGCAUCAUAAUGUUCACCUUCUCCCCCCUCUUCUUACAUGGAUAAUGCUCUCAGGAAUGUCUCGGUGAGAAAGAGAGAUAAAGUAUCACAACGAUGCAGCAAAGACAGUCUUAGUCAUUGUAUUUUUUUUGCUUACGCACGGGUUCUUUUGCUAUCCAUAAAUAAUACUUCCUUCAUCUUAAAAUAAAUGACUCAACAUUAUACUAACUUUAAUAUAAUGUUAGUAUAAAGUCGAGUCACCUAUUUUGGAACGGAGGGAGUAGUAAUCACGUGGAUGUGUCGUGCACUCCACUCUCCAUACCAUGAUCGCUCGAUGAGAACAUAUCAGCGGUGUUGUUGCCAGAUGUAUAAUGAUCACAAAAGAGGAGGCCGGGCUUAAAAUGUGGGGGGCAGUGAUUUUGUGACAAGACGAUCGAACGUCACAAAAAGCCUGUGAAGAAAGCCUUGCCGGUGCACGAUACUACUAGUCAUAUCGGGAUCACGGUAUGCCGUGCACCACGCAACGCGAUGAUCGCAUUCGCAUCCAUCAGACGGAUCAGCCAGCCCUGCAACCCUCGCGCUGCUAUUUCGAAGCUACGGUACACGAUGCAUCUUGUCCUCUCCGCUGGCGCCAAAAUCACGCAGCACGCCACUGCGAAAGAUGGAAGCUUUGCCGCCCUGAAAACCCCCCUCCCCUGCCAAAGCACUCGCUCCGUCGCUCGGCACCGCUGCUCCAAGAUCUCCUCCUCCCUCCUCCACCACUGACCGCCACUCCACUCAGUCAUGGACGGCGGCCGGGCCCGGGCGCGCCGGUGGGCGGACGAGGCGGAGGAGGAGCGGCCACUGAAGGUGGUGUUCGCUUCGCCGGCGGAGCACUUCACGGACGCGGCGCCCAUCGGGAACGGCAGCCUCGGCGCCAUGGUUUGGGGCGGCGUCGCCUCCGACAAGCUCCAGCUCAACCGUACGUACCAGCUAUGCCUCCCCCGUUCCUCUCGCUUUUGCCCCGGUCUCGAGUUCAGCCGCCCGCCAUUCCUUGUUCACGACGGUUGUUUCAAACGGAGCACGUACCGGGAUCAGAUCAGCAAACCGGGCUGUGACUCGUGACUCGACCAAGAACGGCCCCUCAACUCCUCAAGGGUGUUCGAUGAAACUCCCGAACCAAACCAUCCUCUCCUACCUUAUAUGAUUAUCAUGGCAAGUGGAAGGAUAAAGUUACCGUAAUUAUUUUUGCAGUUGAUACACUCUGGACUGGUGUGCCGGGAGAUUAUACCGACCCGAAAGCACCUGCUGCCCUCGCUGCCGUCAGGAAGCUCGUUGACGACGGACGGUUUGUGGAUGCCACCAGUGCGGCUUCGGGCCUUUUCGGUGGCCAAACAGAGGUAUAUAUGCCAUGGUGUUCUGCUUAGCACAUCAGAGCAUGCUAUUGAUUGUCGUGUUGUGGUGAGGCCAGAGUGACAUAGCGCCAUGAAUUGCUUGACCCUUGCCGCCGUUGAGUAUCGUUCCGAAUUGUGAUAUGAUGCAUCUUACUGCACACUAAAUGUGUGUUUUACUUCGCUAUAAUUCCGAACUGCCAUUAAAUCCACCAUUCCUAUGGAGAUCACACAUAAUUUUUUAGGGAAAAGAUCACACAUAAUUGGUCCUUUCGUAGUCUGGUUGACGAUAUAUGCAACAUUUUAGCCUUUACUGCACCAUGACUCUAUGGUCCGUCACGAAAAAUAAUGUUGGAAGAGACCUUUUUCUUUUUCUUGUAAAAACUGCUAAAGGUAAAAGGUCGUUGUUUGGUUAACCUGCUAUAAGUUGAAAAGUAGCAUGUUUUUUUUUCCAGAAAUAGCAUAUCAUAACUGAAGAAACCGAACUAAACUUACUAUUGACUUUCGAGUUAAAGGUUAUCAUUACAAGAUGCAGUAUUACACAUCUGCAUUAGAAGUUCAUAACACAUUCUUAUCUUGAUGCUAUGAAGGUCUACCAACCUCUUGGAGAUAUGAAUCUAGAGUUUGACAUAUCCAAUCAGGAGUAUAGUUCCUACAAAAGGGAGCUUGAUCUACAUACUGCAACCACAGUUAUCACGUACAACAUUGGAGAAGUUCAGCACACAAGGGAGCACUUCUGCUCAAAUCCACACCAGGUCAUUGUUACCAAGAUUUCAGCAAACAAAUCAGAACAUGUGUCAUUGACUUUAUCGUUAAAUAGUAAAUUGAACCACCGAGUUCGUGUAAUGAAUGCAAAUGAGAUGAUCAUGGAAGGCAGCUGUCCAGUACACAGGCUACAUGAAAAUGAAGCCAGCGAUGCUUCUGGUAUCGGGUUUGCAGCUGUUCUUAGCCUGCAGAUGAGUGGUGCUGCUGCAAAAGUAGUAGUUCUAAAUGAUCAAAAAUUGAUAAUUGACAAUGCAGAUUGGGUGCUUUUGCGGGUUACAGCUGCUUCCUCAUUCAAUGGGCCUUCCGUGAAUCCGUCAGACUCAAAACUGGAUCCUGAAUCAGCAGCUCUGAGGGCCAUGAAUAUGAGUAGGAAUCUCACAUUUGAUCAGCUCAAAGCUUCUCAUUUGAAAGAUUACCAGGGUCUUUUUCACCGUGUUAGUCUGCGGCUAUCACAGUCACCAGCUAUAGAAAAAAUAAACAUGAAAGAAGUUGGUGAAGCCAUCAAGACUACAGCAGAAAGAGUGAAUGGUUUUCGAAGCGACGAGGAUUCUUCUUUGGUUGAACUUCUCUUCCAAUAUGGUCGAUAUUUGCUCAUUUCGUGCUCUCGACCUGGAACACAGAUAUCUAAUCUGCAAGGAAUUUGGAAUCAAGAUCUUCUGCCUCAAUGGGAGUAAGUUAUUUUUAUGUCUAAAGUUAUUGCAUCGUUGUCCUUCAUUAUUCAUUUCCCACUGUUUUUUACAUGUGAGGCUUUAACUACCUACUCUAAUACAUGCACUUACUGAUGAAUUGAUUAUAAAAUAUCUGACCUACUAAUUAAGGCAACUGGGAGAUAUCGUUUCCUCACAUGAAACUUUCAUUUUCCUCAGAUGUCACUUUUAUUUUGUGUUUGUGAUCCAUUUAGGUGGUGUUUUGAUUGGGGGGGGGGGCUGAAUGAUCAAACAUUCACACUGCUUUAAUUUUCCAGGUGUGCUCCGCACCUCAACAUAAAUCUUCAGAUGAAUUACUGGCCAACACUUCCUUGCAACCUUAUUGAAUGCCAAGAACCACUACUUGACUUCAUAGCAUCUCUUGCAGUUAACGGAACUAAGACUGCAAAAGUAAGUUCUACUGCUUUCAAUAUUUUAUUUUAGUGAAACGGUGUGGUUACCACAAAUAUGAGUAGCAUGAUAAACAGGUCAAUAUUUGCUUGUUUGGGAUUGUAAUACCUUGGGGAGUUAUACUGGGGAGAAAUUUGUCAUAUGCCACCAGACAAACACAUGACCAACUUUGUAAAAUAGGUCAUCAUCUGAAAGGCAUCACUGAAAUCUACUUACUGAACAGUUCAAUUUCUUAGGUCCCACGACAGCUGCUAGAGCUGUUUUAUCUCGCUGCGGGAGCUGAAAACACACACAUACACACGCGUGCAAGCCGAAAACGAAAAUGAAAAAAGGUUGACAGUAGACUAUCUGAUUUGGAUGCAUGGCAUAAAGGUAGACGCACAGUUAGUCACUGAACUUUAGAUUUUAUUCUGAUUGCUAAGUCCUGCAAACAGUAUGUUUGUUUACUGAGGCGAAGUUACCUAGACGACAUCAGUGUCUUUCUUCCAUUCAUAACAUCCUUAACGUGUAGAAGAAUUAAAACAUGAGCGAUAUGCCAUCUGAUUGCUGACAGAAUUCUUUGUUUGUGACAGAUCAAUUACCAAGCUAGUGGCUGGGUAACUCACCACGUCACAGACAUAUGGGCAAAAUCAUCAGCUUUUAAUGAAGAUGCUAAGUACUCAGUGUGGCCAAUGGGGGGUGCCUGGCUUUGUACGCAUCUUUGGGAGCACUACCAGUAUUUAUUGGACAAAGUAAGAAAUAGAUAUGAUUUAAUGUUGUCAGCUCACAUCAAUAUUUGUACUACCUCAUCUUACUUUGCAAAUAUAGCCUGGUUACAACGUCUCAAUGUUUUGCAAGUUUCAUGUUACCACAUUGUUAUUCUCUUAUUGUGCAACUUGUCUUCGAUUCAUUACUACCUUGAUACUCACAUAAUUAUGGGGUUCUGCACCACUGGAAUGUUUUCUGAAACAAUAUUUCUUGUUAAAACUGUAUCAAGAAUGUCCCAGUGUUCCUACAGCAGUAUAAUUUGUCAUUUCACAGUUUUGAAAUUCUUGUUAUUCUUUUAUGUUUCUUCUAGGACUUUUUGAAGAACACUGCAUAUCCAUUGUUGGAAGGAUGUGCGCUGUUUCUGACUGAUUGGUUGAUUGAGGGACCUCGAGGUCUUUUGGAAACAAACCCCUCUACUUCUCCAGAGCAUGCUUUCAUUGCUCCCGGUUCUGGUGAUCACCAAGCUAGUGUUAGCUAUUCAACUACAAUGGACAUCGCAAUCAUCCGAGAGAUAUUCUCGGCAGUCAUUUCUUCUGCAGAGGUAACAAUUAAUGCCAUAACUAGCUAUAACACUAUAAAAUGUAAUCAGAAAGAUAAAAUAUAUAUGCUGGCGUAGUUUUUUGUUUUUGUUUGUGAAAUGUGUGUUGACUCGAUCAUCUCUCAAACAUAAUAUUUUGAUGCUACUACACAACAGAUUUUAGGAAAAUCUGAUACUCCUCUGGUCCAGAAGAUCAAGGAAGCACUUCCAAGGCUCCCUCAGAAUACGAUUGCUAAAGAUCAAACACUCGUGGAGUGGGUAAAUUCUCUAGCCCUGCUUGGGUUUGGAUUUAUUUCUGUUGUAAUAUGACUUUUUUCGAGAAAACGCAAAAGACUUUGCGUUUCAUUGGUGUUUUUCAUGACUUACAUCUUGGUGUUUUUCAUGGAGGCACAAGAUUUUAAAGACCCUGAACCUAGCCAUCGGCACCUGUCACAUCUCUUCGGUCUUUAUCCUGGUCAUACUAUAACCAUGCAGGGAAAUCCUGAGAUUUGCGAAGCUAUUUCUAAUAGUCUUCACAAACGAGGUUUGCAUAACACAGUGAAUAACUGCAUUUGAUUACGUAUGUUAAGUGUUAAUGUAUCAUACCUAAAUAAAUGGAUGUUAAUGCUCUGUUUACCCGAAUAUGGAUUGUAGUCGUAGGGAUUUACGGCCUAAACAAGCUUUGCAAUAGUUACUACUCCCUCCGUCCGGAAAUACUUGUCCUAAAAAUGGAUAUAUUUGAUGUAUCUAUAAUUAAAAUAAGUCUAGAUUCAUCCAUUCCUAGGACAAGUAUUUCCGGAGGAGGGAGUACAUGUUAAAAUAUUUUUGUGUACAGAAUCAUAAACAUCUAUGAACCAAAUAUAGUAAUGGACACAGCAGAUUAGGCUUAUGGUUUUACUUUUAAAAAUAGCUUAUGCUUUCCUUUACAUGUCUACAUCUGUUGCCAUGCAUUUGAUAUGUCUUUAUUUGGCUUUCCUACUUUUUAAAUCAACGGUAUCGAGCAAUAUUAUGGAAUUAGUCAAAUAGUGGUGCAUGCUUUGACAAUAGGAUGAAUGCAAAAGAAAAUCAAAUGGUUGUGGCAGUCUGUUCAUCAUCAUGGCUGUUGACAGUCGCCACACCAACUGUUGGACUUUGAUCUAGCACAAAGGGGGUGUAUAAGAGCAGAUAUGGAUGGCGUGAUUUGGCACAAAUAGCAGUAUAACUGUUGGUGCAGUUCCCUGCACCUAGCUCUCUCUUUCUCUCUCACGGCUGGAGGUAGAACAAGAAGUAUGAGCAGACACAAAAUAUGGUGGUUCCAGCGCAUGUACGCCCGCCGCACGAACGGCUUCUUUCCCUCAAGCUCGAACUCGAGUCCCACGCCGUUACAACGCCCGCUGAGGCUUCUUAUAGCCGAGACGCACCAGGGUACGACCCACGUCCCAGCCCACGUCGAGCACUCGGUCCACGCCCACUCUGCCCGCGCCCACGAUGCGCACGCACGCGCCUGGGUCGCAGUGAGCCCGCGGCGUACCGACUCAACGCCACCCUGCUGAUCUUGCUAACAGACUAGGUCUACUCCACGUACACUCCGCGCCACAGCCACAUGACCCGGCUGCUAANNNNNNNNNNNNNNNNNNNNNNNNNNNNNNNNNNNNNNNNNNNNNNNNNNNNNNNNNNNNNNNNNNNNNNNNNNNNNNNNNNNNNNNNNNNNNNNNNNNNNNNNNNNNNNNNNNNNNNNNNNNNNNNNNNNNNNNNNNNNNNNNNNNNNNNNNNNNNNNNNNNNNNNNNNNNNNNNNNNNNNNNNNNNNNNNNNNNNNNNNNNNNNNNNNNNNNNNNNNNNNNNNCACGCCCAUACGCGCGCCCGACGUGUCCGACCCGUCGCCGCGGCUUAUUUCUUCUAACAUUCACCCCUCUAAGCCGUGGCUCAGAGAAGCCCGACGUUCUCGACGUCGAUGUCUGCCAGUAGAGCUUGCUCUGCCGCUGCCCCAUUCUUUCGUUGAGGGCAGUCCCUCUUGAAGUGGCCGCGCUCGUUGCAGUGGUAGCAGCGCCCGCGUCGGUUCCCAUGGACGCUUGACGCCACGCUCUUGUCAUCGUCGUCAUCGUCCCGCGCACCGCCUCGCCGGCGCUCCCGCGCUCGCCACUGCUCCGCCGUGAGCAUGAGCUGGCCGUCUUCCCGCUCGCCACCCGUCUGUCCGCGUCGCCGCAGCCGCUCGUCGAACGCGCGCAGCCGCCCGAGCGCCUCGUCGAACGCCAUGGUCGCCAUGUCGCAGAACUGCUCGAUGCCGGCGACGACGGGGAACAGCCGAUCCGGGACGGUGUCCAGCAGCUUCUUCACGAGCACCGCGUCGCCCAGCGUCUCCCCUAGGCUCGCGAACCGCGCCGUCAUCCCUGCCAGCCUCCCGGCGUACGCGUCCAGCGCCUCGCCGUCCGCCAUCUUCAGGCGGUCAAAGUCCCCGCGCAGCGUCGCCAACCUCGCCGCGCGGACACGAUCGGCGCCAACGAACCUCACCUUCAAGGAGUCCCAUACCUCCUUGGCGGUGAGCUUCGUCGCCACCUGCAGCAGCACGUCCUCCGGCAGCGCUCCAAGGAGCAUCGCGCGCGCCGCCUUAUCCUUCUUGGCGUUCACCGCCGCGUCGCCCGGCGCCACCGCCUCCCACACGGUGUGGACGUCGAGAAUCGCCCGCGCCUUGAUCGCCCACACCGUGUAGUUGUCCGGCGUGAGCAUCGGCAUCGCCAUCGACACCGAUCCGCUCGCGCCGCCGCCGUGUGGGACGAGCGCCGUUGUCCCCGGUGAUCUCCUAAACCGAAGCUCUGAUACCAAAUGUUGGUGCAGUUCCCUGCACCUAGCUCUCUCUUUCUCUCUCACGGCUGGAGGUAGAAGAAGAAGUAUGAGCAGACACAAAAUAUGGUGGUUCCAACACAUGUACGCCCGCCGCACGAACGACUUCUUUCCCUCAAGCUCGAACUCGAGUCCCACGCCGUUACAACGCCCGCUGAGGCUUCUUAUAGCCGAGACGCACCAGGGUACGACCCACGUCCCAGCCCACGUCGAGCACUCGGUCCACGCCCGCUCUGCCCGCGCCCACGAUGCGCACGCACGCGCCUGGGUCGCAGUGAGCCCGCGGCGUACCGACUCAACGCCACCCCGCCGAUCUUGCUAACAGACUAGGUCUACUCCACGUACACUCCGCGUUGGCUCACGCACGCACGUACUAAACGGCCACAGCCACAUGACCCGGCUGCUAACCAACUAACCCGGCUGCUAAUCAGCUAACCUACAUGCACGCACCAAGCGCAUCUUCCUAGCUCACAGCCCCGCCGCGGACCCGACGCGCCCAACAUGCCCGGCACACGCCCAUACGCGCGCCCGACGUGUCCGACCCGUCGCCGCGGCUUAUUUCUUCUAACAUUAAUCGUCUUAAUCUUGCAGUGUAAAUUUUAAUCCGUGGAAGCAGAUUGGCAUUGUGCUUUUUUUCUUGAGGUUUUUUUAUUUUUGAGGGGAGACUGGCAUUGUGCUAGUCUAAAUAAAAAUACACAUUGUUGAACUUGAUUGCUGUGAUGGUUUCAAAUUGGAAAGUGCCUUAGGAGCAUCCCCUAUCAAGUGAAAACAUAAGAGAUAAAUUUGUGGCUGUAUGUGUUUUGCCAAGAAAGGGUGCAACAAGACAUAUUUGCCUAGCACUGGUUUGCCUCACACCUACUAAUAAAGGGACAUUUCUCUCAAAUCGGAAGUUAAUACAUCGUUGUUUCUUACUAGGGGAAGAUGGCCCUGGAUGGUCAAGCACGUGGAAGAUGGCUUUAUGGGCACGCCUUCUUAACAGCGAAAAUGCGUACAGAAUGAUCCUAAAGUUAAUCACACUGGUUCCACCUGGUGAUACAAUUAAAUUCGAAGGAGGACUGUACACCAAUCUGUGGACAGCACACCCACCAUUCCAGAUCGAUGGAAACUUUGGGUAUGAGAUGUUCUUGCCUUUUCAUUAUACGAUAUAUGCUUCAUUCUGUCUGAUCAGUUUGACAGUUUCCGUUGCGUAAUUACCAAUUAACCAACUCUGGGUAUGUGCCUGUUGUCUGAAAGUAAUAUUAGCAUCUCCAAUUCUGUACUGUCUUGCAGAUUCACAGCUGCGAUCGCGGAAAUGCUGCUUCAAAGCACUCCCACUGACGUGUAUCUACUGCCCGCACUUCCACGCGACAAGUGGCCUGACGGGUGUGUUAAAGGGUUGAGGGCUCGGGGUGAUACCACUAUCAACAUCUUCUGGGAGAAAGGGGAGCUCCAGGAAGCAGUGCUAUGGUUUAACAACAGAAAUAAUUCAGUUUUAUGGCUGCAUUAUGGCGGGCAAGAUGCCGUAGCCACGGUGGAAGCUGGUAAUGUUUACAGGUUUAAUGGGGUUUUACAGUGUGUCGAUACAUGGCCCCUUGACAAAUGCGCAUUUUAGUUUGUAUGCGUGGGGCUUGGUCAUUGUGUCUGGACAUAUGUAUAUGAGUUGUGUGGAUAAUAAUUUAAUAUGUGUGGUUUGAUUAGGAAUAAUGAGUUGGUGUGUAGCUAAUGACCAUAUGUAUUGGCUUGGCUAUCAUGUGUGAGCAUAUGAAUGAGUUGGUGUGUGAUACAUUUGGUGUAUGGAACUAUAUUUCUCCUUGUUCUCAGUAAACAGUCAGUGUUUGGGAAUGAUUUCCUUAUGAAUGUAUUAAACUAUGCCUGAUUUGAUUUCUGAUGCAAACAAGUACUAAUGCAUUAAUCAUACAAAUUAUGUGAUGUGAUACAUUUAUCAAAGGGAAAAGCUUUUUCUUACCUCGUCAAAUAAGAAGAAAGGUUGCCUAGUUAAUUAGAGGAAAACCGGGUGGACGGGUUGUAUGUAGGUUUCAGCAUCAUCAGUCAUCCUCAACUCAGUAACAUUGGUAAUCCUCUAUUACUAAAUAGCUAACUCCCACUAGCGAUUUUUCCUGAGCUUUGGUGAUGCCACAUCACCUCAUGACGUGUUUCCCUGAUUUUCCGUAUUUCUUUCCAAAACUAUUAGCACGUCAUGCCCCUUCCUGGCUUCAUAGAUUCUUUGGUCUUCCGAGCGACUCGACACGAUGCAUGUGCUCCCCUCAGUGUCACGGCAGCCUCUCUCCCCUUCCACCUCCAAUUUUCCAACACACCACUACGGCAAGAGUAAAAGAUGGAUUAAUGUUCAAAGAUGAAACUGUUGAAUUUACUGCGUUCUACGCGUGCACGUGUAACUGAAGCAAUACCUCUCCCCGUUUUAAGCCAUUCCUAUUGUGGCCAUAUAUCUCUGCUGGAGAGUCGCCAGCUUUCGCCCUCCGGUAACAAUAGAUGUUGAUGGACCAAGUUUGAAGUCGACGAUAAUCAUCAAAUGGUGCCAUGCGUGUUCGCCCGGACACACCUGCAGCAGUUGUUGUCGUCUCCCGUCUCGGUCGCUCCGUGCAAGGUUAUCCUACAGCCUCUUCAUCGUUGAUUUGUCCCCUCCCAUCCGUUUUUACAUGUCCAGUUCUUAUUCUACCUCAUGCAUUAUUAUUUUCUGAGGGAAUCAAGUCAUGUAGGAAAAUUUUAUAUUUAUUUUUUGCAUUAACUUUAGCAUUCUAUCAUUUAUUCAUAUAUUUUUUUAACAAAGUUCCCGCUGCAACGUGUGGGGCAUCAUCUAGUUCAUCAAAUUCUUCUAGCCACAAAAGUGACUACAGUAUGACAGAUACUUUCUUCCAGAAGAAACCGAGUCACGGCGGAAAACACAUAGGACAGUAAUGUUAACAAUCACUUGGCAUAAUCAAUUUUCACCACAGUAAGAGGUACACGGAGAUCGAGGGCUUCGUUCCUCCUUUUCCAAAAAAAAAGGUACACCUAGGGAAGAGGAAUUGGCCCAGUCGGAUGCUCCACCCCCUAUAUAAAUAUUAAAAUCAAGGAACAAAUGGGAAAAAAUUAAAAAACAUGGAAUUUUGGGAUAUCAAGCUUGAGUGCCCAAUCUAACUUCCAUGUAUAGUUUUAUGAAAAAAAUACCAGAAAAAGUAUCCCGGUAAAAAGACAAAAAAUUUCCUAUGUAUAGAAAAGAAAACUGUUUGGAUGGAUAGUAGUUCAGACUGUAUGCCACAGAAAGAUUUCAUGGCAUUUUUUCACAAAACUUCGCAUGGGAGUAGAUUGGUCACCCAGGUUUGAUAUCCCCAAAUUCCAGUUUUUUUAAUUUCCUGGUAAUUUUUGAAAUUAAUAUUCGUAUAGGGGGUGAAGCACCAAGGAGCUCCUAUGUAUUUUCCAUCAAUGCACGAAGAUAUCAUAUGCAACAAAUGAAGCCUAAGAAAAAGAAAUCAAAGCAUUUUUUACAACAGCAACCUAGACACAUAGUAUACUCGGCGUGUACCUAAAUACAUUUUAUAAACUGUCACGGGAAAGACUCCUCGCGUGACUAUAUUUCAAUAAAAAUAAAGGUUUGCAAAAGAUGAGAGGUGAAAAAAUCCCGCCACAAUCCAGCGUGGAUCUUUUUAUCCGCCAUUUUAAGGUGGUGUGAGACCAGAGAGUGAGGUCAAAAAUAAUAGCCUUAAUCACAUCAUUUGGAGGAAGAGACAAGUUCCUAAACUUUUUGAUGUUUCGAGCAUCCUAAAUUUUUCAGAGCACGAGCAACAGAAUAAAAGGCCAAACAAACAGAAGAAGCCCGAGCUGAACCGGUGAGUUCCACAACUCCGCCAGUGGUGAGAAACAGGGCUGCAGUCCAAUACCUAAAUGCAUACUCCCUCCGUUCCUCAAUAUAAGUCUUUUUAGUGAUUUCACUAGGAGACUACAUACGAAGCAGAAUGAAUGUAUCUACAUUUUAAAGUAUGUCUAUAUACAUCCAUAUAUAGUUCCUUAGUGAAAACUGUAAAAAAAAUUUAUAUUUAGGAACGGAGAGAGUAGAAUUUAAUCUACCUAAUACAGUAACCAACAAUGUUUGAUCGAAGUAACGGGCACGUGAAAGGGAAAGCCACGUGAUCAAAAGAAAGGAAAGUAGAGAUAAUUGACCAACAACCUUUUCUAACACGGUCGCGUAAAAAAUGCUGGAAAGUUGAUAUGAGCUACAAGUUACAGAUUAACCUUUGGCUAAAUGUGACGAGACAAGUUUAACCAGAGGCAGAGUUACCAUAACUGAGCCCUCAAAGAUCAAACCAAUAGCAUGUCUAGUAGAAAAUCUUAGAGAAAACUCAAGUGUGCAUAUCACCAGAUUCAAACCGGUAAUUAAACAAACUAUGAUAUGAUUGCUAAUUAAACAAGGUCUUCGACACAGAGUCCACAGUAAGUACCAAACAAUAUAUGACACUUAGAGCGUUAGACCCGACCAAAAUGCGAGUGACAAUUGUUAUCAGCUCUAAGCAACUUCACAUGUUAGCUUUCCGCACCUUUAUGAAGGUUUGUCGCAUAAGUUGAUGGCUUGACGCCUCAUCAUUUUCUCUUUCCGUCGGAACUCCUUUUCUAAUAAUGCUCCCAAAGUUCAAGGCUUUUUAUUUUGUUAUCAUAGUGUUUUUAAUCUUCUCUUGCUUACCACUCCGGAGCAUAACACACAAUUCAAACUAGAAAAGAAAACUAAAAUAGAAUUAAAAAACAUGACAUUGAUGUUACUUCACUGUGAAAUAGUUGUUUUGCUAACUAUGCUCCUCCUUUUUGUUUUUCUAGUGUGUACCAUGUCUUAAUCAGUAACUUCUGCUAUUGGAUGGAUGUUUUCCGCAGCAACGAGAGGAAAACUCUUGCCACCAUGUCAUUGUUCUCCUGAACUUUAACAACUCAUUGUCAAAUGUUGUCCCAUUUUACAACUACAUAAGCCCUUGAUAUAUGAAUAUAUAUAUAUAGUGACAGUUCUAUUCUAGAUCGAGAAGUGUACAUAUAAAACUAGUAAGUAAACAAUAUGUGGUAAUUAGAUGCAUAACAACCAGAUACAAAUAGGUAACAAAUGAGAUCAUGGCUACCAAUAUAAACUGCACACACUUGCGCCACCAUCCGGUAGGCUUUACACACUGCAUCAGAAACUCAAUUACAAUGAUGAGACAAAGGCUUAACCGUUAAAACAUUGACUAGAGACGUACUCCAAACUUGACAUACAUGAUUGAAGAUAGAGUAAGAACACAAAGCGUCAUGGAAUCUGGACAACCAGACCCUCCAGAAGGCACCUCCACUCCACGUCAGUGUCGAAAAAAGAUGCAUACAUCUUCACCGCCACGUCGCCCUCUUCAAAAACGAAAACGACAAAGAAAACAAGAAAACAAACAAACACCGAGAGAGAAAAUAAGACCCCCGUCACAAGAUCGCCCGAGCGGCGAUCGGACGGGAGGGGUUGCGUCAAGUCAUCAGGGACAUCUUUGCUAGAUACGGUGACCAAAUUUUGGUACGUGUACCAACCCUUCCAAAUUAACACAUGAUCCAUCACUUGAUAGCCUCAUGAUAACUCCUCCAUUUUUGAAAGCCCUAGUGGUUGAUAACACUUGAUCUAGUGUUAGAUGUGAUCAUUAGCCACUCUAACCACUCGACCGGGAGGCCCCACCCGCAGCUUAUAACAAACCCACCUCCGCCGCUGUCCCCGUUCCCUUUUCCCCUCCGAUCGCAGCAGCUUCCGCGAAGACGGAGCCGCCCCCAUUAAAAUACCCAACUCGCCACGCCCCCCCUCCCCGCAUCUCUUCUCCGCCCUUCGUCCCUCCUCGGGCUCCGCNNNNNNNNNNNNNNNNNNNNNNNNNNNNNNNNNNNNNNNNNNNNNNNNNNNNNNNNNNNNNNNNNNNNNNNNNNNNNNNNNNNNNNNNNNNNNNNNNNNNNNNNNNNNNNNNNNNNNNNNNNNNNNNNNNNNNNNNNNNNNNNNNNNNNNNNNNNNNNNNNNNNNNNNNNNNNNNNNNNNNNNNCGGCGGGCGCGGCGAUGGGCGCCGUCGCCUCCACGGUGGCGGCGCGCUUCGCCUUCUUCCCGCCCUCCCCGCCGUCGUACGGCGUCGAGCCCCCGCCCUCGCCGGCCGCCGCGGCCGCGGACGGCGCGGUGGUGGAGCUAAGCGGGGUGCCCCGCCGGGGCGGCGUGGAGGCGCGGCGGCUGCCGACCAAGCGCGGCACGGAGGUGGUCGCCAUGUACGUGCGCCAGCCCGGGGCGCGCCUCACGCUGCUCUACUCCCACGGCAACGCCGCCGACCUGGGCCAGAUGUACGAGCUCUUCGUCGAGCUCAGCUCCCACCUCAACGUCAACCUCAUGGGGUACGUCCCGUCCCCCGUCUGUUGGUAACAUUUCGUUAUGAAAUAUGGUGCUGUUAGACUGUUAGUGUUAGGCUGCUUGAUUACGGUGCUAGGGAUUGGAUUUAGUACAACUUGACUGCUUGGGUUUUGCUUAUUGGGGGCAUGCUUAGGAACGCCCUGUUAUUCCGUAAAAAGUCGAUGGGAGUUUAAUCUUCAAGGCCGUGCUGGCAGUUGGUUGUGCAUCCACGCCUUCAUGGAAAGUAGUACUAGUCGUUAGAUACUUUUGUGAUUUGAUUGAGGUUGUUGAACCCGUGGGAAUGUCUCUGAGGCCGUUGUUAUCCGCUGGAUAGUCCGAAGGUCAGGGCAUUCUGGUCAAUAAUUGGUUGAUUUGAUUGAAGUUGAUCAUUAUUUUUCUAAUAAAUGCUAGAGGAUUUAGGACUGAUUGGAAAGUUUGGAUGUUAGUGCGCUGUGCUAGUCAGUGGUGGGAACCUCUACUUUAUGUCAUUGUCACUGCUAGGGUCGUUUGGAAAUUCUCGUGUCUGUGCAUGUAAAAUGAAACAUUUGGAUUCUAGUGUUGAAUUGUGAAUCUUCUGAUUGUACCUUAAAUAAUUCAGUUGGUAAGGACNNNNNNNNNNNNNNNNNNNNNNNNNNNNNNNNNNNNNNNNNNNNNNNNNNNNNNNNNNNNNNNNNNNNNNNNNNNNNNNNNNNNNNNNNNNNNNNNNNNNNNNNNNNNNNNNNNNNNNNNNNNNNNNNNNNNNNNNNNNNNNNNNNNNNNNNNNNNNNNNNNNNNNNNNNNNNNNNNNNNNNNNNNNNNNNNNNNNNNNNNNNNNNNNNNNNNNNNNNNNNNNNNAUGUUCUUUACCAAUAUUAACUACUAAGAUUCUUGCAAUGUGGAAAAAGAAAAAAAAUGUUUGCUCAUUCAGUUGGUAAGGACCGAAGAGUCAUUGUCUUGGAGUGUAGUUUGGUCGCCAUUUUUGGUCAAAAUCUGAAUGCCACACUGGCACAUUCAUAUGUUCUUUACCAAUAUUAACUAUUAAGAUUCUUGCAAUGUGGAAAAAGAAAAAAAAUGUUUGCUCAGUUUGUAUAUUUAUUUUUCCUAGUAUAGGGAUGUUAUACUGUUAUUAGUACUGUAUGGUGAUGUGCAAUGAUGAAGAUGGGGUUUAUAUUUUUUUUCACUUCACUUCUGAUUAGGUUCUUGUAUAAUUAUUGUAGUUAUCGUUUCUGUUGUACCUGCAAAAUUGAUUAGGUUUGACCAGAAUUUUUAGCUAUAGAUUUGGUUGCAAAAGUCUACUAAAAGUGAGGACAUUGAGUUCACAUUUAAUUCUUCGUUCUUCUGUUUAAUGGAUUCCUCCUUGGAUAUUCUUUGAUUUGAUCUUAAUAAAAUAUUGAACUCCCACCUGGGCACUUUGAUUAGAACUAUUGUCCGUUUACGUCCCAGUUCCAAGUUUAGCUUCUCUUACAAGUUUUGGUGUAGGUGUAGGUAGUGAAUAAAUGAACGAGCUUUUGUUGGUAGCUUGUGUUCCAUCUACUCAUUUGAGUGGGUCAGUUUUUUUAUGAGGGAAUUGGGCAUUGCUAAUCAGUUACUAUGUUUAUAAUUGAAAGACUGGCAGAUGAGCUGUUGACUAGUUAGAUUAAUUGAGUUUUCCAGUGGAUAUUAGGCAUACCCAGUUUCAAAUCUUUUGGUUUGGAGCAAUAAGCAAUUGUUCCAUUGUGUCUCCACUUUAUCUUGCUUGAGUAGUCAUUUUUUUCUUUUCAGUUGAGUAGUGAACACCAUUUGUAUCUGUCUUAUAGCUCCAAUACCAGCUUGUCCUUUCUAUCAUCGGUUUGCAUAGUUGACUUUCCAAAAGGUCUGUCUAUAGUUUUCUUCACCUUAUAAUAUAGAGUUGACCAGUUGUUGCUUUGACGCGUGACAGCUACAAUAUGUUAUGCUAAUUUCAAGGAGAUUUCUUAUAGAUUACUUGCUUUAAGCUCUGUGUUUGUGUUUAUGAUAUGUAUGUGCUUCCAUUUGAUACUGUUGAUAGUUGAUACCUACCAGUCAUCAUCCUACUGUCAAUGUCAUAUAUAUUUCACUGAUCCUAAUGCCCAUUUUGGCUUCACACAGUAACUAAUGAAGUACCUUCUUUUCCCCUUUUUACAGUUACGAUUAUUCUGGAUAUGGGCAAUCAUCUGGGAAGGUAUAGACUCAAUCUUUUUCUAGGAAAGUACUUUUCCUCUCCUCUUCCCCUUUGCUUUCUGUUUUAAGAGGUUCAGCUAUCAUCGGUUUGCAUAGCUGACUUGAUUUGUUUCUGUUUGAUUCUGCAGCCAAGUGAGCAGAACACUUAUUCAGACAUAGAGGCUGCUUAUAGGUGUCUCAUAGAAACUUAUGGGGCCUCCGAGGAAAACAUCAUUCUGUAUGGCCAAUCAGUUGGCAGCGGCCCUACUUUGGAUUUGGCAUCUCGUUUGCCUCAUUUGAGAGCAGUGGUUCUACAUAGCCCAAUUUCAUCUGGCUUGAGAGUAAUGUAUCCUGUGAAACAUACGUACUGGUUUGACAUAUAUAAGGUGAUUAUUUUACUUUGUUUCUUUCAGUUUCAUAUUUUCCUUGAUCUGAUCUCUAUAUUUUUAUGUGCAGAACAUUGACAAAGUUGCAUUGGUCAAAUGUCCCGUGCUAGUAAUCCAUGUGAGUAUUCUAAUGACAGCAAGAUUUCCUUAAGGUCUUAAAACUCCAUAUGACAUGAAAUGCUUUUGUAUUUUAAUUUUAGUCGUGUUCUUUCCUCCUAUGAAAAGGACAUCAAUAGUUGGCCCAGUUCCAGUUUGGUGGCGUGGGGAUGGAUUGGAACCCUUUUUAGAUUUGAUUACCUCCAUAUAUUGUUUUCUCCACUCUCUUCAAAUACGUUUCAAGUUAGAUGCUUCUACCACAGUUUUAAAAACCGAGCCAAUGACCAUAGUCACCAGGCUGUUGGUUCACUUGUUCAUCGGUCAAACUGCUGGUUUGCCAGUCCAAUAGCCAGUUCACCUGUUCACUCACCGGUCUUAUAAGUUUUAUAAGAAUAUUCAUUUGACAUCAUAUAAUGUAAUUAGUAAAAAGAUCACAUGUAAAGCGACAGAUCUAAGUUUAACAUAGCUGUACUGUUGCAAUGUCUAUGUGAUUGUCCUUUCCUUUUGAAGAGUACAACACCUCCCUUGGACGGAAAUUUAAUAAUUUCUGAUUAUAGUGUUUUGGGAAGAGAUGACUGUUCCAUAGCAACACCAAUAUUCCCUCACCUAUUUAUGGCAUUAAAACUAUUUCAUCUGCAGGGUACGUCUGAUGAUGUUGUCGACUGUUCUCAUGGGAGAGCGCUUUGGGAACUCUCCAAAGUGAAGUAUGAGCCUUUGUGGGUCAAAGGGGGUAACCAUUGUAAUUUGGAACUCUAUCCGGAAUACAUUAAGCACCUAAAGAAGUUCAUCACAGCCAUAGAGAAGUCCCCACCACUGAAAGAUGAAUCUCCAGAAAGCUCAGGUCCUUCAGAUCUUGAAACAGGAUCUGAAAGUAUGGAGAGUUCAAGAAAAAGCACGGAUGUGAGGGACAAAUCAAGGUCAAGCACUGAUCACAGGCGGAGUACAGAUCGCCGGGAGAAACCAAGGAGCAGCAUAGAUAGGAAGGAUAAAAGCAGAAAGAGNNNNNNNNNNNNNNNNNNNNNNNNNNNNNNNNNNNNNNNNNNNNNNNNNNNNNNNNNNNNNNNNNNNNNNNNNNNNNNNNNNNNNNNNNNNNNNNNNNNNNNNNNNNNNNNNNNNNNNNNNNNNNNNNNNNNNNNNNNNGAGUGUAGAUCAUCCUGACAAACCACGGGCUAGUGUGGAUCAAUCUGAUAAGCCACGGAAAAGCAUUGACCGGUCUGUAUAUUCUUACACGCACUCUGUUUGUUUUACUGUUUAAUGUGGAUUCCUGUUACAUGACAUAUCCUUGUUGUGUCUUCUUGACUCUUGCAAUGCAUUGUGUGGCAGCUUUGGAGGGAUGAUGAGGUCGGUCAAAUUGUGCAAUAUUGACUGCUUCAAAGUAACUUCCACUUCUGGGAGCUGAAAAUAGUGGAAGGUUAGUUUUUGUUAGCACACGUGUUUAUUUCAUAUGUAUAAUCUAUUCAAUUGGGUGUUUUAAGUUUUGCUGUGGAAGGUGUAUUGAUUUGGGUGAGGGUUAUGCACACUGAAUUGUUACGUGAGAAGAAAUGAUAAUUCAUUCCUGACCCCUUGAGUUUUCAAAGCCAUUCAUUUGGCACAUCAAGAACGCUACUCCCACGAGUAUGAAGCAACAUCAUUGUUACACUGUACAUAAGUUCUUGUACCAUUCACUGUCAUGGUUUUUCUUUUUAAUAGAAACAUUUAAUAGAUAACUGAACUGGGAAUUUGUGUCUUCCCUCUGGAAAGAAUGUUCUUUUCAAAUAUGGUUUUCUGUCACUUCGUCGCUUUGUCAUAGAGCUUGAGCUUGAAAUGAAUCACUGGAUCACUCAAUGUAAUCAUUAUCNNNNNNNNNNNNNNNNNNNNNNNNNNNNNNNNNNNNNNNNNNNNNNNNNNNNNNNNNNNNNNNNNNNNNNNNNNNNNNNNNNNNNNNNNNNNNNNNNNNNNNNNNNNNNNNNNNNNNNNNNNNUCAAUGUAAUCAUUAUCUUUGUUCAGUGAAUCACCGGAUCAUUCAAUGUAAUCAUUAUCUUUGUUCAGUUCAAUGCUCAUGUUCUAGCUAUCCAGUUUCUCUAUUAAUAAAAUAUAUACUCCCUCCGUCACAGUUUACAUGGUGCCCGCACAUUUGAGGUUCAAGUUUGACCAAUGAAAUGUGGGUCACGUGCCAAUGUAAUUUAAAACUCGAAAUGCAUGGGUGAAAUGUAAACUAGGACAUACAGUAUUCACGUAUGUGCUGGUGAAUCAUGCAAGAACAGCUUGCAUGUUAAUUGUUGCGGUUGGUUAUUACUCUCAGAUAUAUUUUGUCCUAAGUCAAACUUUAUAAAGUUUCACUGCCUUUAUAGAAAAAUAUAUCAAAUUGUACAGUACCAAAUAAAAUAGUAAAUAGUAAAUACAAUAUGAAAAUGUAUAUUUCAUGAUGUAUCUAAUGCUACUGAUUUGGUGUUGUAGAUGUUGAUACUUCUUUCUAUAAUUUGGUCAAAACUACAAAGUUUGACAUCAUAGGUUUUAGGAAAUUUAGGAUAUGAAAACAUCCUAUUUCAGGGUAAAAUAAAUGAACUUUGAAGUAGUCGUACAACUUCACUUAGUCAUCGCCUUUUGCCAAAGUAGUUUAUCCUAUUCAAAUGGGCUUCUUCUGUAGGAACCUCCAUGAGUCAAUCAGUGUGAAGGGUCAUUUUUUUCUUCUAACUUGUACUCAGUUGAUGCUGCUCUAGUACAACUUUAGUACAAAGGUAUAUUACAGCAGCGUCAAUUAGUUUGGAUUGAUGGGAGUUAGUACAUUUCAAGAGUUUUAGCCAGUUCCUUGUUAGAUAGCAGGUAGUGGAUAGAAACUCAGAAGCCCGUUUGACAUGAUGUCUUCUUCCAUCAUUUCUACUAUUUGUGUUAAAUUCUUUGGUGACUUGUAUGUACUGGCCAUUAUUUCAAUUAUCAAUGACAAAAUCAAUUGGGGCAUUUAACCAAGCGCUUAUCUGUAUGAUUCAUGUACUGCAUAAAGAACGACCUUUUGUUGAUUCAAUAACUACCAAUAAUGAAGCAAAUAUUUUACUAGAGUGGAUUAUUCUCUUCGUUCCACUGUAAUGGUAUGUUCCAAUGUUGGCAUUGAGAAAUCAAAUUUUUUGGAAAAAAUUUACAUGUGGUGUUGUGGAAAAUGUGCGGGAGUAAGAAUAUUUAUAGACAGUGUGGAAGAGAAAAGAGAAGUAACCAUUGUUGAUACUCCAUUCAUGAACAAGUGGUUUUGGUGGGGACUUUGACUUGAAUCGCAUUCAGGUUGCUAAUCUUGUAGGAGUAACACUAUAGAUAGAAUAUCGUGUAAUUCAUUAUUGUAACUGCAUGAAUGGACGUCCGGUUGUGGCUCCUUUGAUAUGAAGGUAAUCAAGGAAUACAACUAUAAAUAAGCAGGUAGUUGUGGAAUACAACUAUAAAUGGAACAAUAGGAAAAAUAAGAGUGAACUUGUCCUUAGUUAAGUUUAAAUUGCAUGUGAUCAAGGUGAAGUGAUCAAAAGAAUCAAGGAGAUCACUCUAGUUUAGAUUGUAACGCAACAUGAGAGUCAAUCUUCAAUCAUGAGACAAAUAACUCUUUGCAAAAAACUAUGUUUGGUGCUUGACCAAAGAAAACCCGUAUCUAGAAAAACAAGAGAGAACCUGUCAUAUCAUUUGUUAAUAUUCAUAAAUUUUAAAAUUCUGCCAAAUAAAUCAUAUUAGAAGUUAUGGUUUAAGAUUAUGAAGAAUGUGUGCAUAUUAUUUUGUCAAACUUAAACAAUGAUCAAUAUAAUCAAUUUUAAAUAAUAGAUCUAGUUUUUCCUGGCCAUUUCCAAAUCUAUUGUAAAAAAAAACUUUGGAUAUGAUUGGAUCUAUCACGAGUACAGUCAUUUCUUCCUAGUAAAUUCCUGAAACAUAUCAAGUGAUCUAUGGUUUGGUAUUAUUGGCUUUAGUUGAUUAUUCCCAUGCUUGUAGUCAUUAUGCCAUACCGCACUCUGUAGGAGUUUCUCUCUUCCUCAAUUAUCAUGUUAUGCAUUAUGGGCACAUCCAUGAUUUCAUUAUUAUGUUAUGCAUUAUGAUGGACACGUAAAUGAUUCUAAGAAUGUCUGUCACCAAAAGCGUAUUGACCUUGUAAAAUGGCAAGUGUAUUGACCUUGUAAAAUGGCAUACCGAGCUUGUAUAACUCCAAAUGCUCAUUCUCAAGGAUGGAUUGCAAUAAUGAGAUUUGUUGCAAACGCAAGUACUUAUAAUAAGGAUGUGCAAACAUGCAUGGUGUAGUGAGGCAUAAGCGGUAAACGACUACAUUUUUUAACGCCAUUGAAAUGGAUGUGAAAUAUGGUUGGAUAGCAUAUUUCUUUUGGGUAGACAGUCAGUUCGACAUCACGUUUCAACAUAAACAGACAACAACUUUUGGGCCGGGACUUUGGUUGGACACCACGAUCCAACAUAAACAGACAACAAAUUUUGGGGCUGCAUUGUUAUGUUUGUCUACCUGAGACCUUUUUAUAAUGUCAAGCAAACAUCCAAACAUAUUUUGAUAAAUCAAAAUGCGGCCAUGGCAUGGGCAACAACUUAUAUACUCUGAAAUACUCCCUCCGUUCCUAAAUAUAAGUCUUUCUAGAGGUUUCACUAAUAGACUACAUACAGAUGUAUGUAGGCAUAUUUAAAAGUAUAGAUUCAUUCAUUUUGCUUCGUAUGUAGACAUUUAGUGAAAUCUCUUAAAAGACUUAUAUUUAGAAACGGAGGAAGUACAAACCAUCAUCUUUAUUUGUGACACAUUUGUCUUAAUGCACAUGUACCAUAAGCGAGUACAAGCCAUCAUCUUUAUUUGUGACACAUUUGUCUUAAUGCACAUGUACCAUAAGCAUCCUGAGAAGUUUGUAUUCGAUUUUAAAGAUACGUGUACAAAGAAGAGUUGGAGUUUUACUUCAACAAGAAGUGGCUCGACUUGUUGUGCAAGUGCAAUCUUGAGGACAUUGUAAAUCUACAAGUUUUGUGAAAAAAAUGGGAUGCUACCUAUCGUGAUUCUUUUACACAACUGAUAUGACCUCAACUCAAAGGACGAAAGGAAUGCAUAAUGAUGUCAAGAAAAUAUUUUCUGGGAAACUUAAUCUUUCAAAACUCCCUGUAGAAUGCGAGAAGGUUUUCGCUAAUCUUUGUGAAAAUAAGUUUGAUGAAGAUUUUAAUUCACAUGGAAAAAAAUAUCCCGAAUUAACCUUUGCUGAAGAAUGUAGUUGAAUCAUAUACAAAGUGUAUGCAUUUAGAACUUGAGGAACAAUUUAAAAGACAAUUUUCAUUGUCUUGUAAAUUGUUACUCCGUGAUCUAAAUGCUCUUAUAUUGCCAAUCUUGACAUAUAUGGUUAUGCAUAUGUGCAAUGAUCAUGCAGCAAUUGUCGUAUUCAGCAGUGUAGAUAUGAUAAUUACAAGUUCUUGCAUGAAGUACGGAUUCAUAGUUAUGCAUACACUUUCUAUACUAAAAUGUAGCUUUAAUACCAAAUGAUAAAAUAUGCAUCCAUAUCUAGGUGUAUUGUGCAAGCAUGCCUUUAAAGUUUUCAAUAUCAAGAAUUAGUGUUCCAUUUUGCCAUCACAACAUAUAAUGAAGAGAAGGACAACAUGUGCAAAAAUAAAAUUUAUAUUGAGAAACAAGUAGGAACGAAAUUUUGAAAACACAUGUUGGAUGUAUCCCAUGAAGGGUGGCAUCCAUUCAUUGAAGUGUUCGUCAUCAAAAGGACUUCUUCUGAUUUUGAAAAAAGCCAAUGAUAAGCUGUACACCAGAUAAUUCUCUAUGUAAGAUGCAAGAAAAAACCCAUGAGGUUCUGCUAGUUUUGACUGAGUGUGCUACAUACAUUUUAAAAGGUACAAUAUCGCUUAGUGUCCUUGAGUGAUUAAGGGCAAAUAGCAAACUAUCCAUAUACAUGGAGGAUAUGCUAAUCCCGUAAUGUCAACCUUGGAAAAUUAUGUGUAUGGCAACCUUUGACCAUAAUUGUUUACCCUGGGACCUGGGUGCCUUUUACCAUCUGAGGAACUCUAAACCGAAUUUUCUUGCAUCUUGCUUAGAUAAUUAUGUGUUUCCAAGUCCAACUGCAUUGAGUUUCACCAAAUCAUUCAUAAGUUCUUUUGAUAGUGAUCACUUCAAUGCAGCGAAUGCCACCUUUUGUGAGAUAUGUACUAGAUGUGUUUUCAAAAUUUUCUUCUCAGUUUACUGUUUCUUAAUAUAAAAUUCUCAUUUUGCAUAUUUUGUGUAUGUUGCGAUGGCAAAAUGAAUACAUCAUUUGUAUUGAAGAUUUUGAAGACAUGCUUGCACAAUAUAGGGAACGUUUGGUUCAUUGGCAAAUGAUCGCCUUGCCCAGCCAAGCAAGGAAGCCUGUUAUUUGGUUCCAGGGCAAUCCCAUCUUGUUGCCCACAGUUUCCAGCUUUUCGUAAGCGAGUCAAUUUGGCUAGCCUCCGACGGCAAGACAAGUCUUGCCCAGCGAGUUCAACUCGCAAAGGAACCAAACAGGCCCAUACUUACAACAUAUGGAUGCCGUAUUUUAUACUAAAGGACCAAAUCAUCCAUAAGUUCUUUUGAUAGUGACCACUUCAAUGCAGCGAAUGUCACCUUUUGUGAGAUAUGUGCUACAUGCGAUUUCAAAAUUUUCUUUUCAGUUCACUGUUUCUUAAUAUAAAUUUCUCCUUUUGCAUAUUUUGUGUAUGUUGCGAUGGCAAAAUGAAUACAUCAUUCGUAUUGUUGACUUGGAAGACAUGCUUGCACAAUAUACUUACAACAUAUGGAUGCCAUAUUUUAUACUAAAGGCCAAUGCUAACUUCCAGUUGAUCGAAAGUUAGUGACAGAUUUGCACGACUCGUUCCUACCUGAUCGCUAUCAUCCCAUGCUCGCUUGCACUGAAUUUUUUCCUUCUCUUUUUGCAUAUUUUGUGUAUGUUGCGAUGGCAAAAUGAAUACAUCAUUUGUAUUGAAGACUUUAAAGACAUGCUUGCACAAUAUACUUACAACAUAUGGAUGCCAUAUUUUAUACUAAAGGACAAUGCUAACUUCCAGUCGACUGGAAGUUAGUGACAGAUUCACACGACUCGUUCCUACCUGAUCGCUAUCAUCCCAUGCUCGCUUGCACUAAAAAAAUUCCUUCUCUUUUUGCAUAUUUUGUGUAUGUUGCGAUGGCAAAAUGAAUACAUCAUUCACAUUGAAGACUUUGAAGACAUGCUUGCACAAUAUACUUACAACAUGUGGAUGCCAUAUUUUAUACUAAAGGACAGUGCUAACUUCCAGUUGACCGGAAGUUAGUGACAGAUUCACACGAUUCGUCCCUACCUGAUCGCUAUCAUCCCAUGCUCGCUUACACUAAAUUUUUUGCUUCUCUCAAAAACCAUAGUGAAUCGCUAGUGGUUUUUUCUGGUUUUUCACUGCAUAAUAUGAAAAUAAAAUAAAAGUCCUUGAAAGAGUAUUCGAACCAAGGUCUAUGCAAUAGCUACCGAGCCUAAUAACCAAGUAAGCCACCUUUGUUGAUGUCUAUUGUAGAUAAGCAAUGUUAUUUGAAUCUUUCUUAUUUCUGCCAUAUCAGAAAAAAUAAUAAAGAUUGGUCUGGUAAAUUUGGCAUGACCAGCAUGAUAAAUAUAGUAUGAGCAACAUGAUAACUAUACCAUGAUAAGGAUGGUAACUACAGUACGAAAAUGUUAAAGCAUGGGGCAGUAUGGUAAUUUAACAAAAAAAUUACCAGUGAAAUGUCUCAAAACCUUUUUCCCCUUGGAUGAAAGAUACCAUGAUGUUUAAACGUAAGAUAUUAGGUGUGUGAUGCAUAAAAUUAUCAUAAAUUUACAUGAAAGCUAUCAGAGGAGUUAUGUUUCAAUAUAUUUUUUCUCGAAGUCAAAGUUAACAUGGUGGUUGAACGUAAGUGAUGAGGCUAGGAAUCAGACUACUGAUCACUUACAUUGUAUCAGACUAGUAACUAGCCGUAGGAUAAGGAGCAUGAUGACCAUCGGAUUGAGCAGUAGAGCCCCAUGCUUUAUACCGUAGUUUGCAUGCAGCAUGCAUGAUUCCGCACUAAUUCCCAUCAAUGUGUAUCCUAACAACUACUCCCAUAAAUCAGGGAAUACCAAAUUUAUUAGGCACCAUGUUUUUUCCUGCAUGCUAUUCGUUUCCAUAUAAUUUGUUUCCAAUACUUAUUUGGAAUGUAAAUUUAGUUGCCUUGUACGUUUUUUUAGCCAGCUUAUGAAAUUGUUUCCAUGAAAAAUACAAAUUGCUUCCAUCAGGUUAGAAUUUGCUUGUUAAUGGAGAUUCCUUGCAUCAGGUUAAAAUUUGUUUGCUGCAGUGAGCUGAUUUUUUUUUGCUUCCAAGGCAACCGACGGUUACUUCUGUCUAGUUCAAUCGUAUUUGUGUCCAGUGAUGCAAACAAAAAUACAUUUCAAGCGACUUGAAAAUUAUUUUGAGUGUAGCAUAUAAAAGAGCUCUCGACAAGAUUAACAUUUGUUUUCAUUAAAUAUUGCUUUCAAAAGAUUAGAAUUUACUACCGAAGCAACGGGAUAUUUCUUCCAUCUGCUUGAAAUUUCUGCUUCGACGGAUUACACAAAGUGCUUCCAUGGCAACCCACAAUUGCUUUGAUCUAGUUAGAAUGUAUGUAUUUGAGCCGUCCAUAAAAUGUUGCCUCCAUUGUAAUAAGUUAUUGCUUCAAUCUAUUCAGAAUUUGCUAGGUUCAGCAAGUCAUUUAAAUUUCUUAUAUGGACACACAAACAGAAUAGAUCACAAAUGUAGAUUGACAAUAUCAACGGCGACGUAGGGGACAAGCUGGCAAUGCCACGAAAUUUGGUAUUUGUGUCCAUCAAAUUAAAUUGAGACUGUGCUUCCAAAAUAAUGGAAAUUUGGUAUUUGCAUCCAAAAUAACGGAAAUUUCUUCUAAACAAUUUGGAACUUGCACCUAAAAAAAGGGAAGAUUUGCUUCCAUACAAAAAAGGUGCAUAUGAUCACGAUUUGCUUCCAAAGAUAUAUAGUUUGCUUCUGAAUCAUCCUGAUACUAUAUUUUCAUAUGAACAUAUAUUUGUUUCCAUCAAAAGGGGAAAAGUUAUAUUUUAAAAGCAUGGGGAUAUGUUUCCACAACGGUGAAAGAUUUUUCUCAUUUAAGCGGAGAACUUGUGUUCAUGGUGAUCUCGGAGCAAUGCACCAUGUAUGGUAGAGACACAACUGCAAGCAGAAGUGUGUAGAUCUUGUCUCUCGCACCAUGGAUGGUGGAAAUACAUGUUGCAUCUUACUAUCUUUCAGUUCUUUCUGCAAUUCGAGACAUAAUCAUGCGACGAUGUUAAUUAACGAAAUUCGAUGAACGAAUCCAAGAGCGACAGAGAAAAAGUCUAUAAUGCUUAAAAUAGUAAAAAAAUUCCAAUCAAAAUAAGAACAAUACAAACUAUAUUCCCCCAUUCAUUCACGAUGAAUGAACAAUACGUGAAAUUCAGAUUCAAGCUAAUGCAUCAUUCGGGUCUCGCAUGAGCUUCCCCCUAAUCACCUACAUGUGCAUCGACGAGGGAUUUUACAAGAUUGUACGUGAGAAAGUGGUGGAUCAGUCCCCGUGCAGCCGACGGACGAGAUGACAUACCGGCUAGGUGGAACAGAGGCCGUAGAUGGGUGAGUCAGGAACUCAUAUGCGGGGAGAGAGGAGUGGCGGCGUGGGGCAUGGCGAGCUAGGCGAUAUCUAUGGGAUGGGAAGGAGAGACGUGAUGUUUGUGUUUGAAGAAAAUGAGAUUCUUAUUCAAUGAUGACAGAGAUCUGCCCUUUUAUACAACGGGAGGAGACGCAAUCGCAAGGGAUGCGUCGGUUCCAGGAGAGACAGAAAGAGAACCGUCGUUGCGGGAGGAAACCCCUUGACGGUUGGUUAAGGGGAGAUUUUCCCCUAAUUACAUAAUUAGUUUUAACACUCCCCCUAAUCUACGCUUGACCAUGUGGAGUUAUCUUCAUGAUUGUCCAGGAAGCUUUAUCAUCUCAAAAACUCUUCUUCAAAAGUUCUUCAUAAAGACUUUGAUGAGAACCUGAAAUGUAAACUCACAAAGAGAUAGCAUAAUGUGAUGUUAUUUGAACAAGGAUAUCUCAAGAAGAAACUCCCCCUGUUGCCUGCAAGUCUCUAAGUCGUCGCAUACCAAUUCCGUGAACAUAUUUCUGGAAUGUUGAGCUUGGUAGAGACUUAGUAAACAAAUCAGCAAGGUUGUCACAUGAUUUGACUUGCAGAAUGCUUAUUUCCUCGCUUUUCUGAAGAUUGUGGGGGAAAACCAUUUAGGAGAAAUAUGCUUAGUGAUAUUGCUCUUGAUAUAUCCUGUCUGCAUCUGUGCAACGCAUGCCGCAUUAUCCUCAUAGAUAAUGGUGGGUGACUCAAUAGAACCAAUUCCACAUGACUGUUGUAUGUGGUUUAUCAUUCUGCGAAGCCAUACACAUUCACAUGACGCUUCAAAUAAUGAAAUUAUUUCAGAAUGAUUGGUAGAUGUAGCCACUAGAGUCUGUUUGGAAGACUUCCAUGAUAUAGCUGUACCACCAUGUAGGAACACAAAACCGGUCUGAGAUCUGGCAUUAUGGGGAUCAGACAAAUAACCGGCAUCUGCAUACCCAAUCAUAUCAGAGUCCAGAUUUUGCUGAAACUGAAAAAAUAGGCCAAGAUCCUUUGUGCCUUGGAGAUAUCGAAAGAUAUUCUUUACUCCAGACCAAUGUCGUUUGGUGGGAGCUGCGCUGUGUCUAGCAAGUAGAUUCACUGCAAAUGCAAUAUCAGGUCUUGUGCAAUUUGCAAGAUACAUAAGCGCUCCAACUGCACUGAGAUAUGGAACUUCAGGUCCCAACACCUCUUCUCCAUCACCCCUCGGUCUGAACGGGUCUUUCUCUAUGUCUAGAGAUCGAACCACCAUAGGAGUUUUAGAUGGAUAGGAUUUGUCCAUAUUGAAUUUCUCCAAUAUUUUCUGGAUAUAGGCAGCUUGGUGUACCAUGAUUCCUGAGGGAAGGUGCUCAAGUUGAAUACCUAAGCAAAAUUUGGUUUUACCCAAAUCCUUCAUCUCAAAUUUCAUCUUUAGGUGAUUGCGUGCUUCAUCAAUGUCUGGUGCACUGCCAAUGAUGUUGAGAUCAUCAACAUACACAGAAAUGAUGCAAAAUCCUAUAGAGGACUUCUUGAUGAAGACACAUGGGCAAUCAUCACUAUUGGAGUAACCUUUUUGAAGAAGGAACUCACUUAGUCGGUUGUACCACAUUCGUCCCGACUGUUUUAAGCCAUACAAUGACUUAUUCAGCUUUACACAAUACAUGUUGCGUUUUGCAUUGUUACUCGGGAUGGAGAUUCCGUCAGGAACCUUCAUAUAUAUGUCCGAAUCUAGUGACCCGUAAAGAUAUGCGGUCACGACGUCCAUCAACUGCAUGGAUAGACGAUUUUGUACUGCCAUAGAUAUAAGAUAUUGGAAAGUGGUUCCACUCAUUACUGGAGAGUAUGUUUCAUUGAAAUCAAUGUCGGGUUUCUGCGUAAAACCUUGUGCUACGAGCCUUGCUUUAUAUCUCACCACCUCAUUGUUCUCAUUCCGUUUCCGGAGGAAAACCCAUUUGAAUCCCACGGGGAAAACAUUGGGAGGUGUAGGUAUUGCUUCAGUGAAUACCUUCCUUUUGUUAAGCGAGGCAAUUUCUGCUUGGAUUGCAUCCUUCCAUUUAGGCCAGUCGGAGUGCCUUUGGCACUCGACGAUAGACCUUGGAUCAUGAUCAGUGAGAAGGGUAUCUGCAAUCUUUUCAGCAAAAUAUAUGUCGACAGUCGUAGUCUUACGGUCAAAUGAUUCUCCAGAAUCAACAUAGUUGAUGGAAAUUUCCUACACCCCUAGAGACUCUUCGUGAUUUCCCAAUACGAUUGAGUCUGGGUGUUCCGAUGUUCCAGCUAGUUUGUGCACACUGGAGCUGGGUUGUGAAGGUUGCCCUUCCACUGGGUGUGAACUACCCAUCAGGUGUUUGUCAACAUUGAGUUGACCUGCAUUUACUGACUCCGAGGAUUUUUUCCUCGAUUUCCUUUGCUGCUUGCUAGAAGCUAGCUCCAGGUCAGAAGCCAUACUACUCCCCCUCUUUUUAGGAACAGGGAGUUGAGUCGUUUUUAUUGGUACCUCCACUCUUUCUGGCGUGUUUCUGGCCGGAUUUAAGGAUUUUGUAACACCUUUUAGAUCAGUAAAUGAAUCUGGCAGAUUAUUUGCAAGAUGUUGCAAAUUAAUGAUCUUCCGAACUUGAAGUUCGGUCUCAUGGGUACGUGGAUCAGAGGAUGAAAUGGUAUGAGCAUUCCAAUCAAUUUCCGGGCAUUCUUUCUCGUACUUGAAAUCUCCCCCUAAUGCCGGAAAAUGUUCCUCAUUAAAUAUGCAAUCAGCGUGAUGGGCUGUGAACAGAUCCCCAGUUAGGGGUUCCAGGUACUUGAUAAUCGACGGUGAUUUGUACCCCACAUAGGUCCCCAACUUUCUGUGUGGGCCCAUAGAUGUCCGCUGUGGUGGUGAGAUCGGGAUGUAUGAAGCACAUCCGAACUUACGCAGAUGGGAAAUGCUAGGAGGAUUUCCACGUACCAAUUCCAGAGGGGAAGAACUGUGAUAUGCAGUUGGCCUCAAGUGUAUCAAGUCAGCAGCGUGUAAAACUGCAUGACCCCAUCAAGAGGUUGGUAAGUUGCAAUUCAUCAACAAAGGUCUUGCAAUGAGUUUAGUCCUCUUAAUCAAUGCUUCAGCCAAACCAUUUUGUGUAUGGACAUAUGGAACAAAGUGCUGAACUUCAAUCCCCAAAGCCAUGCAAUAAUCAUUGAAGGCACGUGAGGAGAAUUCUGCAGCGUUGUCCAUUCGAAUUGUCUUAAUUCAACUUUCAGGAUAAUGGGCUUGCAACUUAAUGACUUGCCUCAUUAUUUUGGCAAAUGCAUGGUUUCGUGUGGAUAGAAGACACACAUGUGACCAUCGUGUAGAUGCGUCAAUCAGAACCAUGAAAUACCGGAAAGGUCCAGAUAAUGGCUGAAUGGGACCACAAAUGUCUCCUUGAAUACGUUCAAGGAACUGAAGUGGUUCAGCUUGUAUUUUGAUAUGCGAGGGCCUCAAAAUUAGCUUUCCCGUGGCACAAGAUGUGCACACAAAAUCAGAAGAUUGAGGAAAUUUUGACUCAAGCAAAUUAUGACCAAUGGAAUUGCUAGUAAUUUUUCUCAUCAUCCCGAUACCGGGAUGGCCCAAGCGAUCAUGCCAGGUUUGGAAUGCGUCAACAUUCUGAAAAAUGACUUUGUAUGCAACAUGUUCCACGGGUUUGAUGUACGUAUCGUACAAACCAGACGAUAGAGAAGGAAUUUUUCUCAUGUACCUUUUUGCCAUAUCCGUGAUCUUUAGUAAAGAGUAAAUACUCCUCUUUGUUGUCUUCAUGGGUUUCAAUAUGAAAACCAUUCUUACGGGUAUCUCGAUAACUGAUCAGGGUACGUGAUGAGUCAGGAUACAAUAAAGCAUCCUCUAUCGUCACUUGUGUACCACUUGGGAGUGUGAAUAUGGCACGUCCAGUGCCAACAAUCACUGUAUCGCGUCCAGCGAUAGUUAGAAUAUCUCCAUUCAUCUUUUUCAGAGUUUGGAAAUAUUUUAUCUCCCUCGGUAUGGAGUUUGUGGUACCACUGUCCACAAGGCAUAAUUCUUCUUCCAUCGGAUUGUCCCCGUAGAAAAACUAUAUAAAAACGAAAGAAUUUUCAAUAAGAAAACCUUAUGUUAAUACAUAGAAUACAAUCUUUAUUAUAUCAAAUGUGUUGAUACAAUACAAUAUAAAGACAACAACAAACUUAUGUUCUUAUUACAAUCAUCACAAAUGGACAUAGUUAAAUAGAUCACUAAGGAGGUCGAAUGACUAGUCAAAGUCACCAAACACAUCGUUUGAGGUGUACUCAAGUAACAUGGCCUCCGUUUCAGCAGGGUCCUCAAGUGGAUAAGGAAUCUUGGCGUUGCUUGGUCCAGGAGGAAUAUCCUGUGAAUCGCCAGCUCCAUUUGCGCUAUGCGGAUGUAGGUUGAAGUUAGCUUCAAGCCUUUUCCCUUGAGUCGCUUUGCGUCCCUGGGAUUGUUGGUACAGCAUGACCAGAUGCUUGGGCAUUGAGCACUUUUCAGUAGAAUGGAGUAGCAUCCACACUUAUUGCAAAGUUUAGUUUUAUCGAACUUUGGCUUUGCAGUGCCUUUGCCCUUGCCCAUGUUUCUGAAUUUUCUGUUCCCAUUGCGCUUGUGCUUGUGCUCAGAAUUGGAAUGUUUACCUUGAAAGGUACCAUUAAACUUCUGUCUAUUCGCGACAUUCAGAUGAACUUCAGGUAAAGGUUGUGCCUCAACUGGGCGCUGAGAGCCAUUCUUAGCGAGUAGCUCAUCAUGCUUUUGAGCCUGAAGUAACAUGUGAAUAAGCUCGGAAUAGACAGUGUAGUUGCGAGCACGGUAUUGUUGUUGGAGUAUCCUGUCUGAAGGGAGCAUGGUAGACAGAGUUUUUUCUAUCUUCUCCCCCUCAGUAGGUUCCUUCUCACAGAAGCGCAGUUGAGAACAUAUCUUAUGAACAACAUGAUUGUACUCACCAAUGGACUUGAAAUCCUGAAGGCGGAGAUGAGUCCAAUCAUGGAGUGCUUCUGGCAGGACUACUGCCUUCUGCUGUUCAUACCUCGUUUUGAGGGCCAGAAACAGAGUACUAGGAGAUUCCUCCUGUAAAUACUCAGACUUGAGAUCUGGAUGAAUAUGGUGCCUUAUGAUGAAUAAGGCAGCAUAAUUCUGCUGUUCUGUCAGUGGCGUGGCUCCAGCUGGGAGAGGAGUCUCCGGGGGCUGGAUUGCACGCGCAAUCCCACGGGACGCAAUACUGAUCUUGAUGUCCAUAGCCCAUGUAGGAUAGUUGUGGCCAUUGAGGGCAAGCUCCUCAAACUCUUUGGCAGUCAUCGUGGCAUACAUGAGGAACCAGAGAUAAUUAAUUUACGGGCGGUAAAUUAAAAACCAUCAUGGUUGUGUAAUAAGAAUGCAAAAAUUUGAUAGUCAAAUGUAAAACUUGAAAAAUUAUCAACCUCAAUUGUGUGAACAUAACACAUUGAAGAUCACUUAGAUCUCACACUAAUAGGCCGCAUGGCCAUUACCUUGUGUAUGCUACAAUUUAGAUAUAAAGGAAUACACGUUGAAGGUAAUCGCAUGUCAAGAUUGACAAAGCGUAGACCUUACAGUAAGAGGGGAUAGUCUGCAAAUGAGCAGUAGAUCACAACUCAUUACCUUGUGAUUCCAAAUAAGACGAGGGAGAAAUAUUCAAAAAUUUGCAAGUUUGACAUGCGAGAGAAACUGAUCUCAAUCGCAAUACGAAACGUGUUUAAAGAAAAUGUGGUAAACACAUAAAACAUGUCAUUCUUCCCAGAUGAAAUCCGGUACUUUAUUUAUAUAAACACACUUAUAAUUACACAAAUCUUAAACUAGAGUAAAUCUAGAACUAGACUAAGUGUAAAUAGUAGUACUAAAAUAGUAAUACUAAACAUAGUCUAAAACUAUACUAUGUACAAUAAUUAGUACUAACUAGUACUAAACAAAGAAAAAAAAACUAGUACUAAAAGCUACAGAUAGUCAGCCAAACUAGUAGCAGCCCAACGGGUCAACACUACCACCGCAUGCAUGAUGCAUCCACCGCAUGCAUAGGAGAUAAAAAGGAAAAAUAAAAAGAAANNNNNNNNNNNNNNNNNNNNNNNNNNNNNNNNNNNNNNNNNNNNNNNNNNNNNNNNNNNNNNNNNNNNNNNNNNNNNNNNNNNNNNNNNNNNNNNNNNNNNNNNNNNNNNNNNNNNNNNNNNNNNGGAAAAAUAAAAAGAAAAAGGGGAGUGGGGAUCGAUAGAUCUAGCGCUUUCCAGCCUGGAAACUUCCCAUUAUCUCUUUCUCCUCCUCGCAUCUGGCUGGAACCGCACCACCACCUCCCAUUAUCUCUUUCCCCUCCUCGCAUCUCCUUCUCCCACCAUGCCACAUGACCAUGGAAGAGCCAGCCGGUGGCAGGAGGAGUGAGGGCUGCCGAUUCGCUCCCACUACUCUGGCGAUCACCGGCACCCCCCAGGGGGGCCCUUACUCAUCAGAAGAGGAGGCGAUGACGACGAGGUCCUGGCGAGCGGCGCCACGGCCGAGGCUCGCCGGAGCCCAUGAGCCGGCGUGGCGGCCGGGACGGCGGUCGAUGGCAGCGACAGCGCGCUCGAAGAGUCGGCCGAAACGCCUCUCCGCGCGGCUGCUCGAGCCCGCGGUCGUUCCUAGCGGGGGCGCGGCCUCCUCAUCCACCAAGACCCGCAUCGGGACGGGCGUAUAGCCAGGAGGGCCACGGCUCGGGCCGGUGGUCUCAGCGGCCGGCGUGGGCGUCGGCGGCGCCAUCCAAGCCGUCGGUGGAGGAGGUGGUGGAGGCGGGGAUCCGGGAGGCGGGGCAGGCNNNNNNNNNNNNNNNNNNNNNNNNNNNNNNNNNNNNNNNNNNNNNNNNNNNNNNNNNNNNNNNNNNNNNNNNNNNNNNNNNNNNNNNNNNNNNNNNNNNNNNNNNNNNNNNNNNNNNNNNNNNNNNNNNNNNNNNNNNNNNNNNNNNNNNNNNNNNNNNNUGGGCGCUCGGGCCGGUCGCCAGCCAGGGGUCGAGCCCCAUCGGCGUAGUGCGACAGGUGCGAGGAGCGCCGCGGUGGGCGCAUCCGGCGGCGCGGCGACCGCGUCCACGCACACCCAUCCCACCGCCUCUAGCAGCAUUGCGGCCGAAGCGGCGGAUGGCCUGCAUCCUCCGGCGGAAGCGCCGGAGCCCCCCUACUCCGUGGAGGCGACGGUAGCGGUGACCGUCCUCGUGGAUGAGGCGAAGGAAAAAGGAGACGAGGCCUGGCAUCUCACCGGCGGCAAGUUCCCCUUCCCUUCUCUCCUUCUCUGUUUUCUUUUCGCUCUCUGUGGUAGCGCAAGUGCUGAUAACGUGUUUGAAGAAAAUGANNNNNNNNNNNNNNNNNNNNNNNNNNNNNNNNNNNNNNNNNNNNNNNNNNNNNNNNNNNNNNNNNNNNNNNNNNNNNNNNNNNNNNNNNNNNNNNNNNNNNNNNNNNNNNNNNNNNNNNNNNNNNNNNNNNNNNNNNNNNNNNNNNNNNNNNNNNNNNNNNNNNNNNNNNNNNNNNNNNNNNNNNNNNNACGCAAUCGCAAGGGAUGCGUCGGUUCCAGGAGAGACAGAAAGAGAACCGUCGUUGCGGGAGGAAACCGCGUGACGGUUGGUUAAGGGGAGAUUUCCCCUAAUUACAUAAUUAGUUUUAACAGUUUGGGCCAUUAAAUGAGAGAGAGAUUAUUGGGAUGGGACAUUGCAUGAUUUGCAUGCAACUCUCAUCUUUAGUCGUGAUAUAAAAUAAAAUCUAAUCGACGCGCGGUGUUUGACUGGUGUGAGAAAUGCUUCCCGUCAGACUUCUGUAGUGAAGUGUUUCCCGUGCAUAAAAGACCAUGCUAUUUACACAUAAGUUAUUGGGCAUGUUUCAGUAAUGUUUUUCCCAUGGAUGAAAAGUUAUCUAUGUGUUGUAUGUAAGUUCUCGGGUGUCUGAUGCAUAAAUUACCAUGCUAUUUGCACUAGGUUAUUAGGGGAUAUUUAUAGAUUUUUUCACCAAGGUGAAAAGUUAUCAAUAUGUUUAUAUGUAAGUUAUCAGGUUAGUUGUACGUACGUUAUCAUCUUAUUUUUACACAGAACUUACCAGAGUUAUAUUUUAACAACUUUUUCACCUCAGAUGGUAAAAAAGUGGUAUUUUAUUUGAACUUGUCAGGAGCCAAGUAGUGGAUGAGUUGGCUAGUGUGUUGAGAUAUCAAUAUUGAAGUCUUGAGUUCAAUUCUCAACUUUAAUUAGCUUGAUUUUUUAGGCUAUAAAACUACAAGUAUGGAAACUGAUAGCAUAAAGAUUUGUUUCCAACAUCUUUUUCUCCCGGUCAAAAAGUUAUCAUUGUGUUUGUGUGUCAGCUAUAAAUUUUUUGAUGUCGUAUAUCACCAUUCUAUUAACAUAGAAGUUAUCGCGGGUGUGUCUUUAACAACUUUUUUUUCCACGUAAGUCGCCGUGGUGUUUGUACCUAAGUAUCAUGUGUAUGGUGCAUAUAAUGAACUGAUAUUUGCACAAAAUUACCCGGGGUUAAGUUUUUAACAACCUUUUUCCCCGGUUAAAAUUAUCACGACGUUUGUGACUAAGUUAUGAGGCCCGUGGUGUGCAUAUUAUCAUGCUAUUUAUAUAGAAGUUAUCACGGGUGUGUCUUCAAUAACUUUUUCCCUCAUGUAGAAGUUGUCGCGAUUUUUGUACCUAAGUUCUAGGUCUAUGGGCCGUACGCAGUGGCGGAGACAGGGGGCGAGCAGGGGCCACCCCCCCCCCAAACGAUCGAGCGUGCAGGCAACAUGUACUGCGUAUUUAGGGAUAACACAUCGUUUUAUACGUACGUGCCCCCCCUAUCUCAAGCAUAAAAUGUGGGAAAAACAAAAGGCCCAUGAGGCACCCGUGAGCUAGGUGUCCAGCUCAGGGGUCCAUACUGUUGAAAUUAUGCCCUAGAGGCAAUGAUAAAUAAGUUAUUAUUAUAAUUCCUGUAUCAAGAUAAUCGUUUAUUAUCCAUGCUAUAAUUGUAUUGAAUAAAGACUUAGAUACAUGUGUGGAUACAUAGACAAAACACUGUCCCUAGCAAGUCUCUAGUUGGCUAGCCAGUUGAUCAAGGAUAGUCAAGGUCUUCUGACUAUGUACAAGGUGUUGUUGCUUGAUAAAUGGAUCACAUCAUUGGGUGAAUCAUGUGAUGGACUAGACCCAAACUAAUAGACGUAGCAUGUUGAUCGUGUCAUUUUGUUGCUACUAUUUUCUGCAUGUCAAGUAUUUAUUCCUAUGACCAUGAGAUCAUAUAACUCACUGACACCGGAGGAAUGCUUUGUGUGUAUCAAACGUCACAACGUAACUGGGUGACUAUAAAGAUGCUCUACAGGUAUCUCCGAAGGUGUCCGUUGAGUUAGUAUGGAUCAAGACUGGGAUUUGUCACUCCGUGUGACGGAGAGGUAUCUCGGGGCCCACUCGGUAAUACAACAUCACACACAAGCCUUGCAAGCAAUGUGACUAAGUGUAAGUCACGGGAUCUUGUAUUACGGAACGAGUAAAGAGACUUGCCGGUAACGAUAUUGAAAUAGGUAUGCGGAUACCGAUGAUCGAAUCUCGGGCAAGUAACAUGUCGAAGGACAAAGGGAAUGACAUACAGGAUUAUAUGAAUCCCUGGCACUGAGGUUCAAACGAUAAGAUCUUCAUAGAAUAUGUAGGAUCCAAUAUGGGCAUCCCGGUCCCGCUAUUGGAUAUUGACCGAGGAGUCCCUCGGGUCAUGUCUACAUAGUUCUCGAACCCGCAGGGUCUGCACACUUAAGGUUCGACGUUGUUUUAUGCGUAUUUGAGUUAUAUGGUUGGUUACCGAAUGUUGUUUGGAGUCCCGGAUGAGAUCACAAAUGUCAUGAGGUUUUCCGGAAUGGUCCAGAGACGAAGAUUGAUAUAUGGGAUGACCUCAUUUGAUUACCAGAAAGUUUUCGGCAUUACUGGGAAUGUACCGGGAGUGACGAAUGGGUUCCGGAUGUUCACCAAGGGGGGGGGGGAGCCCACCCCGGGGAAGCCCAUAGGCCUUAGGGGUGCCACACCAGCCCUUAGUGGGCUGGUGGGCAAACCCAAGAAGGCCCCUGCACAGGAGAUAAGAAAAAUCAAAGAGAAAGAAAAGGGGAAGUGGGAAGGAAGGGAAGGACUCCACCUUCCAAUCCUAGUUGGACUAGGAUUGGAGGAGGAUUCCUCCUCCCCCCUUCGGCCGAACCCCUUGGGGCUCCUUGAGCCUCAAGUCAAGGCCCCUCCCCUCCCUCCUAUAUAUACUGAGGUAUUAGGGCUGAUUUGAGACAACUUUUGCCACGGCAGCCCGACCACAUACCUCCACGGUUUUUCCUCUAGAUCGUAUUUGUGCGGAGCUCGGGCGGAGCCCUGCUGAGAUAGAUCAUCACCAACCUCCGGAGCGCCGUCAUGCUGCUGGAGAACUCAUCUACCUCUUCGUCUCUGUUGCUGGAUCAAGAAGGCCAAGAUCAUCGUCGAGCUGUACGUGUGCUGAACGCGGAGGUGCCGUCCGUUCGGCACUAGAUCGGAGCGGAUCGUGGGACGAAUCGCGGGACGGUUCGUGGGAUGUAUCGCGGGGCGGAUCGAGGGACGUGAGGACGUUCCACUACAUCAACCGCGUUUCUUAACACUUCCUGCUAUGCGAUCUACAAGGGUACGUAGAUCGGAAGUCCCCUCUCGUAGAUGGACAUCACCAUGAUAGGUCUCCGUGCGCGUAGGAAAUUUUUGGUUUCCCAUGCGACGUUCCCCAACAGUGGCAUCAUGAGCUAGGUUCAUGCGUAGAUGUCAUCUCGAGUAGAACACAAAAGUUUUUGUGGGCGGUGAUGUGCGAUUUGCUGCCCUCCUUAGUCUUUUUUUGAUUCUGCGGUAUUGUUGGAUCGAAGCGGCUCGGACCGACAUUACUCGUACGCUUAGGAGAGACUGGUUUCAUCGCUACGAGCAACCCCGUUGCUCAAAGAUGACCGGCGAGUGUCGGUUUCUCCAACUUUAGUUGAAUCGGAUUUGACCGAGGAGGUCCUUGGAUGAGGUUAAAUAUCAAUUCAUACAUCUCCGUUGUGGUGUUUGCGUAAGUAAGAUGCGAUCCUACUAGAUACCCAUGGUCACCACGUAAAACAUGCAACAAAAAUUAGAGGACGUCUAACUUGUUUUUGCAGGGUAUGCUUGUGAUGUGAUAUGGCCGACGAUGUGAUGUGAUAUAUUGGAUGUAUGAGAUGGUCAUGUUGUAAUAGUUAAUAUCGACUUGCACGUCGAUGGUACGACAACCGGCAGGAGCCAUAGGGUUGUCUUUAAACUAAUGUUUGUGCUUGCAUAUGCGUUUACUAUAUUGCUAGGAUGUAGCUUUAGUAGUAAUAGCAUGAGUAGCACGACAACCCCGAUGGCGACACGUUGAUGGAGAUCAUGGUGUGGCGCUGGUGACAGAAGAUCGUGCCGGUGCUUUGGUGAUGGAGAUCAAGAAGCACGUGAUGAUGGCCAUAUCAUGUCACUUAUGAAUUGCAUGUGAUGCUAAUCCUUUUAUGCACCUUAUUUUGCUUAGAAUGACGGUAGCAUUAUGAGGUGAUCUCUCACUAAAAUUUCAAGACGAAAUUGUGUUCUCCCCGACUGUGCACCGUUGCUACAGUUCGUCGUUUCGAGACACCACGUGAUGAUCGGGUGUGAUAGACUCAACGUUCACAUACAACGGGUGCAAAACAGUUGCACAUGCGGAACACUCGGGUUAAGCUUGACGAGCCUAGCAUGUGCAUACAUGGCCUCGGAACACAUGAGACCGAAAGGUCGAUCAUGAAUCAUAUAGUUGAUAUGAUUAGCAUAGGGAUGCUUACCACUGAAACUAUCCUCAACUCACGUGAUGAUCGGACUUGAGCUAGUGGAACUGGAUCAUGAACCACUCAAAUGACUAGAGAGAUGUACUUUUUGAGUGGGAGUUUAGCAAGUAAUUUGAUUAGUAAAACUCUAAUUAUCUUGAACAUAGUCUAAGUCCACUUUGAAUAUAUUUGUGUUGUAGAUCAAUGGCUCACGCGACAGUCACCCUGAAUUUUAAUACGUUCCUAGAGAAAGCUAAGUUGAAAGAUGAUGGAAGCAACUUUGUAGACUCGGCUCGUAAUCUUAAGUUGGUCCUACAAGCUGGGAAGAAGGAUUAUGUCCUUAAUGCUGCGCUAGGAGAUGAACCACCGGCAACGGAUGACCAAGAUGUUAGGAACGCUUGGUUAACACGUAAGGAGGACUACCCAGUAGUUCAAUGUGCAGUCUUGUAUGGCUUAGAGCCGGGACUUCAACGUCGCUUUGAGCGUCAUGGAGCAUAUGAGAUAUUCCAGGAGUUGAAGUUUAUCUUUCAGAAGAACGCCCGGAUCGAGAGGUAUGAGACCUCCGAUAAAUUUUAUGCUUGCAAGAUGGAGGAGAAUUCGUCUAUCAGUGAACAUGUGCUCAAAAUGUCUGGGUACUCAAACCGUCUAGCUGAGCCGGGGAUUGAACUCCCGCAAGAGUCUAUCACUGAUAGAAUUCUUCAAUCACUCCGACCAAGCUAUAAGGGCUUUGUGUUGAACUAUAACAUGCAAGGGAUGAACAAGUCACGUGGUGAGUUAUUCGCGAUGCUGAAAGUCGCAGAGUCAGAACUCCGUAAAGAGCAUCAAGUGUUGAUGGUGAAUAAGACCACUAGUUUCAAGAGAAACGGCAAAGGAAAGAAGGGUAAUUCGAAGAAGAGCGGCAAGCCUGUUGCCAAUCCGACGAAGAAACCCAAAGCUGGACCUAAGCCUGAAACAGAGUGCUAUUAUUGCAAGGGUAUGGGUCACUUGAAGCGCAACUGCCCCAAUUAUCUGGCUGAUAAGAAGGCGGCCAAAGAAAAAUCAGGUAUAUUUUAUAUACAUGUUAUUGAUGUGUACUUAACAGGCUCUCGUAGUAGUGUCUGGGUAUUUGAUACCGGUUCUGUUGCUCAUAUUUGCAACUCGAAACAGGAACUGCGGAAUAAGCGAAGGCUAGCGAAGGAUGAAGUGACGAUGCGCGUGGGAAAUGGUUCCAAGGUUGAUGCAAUCGCCGUCGGCACAGUUUCACUUCAGUUACCAUCAGGAUUAGUUAUGAACUUAAAUAAAUGUUAUUUAGUGCCCGCGUUAAGCAUGAACAUUAUAUCUGGAUCUUGUUUAUUGCGAGACGGUUACUCGUUUAAGUCAGAGAAUAAUGGUUGUUCUAUUUCUAUGAGUAAUAUCUUUUAUGGUCAUGCACCCAAUGUGAGAGGAUUGUUCAUAUUGAAUCUUGAUAGUGAUAAUACACUUAUACAUAACAUUGAGACCAAAAGAGUUAGAGUUAACAAUGAUAGCGCCAUGUUUUUAUGGCACUACCGCCUAGGUCAUAUUGGUGUAAAACGCAUGAAGAAACUCCAUGCCGAUGGACUUUUGGAGUCACUUGACUUUGAUUCACUUGACACGUGCGGACCAUGCCUCAUGGACAAGAUGACUAAAACUCCGUUCUCCGGAACAAUGGAGCGUGCAAGUGACUUGUUGGAAAUCAUACAUAUCGAUGUGUGUGGUCCGAUGAGUGUGGAGGCACGCGGCGGAUAUCGUUAUUUUCUCACCUUCACUGACGAUUUGAGUAGAUAUGGUUAUGUCUACUUGAUGAAGCACAAGUCUGAAACAUUUGAAAAGUUCAAGCAAUUUCAGAGUGAAGUUCAAAAUCAUCGUAACAAGAAGAUCAAGUUCCUACGGUCUGAUCGUGGGGGUGAAUAUCUGAGUUUCGAGUUUGGUGGUCACUUAAGACAAUGUGGAAUUGUUUCAGAGUUGACACCGCCUGGAACACCACAGCGUAAUGGUGUGUCCGAACGUCGUAAUCGUACUUUAUUAGAGAUGGUGCGAUCUAUGAUGUCUCUUACCGAUUUGCCGUUGUCGUUUCGGGAUUAUGCAUUAGAAACAACUGCAUUCACUUUAAAUAGGGCACCAUCAAAAUCCGUUGAGACGACACCAUACGAACUGUGGUAUGGCAAAAGACCAAAGUUGUCGUUUCUUAAAGUUUGGGGAUGUGAUGCUUAUGUCAAAAAGCUUUAGCCUGAAAAGCUAGAACCCAAAGCGGAAAAGUGUGUCUGCAUCGGUUACCCAAAAGAGACAGUUGGGUAUACCUUCUAUCUCAAAUUCGAGGGCAAAGUGUUUGUUGCUAAGAACGGAGCUUUUCUCGAGAAGAAGUUUCUCUCGAGAGAAUUGAGUGGGAGGAAGAUAGAACUUGAUGAGGUUGUCGAACCUCUCAUCCCUCUGGAUGGUGGCGCAGGGCAAGGGGAAACCCCUGUCGUUGCAACGCCAGUUGAGGAGGAAUUUAAUGAUGAUGAUCAUGAAACUCCGGAUCAAGUUUCUAUCGGACCUCACUGGUCGACGAGAUCGCGUACUGCUCCAGACUGGUACGACAAUCCCGUCUUAUCAAUUAUGUUGUUAGACAACAAUGAGCCUGCGAAUUAUGAAGAAGCAAUGGUGGGCCCGGAUUCCAACAAAUGGCUGGAGGCCAUGAAGUCCGAGAUAGGAUCUAUGUAUGAAAAUAAAGUGUGGACUUUGUAAGUACGACCUGAAGGCCGCAAGGCUAUUCAGAACAAAUGGAUCUUUAAGAAGAAGAUGGAAGCUGACGGUAAUGUGACCGUUUAUAAAGCUCGACUUGUGGCAAAUGGUUUUUCACAAGUUCAAGGAAUUGACUACGAUGAGACAUUCUCACCCGUAUCGAUGCUUAACUCCGUCCGAAUCAUGUUAGCAAUAGCUGCAUUUUUCAAUUAUGAAAUUUGGCAGAUGGAUGUCAAAACGGUGUUCCUUAACGGUUUCCUUAAGGAAGAGUUGUAUAUGAUGCAACCCGAAGGUUUUUUUGAUCCUAAAAAUGCUAACAAAGUGUGCAAGCUCCAGCGAUCCAUUUGUGGACUGGUGCAAGCAUCUCGGAGUUGGAAUAAACGCUUUGAUGAGGUGAUCAAAGCAUUUGGGUUUAUACAAGUGGUUGGAGAAUCUUGUAUUUACAAGAAAGUGAGUGGGAGCUCUAUGGCGUUUCUAAUAUUAUAUGUGGAUGAAAUAUUGCUGAUUGGAAACAACGUGGAGCUUUUGGAGAGCAUAAAAGGUUACUUGAAUAAAAAUUUCUCUAUGAAGGACCUAGGAGAAGCUGCUUACAUUCUAGGCAUUAAGAUCUAUAGGGAUAGAUCGAAACGCCUGAUAGGACUUUCACAAAGCACAUACCUUGAUAAAGUUUUGAAAAAGUUCAAAAUGAAUCAGUCCAAGAAAGGGUUCUUGCCAGUAUUACAAGGUAUAAAAUUGAGUAAGACUCAGUUCCCAGAACUGAGGAAGCUAGAAAGACAAUGAGUUCCGUCCCCUAUGCUUCAGCUAUAGGUUCUAUCAUGUAUGCAAUGUUGUGCACUAGACCGGAUAGUCUGGCCAUAAGUAUGGCACGCAGGUUCUAGAGUAAUCCAGGAGUGGAUCACUGGACGGCGGUCAAGAAUAUCCUGAAGUACCUGAAAAGGACUAAGGAGAUGUUUCUCGUAUAUGGAGGUGACAAAGAGCUCGCCGUAAAGGGUUACGUCGAUGCAAGUUUUGACACAGAUCCGGACGAUUCUAAGUCGCAGACCGGAUACAUAUUUAUUCUUAAUGGGGGUGCGGUAAGCUGGUGCAGUUCCAAGCAAAGCGUCGUAGCUGAUUCUACAUGUGAAGCAGAGUACAUGGCUGCCUCGGAGGCAGCUAAGGAGGGUGUCUGGAUGAAGCAGUUCAUGACGGAUCUUGGAGUGGUGCCGAGCGCACUAAAUCCAAUAACCCUGUUUUGUGACAACACGGGUGCCAUUGCCUUAGCAAAGGAACCACGGUUUCACAAGAAGAUCAGACACAUCAAACGACGCUUCAACCUGAUCCGCGACUACGUCGAGGAGGAGGACGUGAAUAUAUGCAAAGUGCACAUGGAUCUGAAUGUGGCAGACCCGCUGACUAAACCUCUUCCACGGGCAAAGCAUGAUCAACACCAGAACUGUAUGGGUGUUAGAUUUAUUACAAUGUAAUUCGCAUGGCGAUGUGAGGACUAGAUUAUUGACUCUAGUGCAAGUGGGAGACUGUUGGAAUUAUGCCCUAGAGGCAAUGAUAAAUAAGUUAUUAUUAUAAUUCCUGUAUCAAGAUAAUCAUUUAUUAUCCAUGCUAUAAUUGUAUUGAAUGAAGACUUAGAUACAUGUGUGGAUACAUAGACAAAACACUGUCCCUAGAAAGCCUCUAGUUGGCUAGCCAGUUGAUCAAGGAUAGUCAAGGUCUUCUGACUAUGUACAAGGUGUUGUUGCUUGAUAACUGGAUCACAUCAUUGGGUGAAUCAUGUGAUGGACUAGACCCAAACUAACAGACGUAGCAUGUUGAUCGUAUCAUUUUGUUGCUAUUGUUUUCUGCAUGUCAAGUNUGUAGGGAAGUGAUACAGAAUACAUGGAACUUGGGCACGUAGGUGGAAAGAAAAGACGUGGCAGGGCUGGUGAGAGGAGUCCUGGGACAAUUGAUAGAUUGGAGUAGGAAUACACUGGGUGAUCUUGAGAAAAGAAUCAGCAAAAUAAAAAAGGAGUUAGAGAGAUGCAGGAGAGGGAGCAUCAGCCCCAUGAUGGUUGGAAGAGAGGGGAUUCUAAAAUUCAAACUUGAAAGGCUGGAAGAACAAAGGGAAACAUACUAGAAACAAAGAGCACACGUGCUAUGGAUGAAAGGGGGAGUCCAGAACACUAAAUUUUUCCAUGCGGCGGCGUCUGAGAGAAGGAGAAGGAAUCACAUUAAGAAACUGGGGAAGGAGGAUGGUACUGUGGUGGAGAAGGAGGCUAUGAAGGAGGUGGUGACUAACUAUUUCUUGAACCUCUUUACUUCACAUGCAGGUACUCAGAUUGGUGAACUGUUACAACAAGUUGAACCUCGAGUUACGCCACAGAUGAAUGACUCCUUAAACUUUCCCUUUUGUGAGAAGGAAGUUUUUUAUGCUCUUCAAAGUAUUGGUGAUCUGAAAGCACCGGGGCCUGAUGGUAUGACAGCUAUCUUUUACAAAAUAUGUUGGGACGUUGUCGGAGAGAAGGUUGUGGGAGAAGUGUUGAAUGUGCUCAAUGGAGGCCCAAUGCCGGAAGGAUGGAAUGACAUGUGUGUUGUGUUGAUCCCAAAAGUGAAGAAUCCAGAGAGUAUGAAGGAUCUCAGGCCCAUCAGUCUAUGCAAUGUGGUGUACAAGCUAGUGUGUAAGGUUCUUGCCAAUAGGCUGUAACAAAUUCUGCUUGAAAUUAUAUCUCCCAAUCAAAGUGCAUUUGUACCGGGGAGGUUGAUAACAGAUAAUAUCCUGUUGGCUUAUGAGUGUACACAUUAUAUGCAGAAUAGAAGAAGAGGAAAAUAUGGGUAUGCAGCGAUUAAAUUGGACAUGAGUAAGGCCUAUUAUAUGGUCGAAUGGGGAUUCCUGGAAAGGAUGAUGCAGAAAUUGGGGUUUAAUGAAGCAUGUAUAAAGAAGAUCAUGUUAUGUGUCUCCACUGUUGCAUAUCAGUUCAAGGUUAAUGAUGAGUGUACCGAGGUGUUGUUCCCCCAGAGAGGUCUUCGACAAGGUGAUCCCUUGUCACCUUACCUUUUUUUAAUAUGUGCCGAAGGCUUGUCUUCCAUGUUAAACAAGGCCGAGGUGGAUGUAGAUCUAAAAGGAAUCUGUAUCUGCAAUGCAGCCCCGAGUUUCAACCACCUACUGUUUGCAUAUGAUGCACUGGUACUGAUUAAAGCUUCACGUCAAAGUGCCAGACAUCUGCAAAAUAUCCUACAGCUAUAUGGGUUUGCCUGUGUACAUAGGUCAAGCAAGGGCGGAGACCUUUGAGUAUUUAAAGUACAUGAUAUGGCAAAGGAUACAUGGAUGGGUGGAAAGGCUCCUAUCCAAGAUGGGGAAAGAUGUCCUCAUCAAGGCGUGUUCUCAAGCCAUUCCAACCUUUGCUAUGUCGUGUUUCGACCUCACUAAAACCUUAUGUUAGAAAAUGGGUGCUAUGAUUUGCCAUUUUUGGUGGGCAAAGCAAGAUAAGCAAAAUAUCAUGCAUCUACUCAGUUGGGAGCUAUUAACCAAGCCAAAGAAGGAGGGGGGGUGGGGUUGGGUUUCAAAGACUUGUACGGUUUUAAUUUGGCCAUGCUAGCGCGCCAGGCAUGGAGGAUCUUGACAACACCUGAGUUGCUUUGUGCUAGAGUCUUGAAGGCCUAGUACUUCCCGAACAACUCGGUCCUCGAAGCAUAGCCCGCUAGCGGCAUAUCUUAUACGUGGAGGAGUAUUUUAAAGGGGGUGCAACUGCUGAAGGAUGGCCUGAUUCACAUAAUUGGAGAUGGUACGGAGGUGAGAAUUUGGAAUGACCCAUGGCUAAAUAGAGAAGGAUCCAGGACACCCAUAACAAGAAGGGGGAGAUGUUUGCUAACAAGGGUAUGCGAGCUCAUUGAACGAGAGACAUGAGGUUGGGAUGAACCCCUAGUUAGAAGCAUCGUUGUUGAGGAGGACGUUAGGGUGAUUCUGACUACUCCAAUAAAUGAUGAAUACAAGGACUUCCACGCGUGGUUUUAUGACAGCAAGGGAAAAUUCUUAGUGACAUCUGCAUACAAGUUAUAUGUUAGGGGAAGGGAUGCAAGCCUACCUUCCUCAUCAAGAGCAGGUGAAGAUGAAUUUCCCUAAAGGUGGAUUUGGGAAGUUUCGUGUCAGCCGAAAAUUCAGCAGUUCCUCUAGAGACUAGCACAUAAUAGUUCGCCACUAAAGCUUACACUGAGAAGGAGAGUGAUCGAUUGUGAGACCACUUGUGUCUGCUGUAGGCAACUGAAUGAAGACGUGGCACAUCUCUUUGUGAAAUGCAAACAAGCCAAGAAGCUCUGGCGCUGCCUUCAAAUGGAAGGGCUGCGUGAACGGUUGGUUACUUGCAGGAACGCCAAGGAGUUCGUGCGCGCAAUCAUCGCUUUGCCUGACGAGCAACGUGUGCUGGUCACAUGCAUGCUAUGGUGAUGGUGGGGUUACAGGAACAAAAUUAACAAGGGAGAGAGGAUGAGGCCCGUGGAGGAGCUCGAAUCAAACAUCAGACACUGGGCCAUGGAGUCACUACAACUAUGCGGUGUUGUAAAAGGCGCGCAGACUGUGCACAGACAAUGACAAUGGGCGAGGCGAGUGGAUGAUACUCUAAAGGUCAACGUCGAUGGGGCAUUCAGAGCAGCAGACAAUACAGAUGGUUGGGGCUUCGCUAUCAGAGACAAUCAGGGAGACGUCGGUGGAUCGGACGCCGGUAGGUUGCAGUAUAUGUGGAGCGCAAUACAGACAAAAGCGACGGCCUGCCUCGAGGCUAUGCAUGUUGCUACACCCUGGGGCAUGACGAACAUUCAGACGGAGUCAGACUGUCAGAAUCCGAUCAGCGCACUCCAGACUACCGAGUUUGAUCUAACACCGGAAGGAACUCUAUUAAGAGAGAUCAGAAUGUUUGCUCGUCAAAGUUUUAUUUCGUAUUGCUUUUCUUCUACCCCUCCGGAAUGUAAUAAGCUAGCACAUUCUUUAGCUGUCUUAGGCUCUAAACGGCAAGCUGUGAGACAACUAUGGGCUGAGGCUUUAGAUGGCGAUGUAGACAUUUUGAGGGCCAGCCUAGACAUUUUGAGGGCCAGCCGUAGUGUUGUGUCGGUGUGAUGUAUGGGAUCGCUGUGUUUCAUUAAAGAAAAGGAAUAUAAAAUCUGGAAAACAACAAAGGCCCGUGAGAAGCACACGCACUAGGUAUCCUCCACUCAAUCUCCUCGGCGCUACGUAAUUAGAACCAGCCAUGAUUAACGGAAGCAGUUAGCGCCGUGCAGUUCUGUGCAGUGCUAGUUUUUAUUCCAUGACAUUCGUUUCGAGGGCGAACAUAUGUUUUAUUUUAUGGAUAAAAAUAGCAACUUGCUGGAGCGACUGUCGUCCCAAUACUUUUUUUCUGUUACUUUAUGAAACUGCUGUAUUUCCGUUCUGUGUAAUGGAAAGUGGUGUUUGCUCGGCUUAAAAAAAAAAGUUAGCGCCACGCUGUUGCCUACUGCGACCCUGCUCGCGAUCAGAUUCAAAUCAUAACUCUCGAUGCUGCCACGCGUGAGGGCUAUCUCCAGCUGCACUCAUUGAUUCUCCAGUUCGGCAACCGAAAUACCAAGGUUAGCACUAGCAGUUUAGUACUCCCUUCGUCUGAAAAUACUUAUCCUAAAAAUACAUAUAAUGAAUGUAUCUAUAAUUAAAAUAAGUUUAGAUACAUUCAUUUCUAGGACAAGUAUUUCCGGAUGGAGGUAGUACUAUGGAUUCCUGUAUUAUCUCUGUUAAUGGUUAACUUGUAGUGUGAUAUUACACAUUACCCCUUCCGUUUUAUAAUAUAAGUCUUUUUUAAAGAUUUUAUUAAAAGACUAAAUACGAAUGUAUAUAGACAUAUUUUAAAGUGUAGAUUCAUUCAUUUUAUUCCGUAUGUAGUCCUCUAGUGAAAUCUCUAAAAAGACUUAUAUUUAGUAACGGAGGGAGUAGAUUUUAGUUUUUUGUUUCUGUGAGAUGGGAUGCCAAUUCUGAAACUUGGUACUCCCUCCGUCCCAAAAUUCUUGUCUUAGAUUUAUUAGAUAUGAAUUUAUCUAGUCAUAUUUUAGUAUUUAAAUACAUUCAUUUCUAAACAAACCUAAGACAAUAAUUUUAGGACUGAGGAAGUAUUUGUCAGCAAUUUUGAAGGAAAAAGUGAUGCCAGGCACCUAAAGAUUAAUUCUUUCUAAGGGUCACUCAGAGACGAUUCUUUCGAAGCACCAUAACUUUUAAGAAAAAAGUGCUGCCAAGCAGCUAUUUAUAUCUUAUUGGCGACAGAAAGCCGGACCGAAACAAAUACAAAUGCGAUCAUAUUUUUAAGUUAUUAUUUUAUUUUGACAGUUUUUCUUAAACAUUUUUGUAUUGUUGUAGUGGCAAAUUAUUAUACAAGUACAACCUUAGACCACAUGAUUUGUCCACCAGAUUGAUAUGAGAACUUCCGCUACUAGACCUGCCCCAUGCGCUCAAAACCUGGCUCCGCCUCUAGGCAUACGAUGCAUUGAUAUUUGCACAAAAUUUUAUCCACUGAUAUUUGGAUCAGACGGUUUUGUCCAUUCGUCAAAAUAGGCGUUGUUGUUUUUAUUUUUCAUUCAUUUAAUAAGGUAUAAAGUAGUCUAAUAUGGAUAAAAAUUAUAUCAGAGUCUUAUCUCACACGAUAGCCUACCGUGUCCGCAACCAACAAUUCGAGUGUUUGAUUCCUAGGAACGCCUCUUUUUUUUUCAUGCACGAGAGUGCGAACGCCGGGUUGUGCAGAUCUGUCGCUAACGUCCGGUCGACUGGACGUUAGCUUUCUCAUAUACUAAAACUAUAUUUGCAAUUCAAAACAUGUAUAUGUACAGGUCCAAUGUUCGAUUCCUAGAAGCACCUCUUUUUUUUAUUUCUCCCGCACGAGUGUGAAAAAAAAUGUAUCUAGCGGUUUCUCGCGCGAGAGAAGCGGAUCGAGCGGUCGCCGGAUCGUGUGGAUCUGUCGCUAACGUCCGGUUGACUGCACGUUAGCUUUCUCGUAUACUAAAACUAUAUUUUUCAAUUUAAAACAUGUAUAUGUACAUAUAGAUUCGUAUUUUGUGCAAAACAUGUAAUGUUCAUAUCUAUGGUGCUGAGUAGAACUAUUGCUCCAUGAACGUUUAUGCAUAACCAUAUGUGUCAAUAUUGUCCACUAAAUUUGUAACAAUCAACAAGAUGAUGAAAAAAUCCUUUUAAAUUGUUUCUCAAACUCUGAAUACAUCCUACUUGUAUAUAUAGUUCAGUUGCGGUCUUCAUCAAAGGGAAAAUUGUGAUGUAAUAAAUCGGUUUCUUUCCAUUUGAAUAAAAUCUUCACCAACUCAUUUUCACAAAGACUAUCAGAAACCAUCUCACAUUCUACAAGGAGUUUUGAAAGACAGAAUUUCAUACAAAAUAUUUUCUCGAAGACAUUAUGCAUACCUUGGCUCCUUUUAGUCAAGGUCAUAGCAUCCCACGUUUUCCCCAAGCAUGUAAAUUUGACAUCCAUUUGUUGUCCUCAAUCCGCUCCUUUUUGACAUGAAACUCGGAUAUGUCUUCCUGCAAACGCCUUUUAAAAUCUGGCAGAAACUUCUCAGGAUGCUUCUGAAUUAUAUGCUCGAGAAAUUUAGUAGAAACUUCUCUGUCUUUCUCAAUGUCCUCGGUUAUUGCAUUUUAUUGUGAUAUACAGUAACCUCUAAUCGGUGCUUUGUGUGACUCUUUCUAAAUACUGAACCUAACCUUAAUGGCAGGGGUGUCGUGCAUCUCAUAAGCUUUGUCCUUUGAUUCGAAAGACAUUCCAGAUUCAGGAACGAUCAGAAUAUUUGUUGUUGUUGUACAAUACAACAUGAGUUGAGAAUGAAAAUAAUACCAUUGAAAACAUUUUUGCAAUACGAAUUAAACGAUAUGCAUGUUUUUGCAACAUAAUAUAGUUAAUAUUUUGUUAGUUAGGCCCUGUUUGGAAUCACAAUAGAUUAUGAUAAUCUGGAUUAUAAACAUAGAUUAUAUAAUCUGGUUUGUAAAACUAAUCUAGGUGGGCAUGUUUGAAGCCAGAUUAUAUAAACAGUAAUAGUAAUCCAUGUUUUACAUUGCAUAAUGACCUGUCUGCCAUCUGUUAGAAAAAAAGAAGGGUGGCGCUCGCAGGAAUGUAAUUAUUGUUAGAGUAUAUAAUAUAGUCAUGUACCUCUUUGUACUUAUCCCAUUGUAUAAGGGGUUUUCAUGCAUAUGUUUCAGACCUGUACAUGUAUAUAUAUAUAUAUAUAUCGGCCUAUGAACUUAUUGGAAUACCAAGUUGCAUAUUCCUAACAUGGUAUUAGAGCUAGGUUAUUUUUUUGCACGCUGCAACUCGUGCGUUUGAUCCAUCUCACCGGCCUCGAUCUCCUACUCCCGUUUUUCUCGAUCGAAGCCCGGCCUUAAUCUCGAGCCCCGCUCGACGCAGCUCUGCUCCCGCUUGAUCUCCUCUCGUCCUGCUCGAUCGAAGCAGGGGGCGGCUCGUCCCACUCGAUCGAAGGCUCGUCCCGCUCCUGGGUCUGCCCGCUCAAAGCCGCCAGCUCUCCCCGAUCGAUCCCCCGUCCUCGAUCUCCUGCCGCCCCCCGCAGGUCUUCAUCCCAGGACGCCGGAUUCUGCCGCUGCCUUGUGGGUUUCGUCGCCCCUCGCCGGAUUCCGGCUGCAUCCUCCAGUCCGCCGCGGAUCAGGCCGCUGCCUCGUCGUUUCUUUUGGAGGCUCCCCUUGCCCGCCUGGACUCAGCCAGCUCCGGUCGAUCCAGCAAGUAGGGAUCGAUCUCCCGGUCGCCCGAUUGGAUCCUGCUGGCUCUCGUGAUCUACUGCCGCCGAGAUUCCUAAAAAGAAAAAAAAAUGUCUGAUGCAUCGGGCUAUGUUGUUGUUUCUUGUUGUCCGGUAAUUUUUGAUGGCACUUACUACACUGAGUUCGUUGGCUUCAUGCGCAUCCAUAUGCGUGGUAUCCGUCUAUGGGACGUUCUUUCUGGCGAGGUACGUUGUCCGCCACGUCCGGUCCCUCCUGUGGCCCCUGUUCCGCCGGUGCCAUUGGUUCUUCCUACAGAUGCUAUCCAGACUGCAAAGGAUGCAGCUAAGCUCGCUCAUGAGGCCGCUAUUCGUGCUUAUGAUGCACAAUUCUUUACUUAUGAGGAGGCUCUUCGGACAUAUCAUGGUGCUCUGUCUGUUUACACGCAGUGGCUUGAUGAUGAUGCUCGUGCUGCACCCGUUCUCACUGCUAGUGUUUUGCCUCAGUUUGCUUUUGAGUUUCUGGGCCUUCCUACUGUCUUUGAGAUGUGGACCUGUCUUCAUCAGCGCUAUGAGCCCACUGGUGAUGCCUUUUACCUCUCCGUGGUCCGUCAGGAGCAUGCUCUUCAACAGGGUGACUCCACUGUUGAUGAUUUCUAUGCACAGAGUUCUGCUAUCUGGCGCCAGCUUGAUUCUCUCCGCAGUGCUGGUUGUCGUACUUGCCCUGCUGCCAGGCUGUACAGGACAAUUUGGAGUUUCACCAUCUCUAUGAGUUCUUGUCUCGGCUCCGUAAGGAGUUUGAGCCCCGACGUGCUCAGUUGUUUGCUCGUGGCCGUAUUACUCUCAUGGAGGCGCUUUCUGAGAUUCAUGCCGAGGAGACUCGCUUACGUGCGACUGGCUUACUAGAGGUUCCCUCUGUGCUUGCUGCUCCGGCUCCUUCUACACCACCUACUGCACCGAGCCCUUCUCGCUCGAGUGGUCCGCCGCUCUUGCCCACUCCUUCUGGAGGCUCAGGCCGCCCCCGUCCACAUUGCGGCUACUGCAACAAUUAUGGUCAUAUUGAGUCCUAGUGCUUCCAGAAGAGGAAACACAUGCGCAAGGCGCGAUCAUCAUCUUCAGGGACUUCGUCUUCUACCUCGAAGCUUCAGCCACCGCUUUGACUGAGCAGGAUAUUCUGAUACUUAAGCGUCUUCUCGCUGCAGCAGGUUCUUCCUCGACGGGUACUGCUGGUUCUGUGACUGAAGCUUCCCGCACUGAGCAACCACCUUCUACACAGUCAGGUACAUCCCCAUGGGUUCUGGACUCCGAAGCUUCUUUUCAUAUGUCUUCUCAUUCUUCCACUUUGUCCUCUCUUAGAUCGCUUGAUUUUCCUGUUCAUGUCCUCACCGCUGAUGGUACUCCUCUUUCUGUUUCUAGUCGAGGCAAUCUUACCACUCCUUAUUAUGUUCCUGAUGUUGCUCAUGUUCCUCGCCUUACUAUGAAUCUGUUUUCUGCUGGCCAACUUACUGAUUCUGGUUGUCGCGUCAUUUUUGAUGUUGACUCUUGUUCUGUCCAGGAUCGUCACACACAUACUCUGGUUGGGGCUGACCCUCUUCGCCGUGAUUCUUAGGGUCUUUGGGAGUUAGACUGGCAUCGCGUUCCUUCCGCUGUCACCACUAUUGCCAGUUCCUCCGCCUCGGUCGCCUCAGCUACCAGUUCCUUCCACCAGUGGCAUCAUCGACUUGGCCAUCUUUGUGGCUCUCGUUUUUCAUCUUUAGUUCGUUGAGGUCUUCUGGGGUCUGUCUCAGGAGAUGUCUCUUUAGAAUGUCAGGGUUGUCGUCUUGGAAAGCAGAUUCAGUUACCACAUUCACAUAGUGAGUCAGUGUCUAAGCGUCCUUUUGAUUUAGUCCAUUCUGAUGUAUGGGGUCCGGCUUCCUUCGCUUCGAAAGGGGGUCAUCUAUGCUAUAUUAUCUUCAUAGAUGAUUUCUCUCGUUACACAUGGAUUUAUUUUAUGACUUCUCGUAGUGAGGUGUUGUCUAUUUAUAAGCGUUUUGCUGCCAUGGUUCAGACUCAGUUUUCUUCGCCCAUUCGUGUGUUUCGUGCUGACUCUACUGGCGAGUAUAUUUCUAAGAUGUUGCGUGGUGUUCUUUCUGAGCAAGGAUCUCUUCUUUAGUUCUCUUGUCUUGGUGCUCACGCUCAAAAUGGCGUGGCUGAGCGCAAGCAUCGUCACCUUCUUGAGACGGCUCGUGCAUUGAUGAUUGCUGCCUCUCUCCCGCCUCAUUUUUGGGUUGAGGCUGUCUCCACCUCCACCUAUCUCAUAAAUCUACAACCUUCCGCUGCUCUACAGGGUGGUGUUCCUUUCGAGCAUCUUUUUUAUCAUUCUCCCGAUUAUUCGAUGCUUCGCUUGUUUGGUUGUGUUUGCUAUGUUCUUCUUGCCCCUUGAGAACGCACCAAACUAAACGCUCAGUCUGUUGAGUGUGUAUUCUUAGGCUAUAGCGAUGAGCAUAAGGGCUAUCGUUGUUGGGAUCCUAUCGGUCGUCGGAUGCGUAUCUAUUAGGAUGUGACUUUUGAUGAGUCUCGUCCCUUCUACCCGCGCCCAUCUUCCUCGACCUUCUCAGUGGCGGAUCUCUCUUUCCUCACUUUUCCUGACACACCUAUCACCCUCAUUGAGCCUUUGUCAGUUUCCACUACCUCUGCUUCUCCAACUACUGCUGAUUUGUCGCCACCAUCUCCCAUAGUUUCCUCACCUAGCAUGUCACCGGAUUCUACGCCUUCCUCUCCGGUGCCUUCUUCGUCUUCACCCCUCGAUUCUACCUUGGCGAGCCCCUCUUGUAUUGCUCCAUCUUUUCCUCAGUAUUACACUCGUCGUUCACGCCAUGUGGAUGCCUCUGCGGAUGUGUCGUCCUCCUCGUCUCAGCCUAACUAUGGCUUGCGUUCUCGUCCUCGUCCGCCUAUUGAUCUCUUUGGCUUUCCCGCCGCUGGUGCUGCAGUUCUUGAGCCAACUUCUUAUCGUAAGGCUAUUGUUCAUCCUGAAUGGCAGUUUGCGAUGGCAGAGGAGAUUGCUGCUCUUGAACGCACCGGUACAUGGGAUCUUGUAUCUCUUCCUCCCGGUGUCCGUCCCAUCACUUGUAAAUGGGUCUACAAGGUUAAGACUUGCUCCGAUGGUUCUCUUGAGCGGUACAAAGCUCGUCUUGUGGCUCGUGGUUUUCAAUAGGAGCAUGGUCGUGAUUACGACGAGACUUUUGCUCCUGUGGCCCAUAUGACCAUUAUUCGUACCCUUCUUUGUCGUGGCUUCUACACACCAUUCGUCUGUCUCUUAGCUUGGUGUUAAGAAUACCUUUCUUAAUGAUGAGCUGCGUGAGGAGGUGUACAUGCAGCCACCACCUAGGCAUUAUGUUCCUGAUGGCUUGGUCUGUCGUCUUCGUCGCUCUCUCUAUGGCCUUAAUCAAGCCUCCCGCCUGGUUUGAGCGUUUUGCCUCUGUGGUGAUUGCCGCUGGGUUUUCAGCCAGUGCUCAUGAUCAGGCAUUGUUUGUCCACCUUUCUCCUCGUGGUCGGACUCUUCUUCUUCUCUAUGUUGAUGACAUUAUCAUCACUGGUAACGACCCCGAGUAUAUUGCCUUUGUGAAGGUCUGUCUUAGUGAGCAGUUUCUUAUGUACGAUCUUGGCCCUCUUCGCUACUUUCUUGGGAUUGAAGUCUCUUCUACCUCUGAUGGAUUUCUUAUAUCCCAGGAAAAGUAUAUCCAGGAUCUUCUUGCUCGUGCUGCUCUUACUGACGAGUGCAUUGUUGAGACUCCCAUGAAGCUCAAUGUUCACCUCCGUGAUACUGAUGGUGACCCCCUGCUUGACCCGACACGUUAUCAUCAUCUUGUUGGUAGUCUUGUCUAUCUAGCUGUCACUCGUCCAGAUAUCUCUUAUCCGGUUCAUAUUCUGAGUCAGUUUGUCUCCGCUCCCACCUCGGUUCACUAUAGUCACCUCCUUCGUGUUCUCUGAUAUCUUCAAGGCACGAUCUCUCACCGUCUAUUCUUUCCUUGCUCCAGUUCUUUACAGCUUCAAGCCUAUUCGGAUGCUACGUGGGCUAGUGAUCCUUCAGAUCGUCGUUCACUUUCUGCUUACUGUGUUUUUCUUGGUGGUUCUCUCAUUGCGUGGAAGACGAAGAAACAUGUCGCAGUUUCCCGCUCGAGUGCAGAGGCUGAGUUGCGAGCGAUGGCUCUUUUGACGGCAAAGGUGACUUGGUUACGGUGGUUACUUCAGGAUUUUGGUGUUUCUGUCACUACACCGACUCUGCUCUUAUUUGACAGUACAUGUGCUAUUAGCAUUGCGCGCGAUCUUGUGAAGCAUGAUCUCACCAAACAUAUUGGUGUUGAUGCUUUCUACGUGCACACUGGUGUGCAGGAUUAGGUUAUUGAUCUUCAGUAUGUGCCUUCAAAGUUACAGUUGAUAGAUUUCCUGACGAAGGCCCAGACUAGAGCACAACAUGGCUUUUAUCUUUCAAAACUCAGUGUUGUUCAUCCACCAUGAGUUUGAGAGAGGGAGGGGGGGAUGUUAGAGUAUAUAAUAUAGUCAUGUACCUAUUUGUACUUAUCCCAUUGUAUAAGGGGUUUGCUGCAUAUGUUUCACACCUGUACAUGUAUAUAUAUCGUCCUAUGGCCUCAUUGAAAUACUAAGUUGCAUAUUCCUAACAAUUAUCUUACAAGGGUAAUGGGUCAUUAGCAAUUCAUAAUUUGAUUUUAGCUGGGGUAGAGUAAAUUCUGAGUUUUUAAUAAUCUGUUCAUCUAGUUUUUGUAAUCUAUAUCAUAAUCUGUUCUGUUUGAAGAUAGAAUAGAUUAUAAAAAACUGAAUUAUAUAAUCUAAAUGAUUUCAAACGGGGCUUAACUUGAUGGUCAAAGCGAGUCUGAAAAUAUAUGCCCGAGCCUUGCAAACCCGAGAGAAGGUAGGUAGCACUUAACACUGGAAAUAAAGACUCCUAAAGAAAUGCCAUCAGAUAUGUGUGCCUUUGUUCUCACACAGGCGUCUAGGCAGAGCACCCCUGCAAUGAACCUGGCCUAAAUAACGAAAAACUAUACCUAUUAGAUUGACUUGCUGUACGUUUGAGACGAUGGAAAAGUUAAUCCACGGAAGUUGUGGAAAGGCAGAGCAGUCGCUGUCGCUGGUGCAUCAGCUCUCGGUUCGAGCCGCUUUGCUGCCACUGCAAGGAAGAAAAUGUGUCGCUGCUGCCAGCUUGAGUGCUUGCCUCCGUCCAGAACCAUGGACGCGUCGAGAAACCAGAGGCGACGGGCCCGCCCGCUCGGCUUGGAGGUCGCGCCCUCGUGCUCCUGCCACCCCCAGUGCACGCAAAUGAUGCCGUCGCCGGACCCCGACGCGGCGUUGCACGUGCUAGCAGCUCGCACGCAUGGUAAACGCAAGAGCUGCCUUUUGCUGCUGGCUUGUGCGUUCUGACUUCUGAGGUCGUCUGAGGUCUGACUGCGACUACUUCUCUACGAAAGCUUCCAGCAUCAAGAUCCAGCAGAAUGGACUGUAAACCUGUCUCUUGUCUGAGCGAUUAAAUACAGUAUAUUCGGUGGUAGGUUCAGCGAAAAGGCAAACGGAAGGAAAUUCAGCUCCAUGGACCUCUUGGCCAAGUGUGAAUCGCGAGGACAUGCACGAGUGCAGCUUGAAGUCCCAGGAGACCGAGUUGACUGUCUCCAAGAACGCAUUCCGGGCCCAGUUCCUGUUCCCCAAAGCAGCACCGGUACCAAAGCUCUCAACUCGGCAUCUUGCUCGUGCUUCAAGACCCAUCAGCAGCUGAAAAGAGGAACCGUCAAGUUAGCCGAUGCUCGAAAGCCGAAUCAGUGUACCCACCGACCAAACCCAACCAACCGCAACAGUUGACGCUCGGAAGUCGAAUCAUGUGCUUGUCCACCUCUCAAAACCGACCGAAUUCAGCCGACGACGACGAGUCGAAAUUCAAUGUCACCGACAACGGCGGUGCAGCACUGGUGUGUGUGUGUGAUCUUGCGUGCGCGGCCAUCUGAUUCACGCCCGCCACCGGUUGUUUUUGGUCGCCGCACGUCUGGGAGUCUGAUGCAUAAACAUGGUUUGAAGGUACUACAUGUUUGGGAACCAUUACUUUAGGUUAGAUCAAAUGGAGGUGAGAUCGAAGCCCCAGGCUCUGGCCUUGGUCACUGAAAUCCUUUCUAGUUGGCCACUACACUUUGCUUGUUGCACGCGUCCGUCGGGCAGAAUGCCCCAUGCGCCCAAAAUCUUCAGCCGCAAGCAAUGGCAGAUCCUUGGAGCAGUUUCACGGUUCACAAGAGAUCGUUGGAAACUACUGCUUGUCAAAUGACAAGAGACAAACUUUGAGCACAUCCAAGUACGUGAAUAUGCUCAAGCCAAUUUGAAAAUGCCGAGGGAUCAGAGUAUUAUAUGGCCUGUGAGUACAGAUGCGGCAUUCCAUGCGCAGGAGAUACGUGCCACACGAAGUUGGGCUUUGACCAAUGGGGCGCCGAAUGUCCCCUAUAAAAUCCACCCUCUCCGUGUUCUGCUUUCUCCUUCCCUUUCCAGUUCGUUAGUUGCACGACAGACAUACUCAACGAACAGUGCCACGGUUAGUCAUGCGGCUGUUAAACUGUGUAAGCUUCUUGCUUGGGGUGGCCAUCCUAUCGGCUACCCUUGAGCAUUUCGUCGCCAUUGCGCACAGAGGUAAUGCUUCUGAGUGCGCAUACUAGAGCUAUAAAGUUUUGCAUUCUUCAAGUGUUCAUUUCCUUCUUAGUCCACAAUCCCAUACUCUUCUAUGAUUAUGAACAUACCUCUGACAUACUUACUCUUUGUUCUCAGAGUUGCUGACGGCAACCGGUAGCCAGAGAGGACUGGAAACCAGGCUGGUAUGUACCGCAAGGGGUUGUCAAAAACUUAUAGCUGUUUCGAUGAAAUGCACUAAACGGGGAUCAUGUCUAACUAAGGUUAGUCCUGGUAUGCAGGAACCCACUGUUGACAAAACCAUCACAGAUGAGGGAACCAAAAGCAGUAUACUGAUGACAAGACGAAAGACGGUCCUUGGGUAUGCAGCCAUGGAGAAGACGGAUGAUAAGAGCACACCAAGCACAGGUGCAACACGUUCUGCUGAGCAAUGUGGGCAUGGAGGAAGGAAGGAUUUGAGCUUGGACUGUUAUUCUAGGAGUAGGAGACUCCAUCCAGGUCCAGGGGCUUACUUCAAUGGCCACAUACCCUUCACCGCCGAUUACCGUAGACCACGGAACCACCCGCCCAAGAACAACUAGGAGCAGAUAGGGUAUAGCCAGACAAGUAACUAUGACUAGCUUGUUUGAUGCUUCUUUUACCUUUUUCUUUUUCUUUUGGUUGGCCAUUGCAUUUGUCAGCUAUGGCCUUCCUUCUUGUUAAAAACCGAGACCAGAGGGCCGGGCACCUUCCUUCUUGUCAGAUAUAGGUGUUUAAUUUAGUCAUCAGUCUGAUAUAACAAGCCAACUAUUGUGUUUCUCCUGUGUCAUAAACUCAUUGUAGUAAAAUCAAGGAAAAAACGUACCUUCAGCCGGUUGAUCGUGCUCCCUCGUCCGCUGGCUCGGCAACCGUCAGAUCGGUCAUUGAUCACCGAUCUGACGGACCAGACCAACCCCGCUUCUGCGUCGGCUGCAACCAUUUUUCUAAAACAGAGUGAUGUUUCAGGAUCGCCUCUCGCAGCUGAGAGCCCGCUUCGCGUUACUCUCUCUUGCUCCUUGAUCUAGGAAGGCGACGGGCCGAUGGCACAGGACGGCAGGGCGCUAGGCGGCCGCAACAUUUCCAGCACGGUGGCGACAGCGACGGAUACUGCCGUGGCGGGCGUCGACUUCAGCAGGUAUACAUGCUCAUCCCUUGCCCCGUCUGUCCCCUAUCCACCCCCAUCGAGAGCCGCCGCCUGUAGAUCGCCGGUGUGAGUGCAUCCAUGCUGGAUCUCCGCCGCCAAACGCCUCCCGACGAAGAGAAAUUUCUGCAACAUGGUCAUUGUUUCUGAAAUACGGUCGUUGUUUCAGGAAUUGUUUCUGCAACGUGGCCGUUGUUUCGGAAAUUAUUUUUGCAAUACGACCGUUGUUUCUGCAACACAACCGUUGUUUGAGGAAUUAAUGAGUGAGGAGGGGACGAGCACUACUGAAAUCAGAGAAUUUGCCAUUAGCGUGUUCUUUACCGUCUGCUGGCUGAUGGCAAAGACCGUCUUUGCCGUUAGCUGCCAAAAGACGAAUGGCAAAGAUCAAACUGAUGGCAAACAACAGUUUUUUGCUGUCUGCUAGCUGACGGCAAAGAUGUGACUGAUGGCAAAAACACUCUAUGCCAUCAGCCAGUGCUUUGUCGUCUGCUUUGUGGAAGCUGACGGCAAAGACACUCUUUGCCAUGAGCUAGCAGACGGCAAAGAUUAGGCAGAUGGCAAAAAACUGUUUUCCAGUAGUGGUUGGGGACACCACUGGUGACGGCGAGGAUGCUGGCGCGAUCGUCGGCCUCCCGUUGGGAGAGAUUCUCUUCGGCGAGUUUGAGCCUAGAGAAGACUGUCUCAAACGGGGGGAGAGGCGCCGUGUCGCCGAGGACGACGCGGAUUGUGUCAGGCCGUUUGUCGAUGCCGUGGAGGAACUGAGUGGUAAGAUCCACCUUAGUGAUAGGGUAGUCGAUGUCGGCGAGACCGUCGGUGAGGAGCUUCAUGUGGCGAGCGUAUUCGGCGACGAAGAGGUCCCCAUGUUUCAGGUUUCGGUAUUGGCAGUUGAGGGUCAUGUACCUGGCGGCGCGAUUGGCAAGGAAAUAGUCGCGGAUGCGCCCCCAUAGAUCGAAGGUGGUGGUGGCGCCGACAACGUGAUCAAUGAGGGGAUCGGCCAGAAUGGAGUAGAUCCAGAGAACAAGGUGGGCGUCGAGUUCACGGAGGUGGGCGUCGGCGUUGGGUGGGAGUGGUUGUUCGAUGAAGUGGGAGACGCCAUAGCCAAGAAGAACAAGGAGGAAGAAAGACUUCCACUUGUGAUAGUUGUGGUCGUUGGGAUUAAGUUGGAACUUGAUGUGGUUCUGGAUGCUAUCGUGGAAGAUGGGGUGGCGGGGCUGAAGAACAGCGGGUGGUGGAGGUGGCGCGGUAGAUAUCGGCGCGGUGGUAGUGGAGAAGAGAGGGGCGAACGAAGAGGGGGCAGAGGGGGUGCCUUGGACGAAAGGACGGGAGGCGGCGGUGACGGCGGGGCUUGGGGCCGCUGCGGUGUCGAUGAUGGUCGCCGAGGAGGAGGAGCUAUGGCCGGAGCCGGUGGCCGGCGCGGAGGGGAGAUCGGUGGUCAUGAGAGAACCUGGCAGUCUGAUACCAAGAUAGAGAAUGGUUUGCUUUCCUUAAUCACAAUGUACAUGAGUGUUACAUAUAUAUAUGAGAGAGGUGGAGUGGCUUCCAAGAUAAGUGGCACGCAGGCCUUGGAGCCGGUCCUAGAUCCUAUGUACAAGGAGGACUAAGUAGUGUCUGUUAACAGCUUAUUCGAUGGCCACAUACCCUUCACCGCCGAUAACCGUAGACCAAGGAACCACCCCUCCAAAAACAAUUAAAAGCAGAUAGUGUAUAACUAGCUUGUUUCCCUUACUUUUUUCUUUCUCUUUUGGCUGGCCAUUCUAUUUGUCAGAUAUGGCCUUCCUUCGUGUUAGAUUUAGUGAUUAUAUAACAGUCACGUGUUGUGUUUCUCCUGUGUCAUAAGCUCAUAAUAGUAAUAUCAGUGCUUUUUCUUUGGAAAGGGUGAAGCCUAUGUUGGAAGCUUUAAUUUCAGAAAAGUCAUACUCAGCAACGAAAUGGAACAAUUCAUGAAUUGAUACAUUAACAUUUUUUGAUGGAUUUGAAUAUUCCAUCGUUCUCAAUAAUAAACACCAUUAACGGUUGAGAUGGGAUAAAGGUAUGUAUGAAUCAAACUCUAACUUUUAUCCAAUAUGAAUCGAUCUCAAUUAAUCCCUCGCCCCUGCGUAUGAAAUUCCAACUCCACAUUCACGAGAAAAUGUAAAUAGCCGUGAACGUGUGUCAAACUGAGGUGGAUUCAGUGAAGGCUGACCGGGGAGACUCUCCCCGCCAUGUGCUCUCCAUUGUGUUGUACCUAUUCAAGUCAUUGGCUUUGCAACCGAUCGUCCGGCGCCAUCGAGGUGUCAUAUAUGCUAACUAUAUAUUCUUUAGGAAACCCAAGGAGGCCAACUGGGUUGAAGUUCCAAUUAUUGUCUGUUUUUAAGCAGAAUUUUCGGAACACUAAAACAUAUUUUUGUGGUACGCGUACAUGCCAGGUGAAAGACAUAACUACUUAUAUAAGAUAAUUUCCACAUGACAAUAUAUAAAUAUAACUAAAAAAUGAAUAUACAAUAUACAUUUUUGAUAACCCAGAAAUGCUAUCGGAAAUAAAAUACUCGAAACUGUCCAAAGGGAAAAAAGAGACAAUCAUUAGGUACAUAGACACCAUGUAUGCAUGGCUCUAUGAAGAAGAUAUGGAGCCUCACUUAGUCCUGAUCUAUAAAUCCUCUCAAAGGCUUUUCUAACUGCUUCAUCACUGCUUCCCACCCGGCAUGUGUGGGGUGCAUGUCAUCCCAAUAGAAAAAUUUGUUUGACUUAUCACACACAUUGUAGAGAAGUUCUGACGGCGAUUCGCCUUGCUGUCCGCAGUAACCUUUCGAGUCUAAACUCUCGCAGCAUGGUGACAUCUUGCGUUUGAACUGCUUGGAUAGCUCUGAGCCUUUACCUGUAUUAAUGUACAUCAAAUAAAAUGUUCAUAUGAAGUAAUUCAAACACACAAUCAAAUUAGAUUACAAAUUUAAAAAAUAAUGAGAAACUUGUGUAUGCAAGUUCACACAUACCUGACGCGUGAUCCACAAUAUUAGUGAAGGCGGUGUAUAGAUCGACAAUGUGGACAUUUUUCUUUACCUCCAUCACUUGUUUCAAGUUACUGUUAUGGAUGGAUGCGCCCAAAUUUCCAAAGAUAUCGCAUGUGGUGUAGUUGUUAUUUCGAGUUUGUGAUGGCGUGCAACCGAUGGGGUGCAAGUUGUUCACAAGAACCUUUUUCACCCCAAUCUUCUGUAACUGUUCCACAUUGGCUGCAAUCUCCUUGGUCACCUUCCCAAUAUAAGCAUUGAUCUGCAUUGCAUACAUAAAAACUAAAUUAGUAAGAUAUACACAUACAUAUUAGUUGUUGAAACACCCUAAAAGAAAUGUUCCGAUUGGUGUACACAUGCAUGCGUUCCGCUGCUAUGCUAGCUACUCACAUCGUUGGGAUUACUUAAGCCGAUGACGCCGGUGCUUGCAUAGUCAUUGCCUGAAAAUGCCACGAGCGCUACUGAGCGACCCAAUUGAUUUUCUGUGAUUGUCCCAUCCUUGACCAUCUUCUUGAAAGUCUGAACCUGGUUGGCGAGGGUGGGGACAUCGUUUGAGAUACUAUCAAACACGCCGGCGCCACCACAAGCAAAGGUCAUGCCUGAGGGGUCGCAGGUUUUCUCCGCUGUGCGGGCAUGCGGCGGAGGGGCUUCCUCUAGGCCCAACAUUGUUGCUGCAAGUAAUUUACAAAUCAACGAGUAGGGUCAAUUAUGAUGCACCAGGGAUUACAUAUUAAUUUAAAACUAGGUGCAUAUACUUAGCUAAAUAUGAGAUUACAGCAUGACAUAUACUCCGUACUUACCGAUAAAAUCUGAUUGGAUUUUAUAGUUUGAGAAGCGACCAGACGGAGUAUUCGGCCGUGGAAACCCAUCGGCGUCGACGUAGCCGGAGCCGUAGGGGUAGGCCCAUUGCCGGGACAUCUCUGUGACAGGGUCAGUCAGAGGGAGGUUCCCGUUGUCGGCGAAGUCAUCCCCGAAGACGAAGAAGGUGUUGCUCGACUGCUUCUUCUGAUGGCCGUCGGUAGGCGCAGGCCGGGCCUCCACACCAUUGGGAUUCAGAACGAGGAGCAGGACGAGGACGAGGCCGAGGGCGGCCGGAAGAAGCUUCAUCGAUCCAAUCCCUGGAGUGAUUUUUCUGUCGCUGCGGCGUCGAAGUCGAACUGCUGCUGUUGCUCGCGAAAGAGAAAACCUCGAUCGAAAUCAGGAGCACAAAGCUAGCUUGUCUGCGAUCCUGGCCUGGUCCUGUCUUCAACUUAUAUAGAUAGAAAAACAUUGCACAAAAGAAGGGCGCUCGGUCGGUCGGAGUCGGGAACCCACUCGCGCGGGUGUGCGUACGGAGUGCACUACGUACACAGUCGGACACGGAUUUCCGUCAUGGACAUGGAUUUCCGAGACAUCAAGUUCCUCUUGAUCCUGCUGACCCGGGAGUUUUGGCUUGAGCAGAAUCGCCGGAUCUUUCGCAAUCAGAUCAUGACUGUGAAGAGAUAUUUUGUCAGCCUCUAGGCCCUCUACAAUAUCUGUAGAAGUGUACAUAGUUGGCCACUACACUUUGCCUCUUCUACCUUGUUACAUGCGCAUCAUCCAUGGGCACAACAGAAUCUUCAGCCGCAAGCAAUGGCAGAUCCUUGGAGCAGUUUCACAUUUCACAAGAGAUCGUUGGAAACUACACUGCUUGUCAAAUGACACGGCACAAACUUUUGAGCACUUCCAAGUACGUGAAUAUACUCAAGGCAAAUAGAAAAUGCGGAGGGAUCAGAGUAUUAUAUGGCCCGUAACUACAGAGUAUUAUAGUGCCACAAAGUCGGGCUUUGACCAAAGUUUGUUCUCACUGUCACUGAUGGCAACCGACAGCAAGGGAGGACCCGAAACCAAGCUGGUAAGAACUGGAAAGGAUCGUCAAAAUUAGCACUGCAUGUUCUGAUGAAAUACGAUAUAUGGGAGGACCGUGUCUAACCAGACUCUGUCCUUGUAUGCAGAAGCCCACUAUUAACAAAACAAGCACGAUAGAUAAGCGAAUAAUCAGAAACAAUGCACUGACAAGACAAAAGGUUGUCUCUGGAGAUGCAGCCAUGGAGAAGACGGAUGAUAGAAGCACACAAAGCUCAGGUGCAAAACGUUCAGCUGGAAAAUGUGGGCAUGGAGGACGGAAGGAUUUGAGUAUGGAGGAUGGAUUGUUAUUCUAGGAGUAGGAGACCCCAUCCAGGCCCAGGGGCUUACUUCGAUGGCCACAUACAAUUCACCGACGAUUAUGGUAGACCACGGCACCACCCGCUCAAGAACGACUAGGAGCAGAUGGGGUACAACCGUACAACCAGACAAGUAACUACAACUAGCUUGUUUCAUAUGCUUCCCUUGCCCUUUUCUUUUAGUUUUGGUUGGCCACUGUAUUUGGCACAUAUGUCCUUCCUUCUUGUUAAAUAUAGGUGUUUAGUCAUGAGUUUGAUAUAACAAGCCAACUGAUGUGCUUCUCAUGUGUCAUAAACUCAUAAUAGUAACAUCAGUUGUCUCACUUGAGAAAGGGUGGAGCUCGCAAAUCCUUGCGUUUGCAAAUUUUCCAACCUUGUACCUCCUGUGGGCUACACUUCACAAAAAAAUAUCCUCAGCAACAAAAUUGGAUUAAUUCAUGAAUUGUUGCUCUCAUUGCAGGAGAUAAAAAAAAAUAGCAUUAAUGGUUUACACUUGAGAUGGGUAAAGGUCAAUAUGAAAUUGCACCUUCACUUUCAUGUGGAAAUACCCAUAGCAGUCUACAUGUGUCAAAUUCAAGAUAGAUUCAUUCAAGGCUAGCGGAGGAGACACUCCCCACCGUGCAUCCUCCUUUGUGUCGUGUAUCCUCUUAAUCCAUGAUCAUGGUGAGGCUGGGUACAUGGAAGUGGAUGAAAGACACCUUGCACAUACAUGACAGAUGAAAGGCAUUACUAAUUAUAAAGACAAAUUUUCACAAAACGAGUGAAAUAUAUAAUAUACAUUUCGAGAAGUCGGAAAAGUUAUGGCCUCUAAACUACUUGAAACUACCCCUGCCCCCUCAAUAAAAAACAAUCGAAAGAUAUAUACAUAGGCUCUGUGAAGAUGAUAUGAAACCUACGCUAAUCUAUAAACUCUAUCAAGGGCUUUUCGAGCUGCUUCAUCACUGCCUUUCACCCUGCAUGCGUCGAAUGCAUGUUGUCCCACUAGAAAAAAGUGUAGGACUUAUCACGCACACCGUAAAGAAGCUCCGAUGAUCACUCGUCUUGUUUUCCACAGUAACCCAUUGAGUACAAACUCCCGCAGCAUGGGGACAUCUUUUGCCUGGCUGGAUAGGUCCUCAUCUCUUGUUUUUCUCCAAUAUUCCAAAGUUCUUGGUUGGUUGAUUUGGCAUUCGAGAGCAAGUCUUGAAUUAGCUAGGCCUCAACGGGAGUAUUUAUAAGUUGGACAUCAUGGUCAUGAGAUUCUUACCGUUCCUCGUGUAAUUGACAUGAAGUUCUCAUUCAUCUUUUUCUUCUCCUUUUGGAAGGGGAGACAAAGCAUGGAAAUUGAAUGAUCACAUGAUUGUACAACAUAUACUCUCGCAUGAUAAAACAAUGAUAAGAUGGCUCUUAAAUGACUUGAUCAACACUCACCACACACUUAGCUAGCAAAAAAAGCAUAUACCCACACACACACCUACCUCUUCCUAAAACAACCAAGUUCAAAGAACAUAAAAUCACACCUGCGAACACUUGUCAUAUGUGGCAUGGACCGUCCUUGAUGCCAUUCCAAGGAAAAGCGGUGAGAGGGUGUACCGAUACCUCAUGUAUCGAUGCAUAUACUGGGCGUCCCAGUAGCGAAUCAAUAUUUUGUUUUUCAAUUUCCAUUCAUUUGUUUUUUUUUACAUUUAUAAAUAUUCUAAAUAAAAAAAAUCCAGAACUUAAACCUAUAAUUUUUUCUCAAAUAUCAUGAAUUUGAAAAGUAUUCACAUAGUGUACAAAAAUUGUGAACUUUGAUUUGAAUAUUGUUGAUAACAUUAAAAUACAUUAUGACACUAAAAAUAUUUAAAACAUAACUAAAAUAGUUUUGAAAACAUUUUAAAAAAUAUCACAUAUAUUUUAAAAAUGAUAAUCAUGUGUUUGAAAAAUGUUAAAUGUGUAUAAAAAUAUUAAAAAUGUGUUAAAUGUACUUAAAAAUGUAAAAAAAUUGGUCUAAGAAAAAAAUGUACACCAUGUAUAGAAACAAGUUGACAUGAAAAUAAUAUUUCAUAAAAUGUUCAUCAUGCAUUUGAAAAAUAUUAAAAUGUAUAUAAAAAAUAUUCUUGAUGUAUAAGAACAAUGUAAAGCAUGUAGGAAAAAAAGUUUACAUGAAUAUUUUUGCAAAAAAUGUAAUAAUAUAUAUAUAAAUGGUAGAGGGAUAUAAUAAACGUUUGAUAUGUAUACUAAAUAUGUACACUGUGUAUGAACAAGAAAAUAUGCAUCAAAACAUACAUUGAAAAAUUGUCAAUCAUUUAUUUAAAAAAUGUUCAACAGCACACAAAAAAUGUUUCCAAUGUAUAUAAAAAUAUUUCAAGUACAUGAAAAUUAUUAAUCAUGUAUAAAAUAUUGUUCCUGUUCUAAGAAAGGAAACAAUGAAAACCGAAAAACACAAAGAAAGCCAAAAAAGAAACAAAGAAACCGGAAGUAAAAACAAAAAGAAAAAUAUUAUAGAAAAAACCCAGUGAAUACUAAGUGAGAAACAUAUAAAAUAGAAGGUAAAAACCGAGAACAGAAAAAGUGAUGAAUAAACGAAAGAAACAAAAAAAAGCAACAACGAACAUAACAAACAAUGAGCGGGUGAAGGAACAUUGCGAUUGGGCUGGCCCAAUAAGCAUUGUUCGAAAAUUCAUUUGAUUAAUCAGUUAACGGGUCAGUUAAUCGUUAUUCAUAAGAUGACCAGCUCGAAUAAUACCUAUUCAUCGCAUUAACUUGCUAGGCCGAUUAAUUAGUCUGGAAGACCGAUUAGCUGGCAUGUCACACCUAUUAAUCGCUACUGGCCUGACCUUUCUGCUUGUCCCAGCCCCUCCCGAUGACUGCUCCCCAACCCCUUCUUCCAUAUUGAUUGGCUAUAUGUUGAAAACUAUGUGGAAAGGUUUAAAUGUUUAGUUGAUUAAUUUCAAAAUUUGUCAUUUUGUGGGUUCGGUUGCAGCCGGAUUAUCAAAUUUGCAUCUUUCCUAUGUUUAUAUAAGUCGACAGUAGAUUAUUUUCUGGUAUAUCACAUAACUGAGAGCGUGAAAGUAUGGUAUAAUACAUAAAAAAGUAUGUUGAUAGGUUUUUAUUUAAUCUAUUGAUUAAUGAUCAAUUGAUUAAUCCAGUUAAUAGGCCAAUUAACUGAUUAAUUGCUACUCCCAAGUUGAUCGAGUAGUUACCGGUUAAUGAUUUUUUAAACAAUGCCAGUAAGUAUGCCACACGAAAGCUUCAGGCGAAACAUGAGUUACUCUUGCUAUAAAUGAGAUAUAAUUCUCGCGGUGGACGAGAACCACCAAAUUUUAUGGUCACACAGGGAUACUUUAUUUUUUUUAAGAACGGUAGAAUGGGCUGGAGCUGAUUAGAGGUGUCUCUUGGGCUGUCCUAUGCGUCGCUCGUUUUGCCUAGCCCAGUUUCUUUUUUGUCUUAAGAAAAUUGGAUAAUUCUUUUUCUUAUUUUUCUGUUCCUUUUUUCCUUUUCUGCUUAAUUCCUUUCCUUUUUAUUUUCUGGUUUAUAUUUUCCGAUUUUUUUUAUUUUCCUUUCGAAUUUGAAGUUAGUACAUUUUUCAAAUUUGAAGAACAUUUUUUAAAAUACAUAAAUAUUUUGAAUUUAUGAACAAUGUUUGUAAAACGAGAAUUUUUUAAAUUUAAGAACAAUUUCCAAACACAAAGUUAGUUAAAAAGUUGAACAAAAUUUUGAUAUUUCUAGUUUUUAUUUGAAAAUACAGAAGAUUUUCAUGAAGUACGGAAUAUUUUCUUAAAAUAUCGAACAUUUUGUUAAAUACCGAACAUUUUUGGAAAUUCCAAAACAUUUUUAAAGUUACGAAUGUAUUUGAAAAACAACAACAAUUUGAAACUUAGAACAUUUUCUCAAAAGCAUAAAACAAUUUUAGAAUUUGAAUAAUAUUUUUUUGAAUCCAAAAUUUGUUUUGAAAAUCUCGAACAUUUUUGAAGUUAUUUAUGUUUUUGAAAAAUGGCAAAUAAUUGAAAUUUAAACAUUUUCUAACCUGUUCCUGUUUCCUUAGUUGUACUCACUUUUCUUCUUUCGCUCAUUUUGCGUCUUUUUUGAGCAACUUUUCAGAGGGAAAAGUGAGAAAAAUAUGAAUGCAAAAACCAGAGACAUGGGAAAAAGUGAGGAAAAUGGUUGACGAAUGGGGAAAAGUGAGUACAAUUAAGGAACCAAGAGCAUAAGAAUAAAAAUACCUUCUUAAAAAAGCCAAGAUAUUUUUCAAAUUUGAAGAAAUUUCUUGAAAAUCCAUACAUUUUUUUAAUUUCUGAAAUCUUUGAAAAACGAUUUUUUUAAAUUUUGGAAUUGUUUUACAGAGCAAGAACAUUUUUUACAAAUUUAAGAACAAUUUUUGAACCGGAAUUAGUUUAAAAAUUGAAAAAAAGUUGAUAUUUCGAACACUUUUAAGAAAUACAAAACAUUUACUGAAAAUAUCGAACAUUUUCUUAAAAUACAGAAUAUUUUCUUAAAAACCAAAAAAAAUUUGAAGAUACCAAAUAUUUUUUGAAGCUAUGAAUGUUUUUUGAAAAAUCGCAACUAUUUAAAUUUUAGAAAAAAUUAAUAAAUCAGAAACAUUUUUUGUACUUGAAGAAAAAAAUUGAAACUCCAGAACAUUUUUCUAGAAUCCAGAGCAUUUUUUGAAACAGAAACAAAAAAGGAAAAAAAGAAAUAGAUAAAGAAAAACUGGUUUAGGGAACCUAUCAAAAGUUUUCCAAAAACGGAGAAAAACGGCUGGAACCUCUAAAAGGUUUCCAUAACUGGGAUCAAUGAAACGUGCUAAUGGCCAGCCCAUUUAAAUCGCUCGCCUCCCCUCCUAUGCGUUUGCCCGGCACUUCGACGCAACGAACGUCAAAUAGGAUAUUCCAAAGGGGUACCCCUAUUUCUUGCUUUAAACAAGCACAGGGAAGCCCGAAAUCACUAAUUGAGGAGUAGAUCUUUUAACGGCCAUUCCCAUCCUCCUCAGUUUACGACAAGGAUGCAGUAUAUGACCGUCACUUGUUGCAACCUGGAAGUUAUUUUUUCUAGAUUCAUUAUUUUAAAAUAUUUGAUCUCUUAAACUGCGACCAAAUGGCGAACCGUUUUCACCAUUGAAUUUCUCGCAACGAGAUUUUUAAAACUAAAUACCAUGUUGAUAAGCUUUGAUGAACUUUUAGUUUAUAGAAAAAACACAAUGAAAAAACCAUACCUCCCGCGGAAGGAAAAAAAACACGUUUUUCCGUUUUCGAGAGGCACGGCCAUUCCUCUCGCGAAAGCGAAACCGUGUCGCUCCUUUUUCGAGGGGCGUGACUGUGUCUCUCGCGGAAGCAAAACCGUGCCUCUUGAGGAAGGAAAAAAACUCGUUCUAUUUUCAUUAUUCGAGAGGCGAAACACGUGCCUUUCGAGGAAGAAAAAAACAUGUUUUUUUUUGUUUCUGACAAACACGACCGUCCCUUUCGUAGAAGCAAAUUUGUGCCUCUCGUAGAAACAAAACCAUGCCUCUCGAGGAAAGUGAAAACACAUUUUUUUAAUUUUCAUGAGUCGUCCCUCUCGCGGAAGUAAAAUUGUUCAUUUCAAGAAAGAAAGAAAAGUCCAUGCAACUCGUUUUGAAAUUAUUAUUCAUCCAAAAGCCGAGAAAGACCGGUGAAUAACCCAAAACGUCAAACAGACAAAAAAACAAACAUAUAAAAAGCCAAAAACACAUGCAAAAAGUAAAACAAAAAAUAAAAUUUGGAUAAAAUGCCCCGACACGUGACGGUGGUUAGAGCGCGUCAAGUGACAGCACGUGAGAGUGGCCCUUCAGUGGCUCCCGGAGAAGCUCUCCUCAAAUAGCUGCUUCCGGGGGAGCCUCCCAUCUAGGGGAACCCAGAUGAGUCGGCUCAGUCGCUUGAGAGGCCAUGACCUGCUUUUUCCUUUUGAUUUAUAUUCUCGACUUUUGCUUUAUUUUGUACUUUUUCAUACAUUAAAGUAUUCUACAUAUACAAAAACAUAAUUGAAACUAUUGGACAAGUAUUUGGAAAAUAUUUAAUAAGUAUUAAAAAAGACACACAAGUAUUUGAAAAAUCUUGAACAAAAUAAAUGGAUUAAUAACAAAGAAACGGAAUGCAAAAAAAAAGAAUGAAAAACAGAAAAAAAGAAUCAAUAUAAUAGAAAAAAAAUGGAGAAAAAAAAUGAAAUAAAACAGGAAGAAAAAAAAAAACGGAGAAAAAACUCGCCUAUUAUCCACCUGGGACCGAACUCCGCUUCAUCUUGUCUUUUUAUUUUAGCAUGCGCGAACGGGUCGGCCCAGUUACCUAUCUUUAGCGAGACUUCUUUGACGACUUGCUUAAGACGCUGCAGACAUAAAUGGCUAGUCUUCGAAAUCACUAAUAGAGAAACACUUUUUAAAAUAUCACUUUCAUUUUCCAAGUUACAACAAAUGACACGCAUCAUUUAUUGCAACCUAAGAUUUUUUUUAAUCCAUUUAUUUAAAAUAUUUUAUCUCCAAAACAAUAUACCCAAAUCUCGAACCGUUUUUAUCAUUGGAUUCCUUGCAUUAAAGUCUUCAAAAGUAGAUCACAUGUUGAGAGGUAUUGAUGAAAAUAAAUCACGACAUAAGCAUCCAAAAUACGACACCUGACGGAAACUGAGUGUGCGUCAAGUGACGUACUCUCAGUUGACCUUGAAUAAUUAUUGGAAGGCUUCUAAAGAAGCGCUCGUCAACUAGUUGUUCUCGCUAAUCUCGUUUUAGCCUUUAAGUGAGAUAUAGCUUUGGCGGUAGAGCUGGCCCAGGUACGCAGGGCCCACGUGCUUUUCUUACCCUUACGGGCUUACCUAUGCAUAUUUCGUGCUGGGCCUUGGGCGCAGUCCAGCAGAGCGUAGGGACACAAGGCCGAAGAAGCCUCCCGACCUAGAGCUCGCACGCCCGCGCCGCCGCUCCUCGCCGUUCCACCCGGGACUCCGGCCGUCGUGCUGCUGCGCCGCCGCCGAGCGGCGACCCCGUCCUGAGCCCUGAUCCCCGGGCGCCAUGUUGCACUGCCGUAGUGCUCCUGUUGCUGCCGUCGAGCACUCCAAUCCCCAACACUGAACACUGGGUAAGAUUUUUCUACCGAGAUUGAACUGAAAUUGAACUGAGAAGUACCGUGUGUUGUACUCGAAUCGACGUGUAUCUGUAUCAAUUUCAUUUCAUGUCAUACAAAUGGACGAUGAAUGGUCUUUUUUCAUCGGCAAUCAACUGCGAAAAUGGGAGGCACAGCUGAAGUAAACCAUUGAUUUGGUACACUUUUGCAUCCAUGUAUUGUUAUUUGUAGUAUUUUUAUUUUCUAUCUAUUUUUAGAUCAUUAAGCAUUGUGUUUAAAUUGCAUAUUUAUUAUGUAAUUGAGCUGUAUAUUGUGUGCCAUCGCAUGGAGUAAUUUCAUAUAGUUAUGGGGGUAAUCUUUUAGUAAUUAUAGGCGCUAAAGUUUUCCCUAUCUUGGCCCCAAUCCUGGCCAUGGUAAACCUUAGACUAGUUCUAUUAUGUACAUGACUUACCUGAGCUCCUCUCCCAUGCUGGCGGCACAGUCGGAGAGGGAGGGGCACACGCCUGGUCACCACAAGCAACUCUCAGCGGAGAGGCCGGAGAUAGAAGAGGAAGGGAGACACGAGAGCCUGUCAACAGCCGUUUUGUUUUAUCGAAUUCACCCAAAAAAAUUCUCUUCAUCAUCAUAUAUACUUGUAUAAAUUUCUUGCUACAGAGUAAACCAUUGCUACGCAAUGUUUAUGUAUACACGUGCAGAUCAGAUUGAUCAACUAAGCGGAAAACAAAACUAAGGAAAAAUAAUCAAUGGAACCGAGAGAAAAAGAAUAUGCGACGUGCCGAGCACAUAUGUACCUAUAGGAACCAAUACAAACUACAAACACAUUCGGAGCAUUCGUUUCCGGCUGGUUGAAAUUGGGCCGUUUGUCCUUCCGUGCACUGCCACUGCAAGAUGAAUCACCUUCUCUGGAAGUUGAGCACCUUGAUGGAGAGACCGAAGGCGACAGCAAACAGGACGGCGAACCCGGCAGUGACGACGGCGACGACACCCAGGAAGUCGUGCUCGAAUCCGAAGAAGCUCUUGAGGAAAGCGUCGAUGGGCUCGCCGCUGUCGAGAAUCUCCGUGAGGUCACCGAACUGUGAGGCCACCAGCCCGUAGAGUGUCCAUGACACAGGGCACACCCACGAGUACCACCUCCACCACACCGGCAUCGUCGGCCGUGAGAUGACGAAGCCCGAGAAGAGGUUCCACACUCCGUAGAAGAAGGAGGAGACGAUGGAGGCGAUGUUGUAGCUGGGGGUGAGCCCCACGGCGAGCAUGCCGUAGUAGGUGAAGUAGAGCAGCGUGAAGUACAUGAAGUAGAGGUACCAGCAGAACUUCUUGGCAUCCCACUCGAAGCCGAUCAUGGCGUAGACGAUCACUCCGUAUGCCAGCGACUGCACCAGCACGUAGGGGAGCUCCACCACCACCUGCCCGAAUGCGUACGGCAGCGCCGAGUACAUCCCGGCCGCCCGCUCCCGGUAGAAGACCGUCCGCUCCACCGCCACCACAGGCUGCACCGACGAUGAGUAGGAGAUCCCCAUGAAGAGCACCGCCGCGUACAUGGAACCCAUCGCGUUGAACAGGUCCUGCUUCCUUGACGUCUUGCCCCCGAGUUGCCAGAAUAUGGUUCCGAACAUGAGCGCGACGACGAGGGAGAAGAAGAAGCGGACCACGGUGUACUGGGGGUUCCUCCAGUAGGACAGGUGCUGCUUCCACAGGCACGCCAUGCACUGGGUGAUGGAGCUCUGUGAGUACUGCGUCGGGAAGUAGAGAUCAUUGGAGCCAGCAGGGGCCCUGCUUAGGUCCCUGAUCACGCUCUGGUUUCUCCUGGAAAAUAUUAUCAUACCAUAUGUUGUUUGUCAGCCCAUCAUAUCUCCAUUGAUCAAUCCUUGAGCAAAAAUGCAAAUUUAAUGACUUACUGGUACAGAUCUGAGUUCUUGUAGACUUCUGCGAAACUAACACCUAGUAUGUCUUCUUGUGCCUGUGAGGUCACUUCCAGCAUCCAAGUUGCCGGAUUGUACCCUGGUUUGAUCUUGCUGACCCGUUCGAUUCCCUGAGGAAAUUAAAACCAGCAAAUUGUUACUAUCACUCAAAGCCAUGCAAUGCAAGAUCUAAAAAGAUCUUGAAAAGGAGGAAAUUAAGAAAGAUCAAGCAUUUUUCAGAGAAGCCAAAGUUACCUCAAAGUAUUGGAUGAGAUCACAUGACUGGUGCCCUAGAGGACCCACGUAUAUCUCCUCCCCUCCUCUCUUCAUCAGGAACAGCUGCGAGACAGGAAAAUGUCAAUUUUGGAAACAUGCAUGAAAAAGUGAAUUUCUGCUAUAGUUAUAAUUACCUCAUCGAAGGCUUCGAAAAUGUCGAUGCUAGGCUGAUGGAUGGUGCAAACAACUGUCCUGCCCGUGUCGACAGUGUUCCUCACCGUCCUCAUGACAAUAGCCGCGGCCCUGGCAUCAAGGCCAGAGGUAGGCUCAUCCAUGAAUAUUAUAGAGGGGUUAGCAACAAGCUCGACCGCGAUCGUCAGCCUCUUCCUCUGCUCCGUUGACAGGCCGUUCACUCCAGGUAGUCCAACAAGCGCAUCCCUCAGUGAAUUCAGUUCUACCAGCUCCAUCACUUGCUCUAUGAACAUCUGUUAAAAAUGAUACAAUGGAGUUGUUCAGAUCAGAACAAGUGUAAUGUAUCCCUGGCUUGAGUGCCCGGCCCAGAACAAGGACGCAUAUAUACAUACCUUUCUUGUUUCUGACUCGACAUCGGAAGGCAGUCGGAGCCAUGCGGAGUAGACCAGGGACUCGUACACCGUCACAUUUGGCGAGUGGAUGUCAUUCUGCUCACAGUAACCUGAGAUACGAGCGAAGGUCUCCUGCUUCUUCGGGUAGCCGGAGAUUGAGAUGUCGCCUUCAAUGUAACCUCCAGUCUUCCUGCCAGCCAACACAUCCAUCAGCGUGGUCUUGCCGGCGCCGCUGACCCCCAUCAGCGCUGUCAGGACUCCCGGCUUGAAACUGCCACUGACUCCCUUCAGCAAAAGCAGCCUAUCUUCAUCAACACCUUGUGCUUUCAUUUCCUGUUAUGCAACAAUAUAUUUUGUCAGCAAGUUAAAUAGUUAGAAACUGAAAGAUUUAGAACUCAAUCAAAUAAUAAUUGAUAUGAUUGAGUUUCAGUGCGCAGAUUAAGUUCUAAUGAUAGCGAUGUCAUUAGAACCAUUGAUGGGAGUUGCGAAUCUGUUGAAGGGCAUUACCGCAGGCAUGUCAACAGAGUAUCUCAUGUUGUUGAAGGCAACAGCAAGCGGUGCAAAGGGCAGGACCAUUCCCCUCCUACCACUGCCAUCUGGGGCGGCAGAAUUUCUCCUUGAGUUGUUGAUGUUCCCUGCAUAAGAGAAGUUUGGCCCUUUAGAUGAUAUUUUGCCAUGACUGUGUGCAUCAAUCAUAUCAAUGAUGCAGACGCUGGGGGUUAUCCUCCUUUUUAUUUUAAAAAUGACAUGUUGCCAUGUUCAUUCAUAUCCCAAUUGCUACUGCAAGUGGCCUUACCUGAGACCGCAGAGAUAGAGCCAUCAGGAGUUUCGCCGGUGAUACUGGCAUGCUUCUCCUUCAGUACAUCCUCUGAAAGAAUUUGCUGAGAUUUCCCCAACGCUGCAUGUUUUUAAAAGAAAUGUACUCAGAUCAAGUGCUUGAACAAAAUAUGCAUUGCAAAAUUCCAUUCUAGAAGCAUUGGAUUACGUUUAAGGUAGCUUAGAGCGAGGGUGAAGAGGAUGUUGAACACGACGACGUAUCCCACGAGUGCCCCAACGCCAAUCCAGUACCAUUUUGCCUCAGUGAAAAAGCCCCUGGACUUGAGCACAUCUAUUCCUAGAGUUCUGUUGGACCCCUGGAGAACCUGCAAAAUAGUUUUGACGAUCAGAGCUGCCGGUAGUAUUACGUUAUGUCUGUGACCAAUAUUUUCCUUGUCAAGAUGGAAACAACACGACAUACCCGUUGCCAUUUGUCCCCAAGGAAUUCAUUUACAGCAAUGGCGCUCAUGGCAUACUGAAGAGGUGACAUCCAGUAGCCCCAGAUCCACCAUUUCUUCACAUCAUCUGUCAUAAACAAGCAAAUAUGAAAAUCGUGUCUCUGAAAUUUACAUUUCAAUGACCUAGUGAAUAAUUAUUUGUUGUUCCAGGAGAGGAGCAUUACGAUGCGACAGGACGAAUCCACUGAGCACGAGCAGCACAAGAAGUGCAAAGGACGCCAGUGUAUUUGCAACAACCAUGGUCCUGCCCAAUGCUGCGAUAAACCUGAACAAUCCUGCAGCCAUCUGGUUGACAAGCAACAGCAGCAAGUACUGCUUGAACAGCCUGCAUGCAAGAAAACAACUAGAUAAUUAAUAUUGGUACGUAUUACUUGUAGGAUCAUGAGUUGUCUUGUCAUGGUCUUCUUCCAGACAUAUAGUUUAAUUGGUAGUCUGCCUCAGCAAGAUGAUUGAUAUUUGACGCGUACCUUCCAACAUCUGGAUCGAACCCAAUGACGUAGUAACCCAAGAAUACUGUGAUGGCGACCUCAACGCAAGAUAUCGGGAUCUUGAGGACCCAAGUUGGUAUGGCGUAAGCCCAUGCAGGGAAGAAGAGGUAAUCCCUUUGCUUAAAGAAGACCGGCAAUUUUAUGGUGGCCAAAGCGAGCUCAGAGAAACCGUUGAACAUGUGGGCAACUAUAGCGAAGAACAGAGCACCCAGGUAAACAAUGCCGUCGUUAACCGUACCAUGGUGCAUGUUUGUGCGCAGGAACAGUGUCAUAACGAUUACUGUCAUUACCAGAAGCUGCAGAUGGGUAUCAGGUAGUUCCAUUAGAUCAUCAAUCAAUCUCUUAAAAGUACAAAGAUAUGCCUAAAACUUAAAUGAGAUGGUAAAAAAAUUAGCUUUACCUGAAAAGCCCGGAAUUGGUAGACAAACAAAUUCCUUUUCAUGAGCAACCACUCCCUCUCGAUGCACGCACGCAGCAGCUCUGUCUUGCUUGCGCCGUAUGUCGAGGUUGUCAGUGAAGCAGGGUGGCACUGGCUCCUGUCGAAAGGGCGAGAGAGCUCUGCAGAUAAACUCUGGCCAACAUGAAAUGCCUGGAAUGCACGGGCAAACUCCUUGACUGGGACAUAUUGGUAUCUCCGGUCACUCCUUGACCAGUAUUGUGGCUGAUCUUUCCUUGAUGUCACCUAUAAGUUUUACAAACCGCUGAUGUUAGUAACUAAACAUCAAUUCAAAACAUAUACUUAUGACUCCCUCCAUUCCAAAUUAGCUGAAGUUCUAGAUUUGUCAAACUUAUUUAAGUUCGACCGAGUUUAUAGAAAAAUAUGGUAAGAUCUGAAACAUUAAAUAUACAUAGUAUGAAAAUAUAUUUUAAUAUUGGUAUAUUUUGAAGCAUUUCAGUUGACUUACUUCUUGCAAAAAGUCGGCGACCCCUUUCCGGUCGGGACAUUUGAAGCCCAUGGAUUCGAAGAAUUCAAGCACAUGUUCACGUGGCCCUUGAUACACAAUGUGACCAUCCGACAAGAGGAUUAUGUCAUCAAACAAAUUAUAUGUUUCUGGUGCAGGUUGCAACAAGGAAAUGACAGUUGUGCCACUGAGGAUGUUGGUGAUUAGUCCAAGUGAUUUCACUAUCUGGUAUGUGGUAGAGCUAUCCAGGCCAGUGGAGAUUUCAUCCAUGAACAGUGCUCUUUCUGCUCCGACCAUCAUCUCACCUUCAGAAAAAUUCAUGUAACCAAGGGUCAGCAAAUGCUCAGACUCAGAUUCUACUAUGACAACGAGAUGAGAUGUUAAUGGAGAUCGUAUAGUGUACGACAGAAUAAUCAUGAGAAGUAUAUGUUGUGGUUCUAAAAAAAAUCUUGGCAAUGAGAUCAGAUGUUCAAGAAAUUUGGAAGACUUGAUAUUUUUGUUCUACAAUGUCCUCCACAAUUACGCAGGCAUGAUAAUCAUACUGUCUAAGAUUUUUGUAAUACCAGACUUACCAGUUGUGACACGUUUGCGCUGCCCCCCUGAGAUUCCUCUCAGCAUAUCAUCUCCGACCAUGGUGUCAGCGCAAAUGUCAAGCCCUAAAAUCUGCAGGGUUCAGCAUAACAGCCGGUCAGAACUUUGCACAUUGAGUAGCAAGGUAUUGUUGUUGGAUUCAGUACCUUGAGGAUGUAAUCAGUGAUGAUAUUUGUAUCCUGACCGCCCACUGAUAUUGCCUUCAUGUAGACAUCAAGAUCUGGGUCUGGUUUGAUAUUUGCAGCCUUCUCCCUUCUUGAUAGCUCAGUAAGCAUGUCUAGGACAAGUUCAUCAGAAAUCAGCACACAACUAUGAAGUGAGAGGAGUAAAUUAUCUCCCAUAAUGCGGUCAAUUUUGAGCUCACCGUAUCUGCUUCCGACCCCUUGGCAUCUGGCUGAGAAGGCCAAGGUUUCCCGUACCGUCAUCUCGGCGAUGUGGAGGUCAUGUUGGGAUAUGUAAGCUGCUGAUCUCUGAGACACAAACUCAUUCAUUCCAUGCCCAUUAUAUGUCACUUUCCCGGAAACCUGGUUGGUUUGAAUCAGACAAAUGUAAGUUUCCUGGAACUUUAUAACAAAGAAAGAUUGCUGUAAUCAGUCAAGUUGAAUAACCUUUAGGUCAGAGCCUAGUUUCCCUGCCAAAGCAAGAAGCAGUGUGGUCUUCCCUGAUCCUGGUGGCCCUAAUAGUAACGUCAUCCUGGAUUUUUCAUGAAUACCGGACGUCAGACCAUCAAGUGCAACUGAUAUAUGUUGCUGAAGGACGGGACAGAUACGGGAAAUCGACGACUACUGAAGAAUGUUUGACAACAAAGUACCUCUUUGGCUUGAUAAUUCCGUUGACAUCGUGCAGGAUGUUCAUCGGGAUCUUCUUGUUGGGAACAAUACGGAGAAGAUUCGCUAAUGUCUGAAGUGGAAGGCAGGCGCAAGCAAAAAAUGGUCAGGCUUGAAGAAGAAGAUUCCCUAGGGUUCAUGAGAAUAUGUAGUAGCUGCAGCACUCUUAUUAGUACCUCUAGAGAAUUCAGAGUGGUGUUGAUGAAGGUGGGCAAGCCUCUGUUCCCCACAUGUGCCAGCGCCUCGAUGUUGAGGUGGUCGUAUCGCACUUCGAUCGUCGGAAAGUCGAUACCAACUCUGAAACAAAUCAGCAGCAGGGUGGGAAAUUCAGCAUCUCUUGUUGUGCUUGAUUCCUCACUAAAACGGGAUCGGGGCUUUGGAUUGACAAGAGGAAGUCUAUGAAUGGUGCAAAUGUUCAAAUGUGUUUGGAAAUAUUUCUGUUUUUAGCAAAUAUAGUCCGGCUAUCCUGUUCAAAUGUUCAAACGUGUUGGUGGUAGGUGAGAAGAGUAGAAAGAGGUAUGCAGAGGUGAGGGAGAGGCACCUGUCUAUCCUCUGCUUGAGCUUGAGCAAGAAGCGCUCGUGGUCCUCCUCGGCGACGCGCACGAGCCGGUCGAGCAGGCGCGUCCUCUCCUGGAACCCGAGGCCUGCGACGUCGACGAGCCCGCCGCCGCCGCCCCCGCUGCCGUCGCCGGGGACGACGCCCUUGAGGACGCGGGCGUGCGUGGGCAGCCGCUCGAGCGACGCCCACAUGAGCGCCUCCUCGUCGUCCUCGUCGCCCGCCCUGGACGACGACGCCCGGGAGAAGACGCCGCUGCCGCGCUGCUCCCGGUACGAGCCCAUCCGCAGGCUCGCCACCCCGAACGCCGCCUCCCCCGUGUCCAUGGCUGGCUGCCCCCCUCCCAGAAAGAAGGAAGGACGGUCGGAUCAAGGUUCGUGCAGGAGAAUGCGCUCCGUUCUUGAUCGUUGACGCUCGGAGAGAUCACGAAUCCAAUAACACGCUGUAUGCCAGUUGCCAGCUUCCUGGUUUGCUGAAAGGUGGUUGCGGAGCACGAUAUAUAGCGGGCUGGCGGCGACCGGGUUGGUGGAGGCAGCAGCGGCAGCAUCGGCAGGGGUUUGAAAUUCCAUUCCACGGCGGCGGUCAAGGGUGAAGGUAGAGUUAGGAGGGUGCAGUGCAUCCUGUGCUCUAGACUCUAGUGGCCCACUGGCGCCGGGGCGGGGGAAGAAAGGCGGGAAGCUUCCGCACGGGGCGGGCUUUCCCUUCCGCAGCGCACGCAGUUGAACCGGGGGGAAUGCGGAACACACUUUGGCCGUGGCCGUGUGGGAGAGGAAUCUGGGUCUGAGUCAGCCGACGUUGCCUUUUUAAUUAAAAAUCAGUGAGGAACAGGGGAGGAGACUCAGAUAUUCUAGAAGCUGACGGUAAGUCCUCAGGGCCUCUUUCCUUUUCCCUUCCUGUUUUAUACUCCAUCCGUUCCAAAAUAUAAGACUUUUUAGAGAUUUUAUUAGGAGACUACAUACAGAGCAAAAUGAGUGAAUAUACACUCUAAAAUAUGUCUAUAUACAUCCGUAUGUAGUUUAUAGUACAAUCUCUAAAAUGUCUUAUAUUUAGAACCGGAGGGAGUAUUAUAAAAGCCGAAAAGGUGAUGGGAUCCACGCAAAAGUGGAUGACUUAUAAGUUUUAAGUUGGGGUGGAGCAACUUAUGACUUAUAAGUUGAGGUGACUUAUAAGUUGGGUCUGUUUGGCAAAAUAAGUCACCUUUUGCAUUUUUCAACUUAUAAGUUGGUGACUUAGGCCCUGUUUGGAACCAUAAUAGAUUAUGAUAAUCUGGAUUAUGAAGAUAGAUUAUAUAAUCUGGUUUAUAAAAUUAAUCUAGGUGGACAUGUUUGGAGACCAGAUUAUAUAAACUGUAAUCCAGGUUUUACAUCGUAUAAUGACCUGUCUGUCCUCAGUUUUUUUUAAAAAAAAGAAGGAUGACGGUGGUAGAAAUGUAAUUAUCUCCAACUUUACAAAGGUAAUGAGUCAUUAGCAAUUCAUAAUCUGAUUUUAGCCGGUAUAGAGUAGAUUAUGAGUUUUUAAUAGUCUAUCCAUCUAGUUUUUAUAAUCUACACCAUAAGCUGUCUUGUUUGGAGACAUAAUAGAUUAUAAAAACUGGAUUAUAUAAUCUGGGUAGUUCCAAACAGGCCUUAUUUGAAACCAAACAAUCCCUUAUUAGUGUAUCGGUCUUACGUAGAGAAAAUAUCAACGAAAUUGGUCCUUGUUCCGUGACGCGCCCGGCUUGACCUUCUCGUUGAGGCUCGCGGAAAGCCAUCAUCGCCAUCUCCGUCUUCGCGCACGUUUGAUAUGCUUUCCAGAUAAAUAACUCCACCCAUCAUGACGUGGUAUAACCGUUACGAACUCUCUCAGAGGCGUGCAUCGGUGCAUGCACUUGGGCACAGCCGUCGCUCGCAUACACGACGGUGACUGAUUGUGCUAGCAUGCAUGCAUGCACGUGACCCGUUUGUUCUUCUAUCUAUAAGUGCAUAUCCGUUAACUCCUACAUUUCCUAUCGUAAUCAUGUUUUCAUCCCGUUUUAUACAUAAAUCAAUCACCACGUCCAUAAAUACAUGAGUAGUAGCGCAGGUUAUAAACCCCACGCUGCUACUAAAUUGACUAGUUAAAGCCCGUGCGUUGUCACGGAAUAUGAAAAAUGAUGACUUUUAUUCAUUAAUCACAGUACCCUUCAAUAUUUGAUGUGCUUACUUUGGACGUGGGAUGAUCUGCAUCGUUGGAUUGAAAAGAAUGUACCAGUUGCAUUUAUUUGAGGGUUUCAUUCGUGCUUCAAGUUUUUACAAAUAAAAUUCUUAAAUGAGGUUAUGGUACAUGGGCUGAUGGGCAAAUCAUUGAAACGGUAUAAUCCAAAAAUGAAGACUCACAAAUAUAAAAUGAAGACCUUUCGAUAAUUUUGUCUCUUGAAAUUAGCACAAAGGUGAUAGAUUGCCGGAGGAGACAUGAUGCAACUGAGGACAUCCGCUCCAUGGAGAAUGAUGAUGUCGGAGCUGUGCCUAUGGGUCAACCUUCUGUUCCCGAUGAUCCCCUUCUUCACCAUCACUACGAACUCCCCGUCAUCGAUUCAAUCAGCCUAAUCAAAUGUAUUAUAUAUCGAGGACACAUGGUCAAUUUGGAUUUCAGAUUUGUAAUCAUUAACGAAAUAGUACAAACUAAUGAAUGUAAUUAAUUGAAACCAAUUAAUUAUUUUGAGGCAGAGACUGGAGUGAAUAAACAUACGCAUGUUGUUAUUGUUGACCUCCCUAAUGAUGUGUUGAUACCGAUGACAACUUGUAUGGUGUUCUUCCGAGAGGCAUGUUCUACCCCCUCAACGGUUGUGUAUCCGUUGCCGUCUUUGUCGAAGUAGGCUAAGGCAGCAAACAUGCGCUCCUCUCUUCCACCACGGCCAACCCCGAUUCUUCAGGGACACUAAACGCAGCCAACCCCCCUCUCUUCCUCGCCUCCACCGCCAUGUCCCUGCAACGGGCACGUCGCCUCUCUCCCACGUGCUUUCGAGAUCCAGAUCAAAGACCGAGGGAGAUGAGGUGGAGCUCUGGGUGGGAGAUGUACAUGUCAUGAGCUUGGGGGACGAUGGAGACGGCGGCGGUAACCCUAGUUCGAAGGAGAAAAAGAAAAUGAAAGAGGGGACGAUGGGUAUAGCAAAAACGUGGGCUGGUUUCUCACAGUGAACCGGUCGGUUGCUCGCUGGUUUUUUGAAGGGUAUAAUUGGAGAAAAUUAGUGGGAGGAAGGACGUGGGUGACUGCGAGGGAGGAGGUAUCGGUAGACUGGGAGGAGGUGGUCGAACCAUCACGACAGACGGCAGAUCCCUCUUUAAUAGUAUAGAAAAAAUGACAUCAUUGAGGUGGUACCAAUCUUGUGAAAAAUAAAUUAGCAACCUAAUUAUCAUGCUUUCAUCCAUUCUCUAAAGGAGAAAUUGUAGUUGACACUUGAGACAGAGUGAUAAAUAAAGAAGAAUUGAAAUAUCGUAGUUGUCUGAAAUUUUAAAUCUCAUAGUAUGUAUAACCAUUUCCAUCUACAUAGUCACCCAUGCUUGAGUGGGCAAUUAUCAAGUUGAAGUUGUUUUAUGUUUGGAAGCUACAUAAAGCAACCUGUACACAUCAAGAUAGUUCUGUUAUUCAGAGAAGAUACAUUUAUCUUGCAUUACAAUUAAUUAAUAUUGAAAGAUGUGAUGAAUAUACUAUAAAACACUUCAGCACUUUUACAAAGUAAUUUCGCCGUACAUAUUAAGCAAUACACAAUAGUAACAUCUUCUAAAAUGUGAUCCUGAAAAGAAAUGGAACAAUAGAAAUUGCAUCAAGUGGAUGAUAGCAUUCCCUCUCAAUGGUUUACGUACUAACACCGCUGGUAAAAUCCAAGGUUUUGCAUAAAUACAAUAUCAGGGGAGUUUAGAUCAAAUUGGUAGCAUUUUUGUGGGUCUAAGUUUUUUUUCAAAUCUUGGGUGCACAUAGGUGCUCAUUCACUGGUAUCUUUGUGAAAUUUUGACUAACCCCAUGACAACAGGAAACUCUUGAGUGUAGCUAAGCAAACAAAAUGAGCAGAAGUAGCAUGGGAAUGUUCAACAAAGUUAUAACCUUGUCUUGAGAAAACAUAUAAGGUUCAUAAUUUCUAUCCACGUAAAAUAAAGUUAUAACCUUGUCUUGAGAAAACAUAUAAAGUUAUAACCAUAGGAAUGUUUCUUUUUGCCAGAUCCUGGGGCCGUCCUGUGCGCUUGCCGUCAGGAUUCGAGUUGGACCCCGCGCCACCAGACUGCCCGCCCGCCUCAGCCUUCACCGCCGAGCCGAGGGUCCCGUCCGGCCCGUACUUCCUCGGCCGACCCCUCUUCUUCUUCACGAGCUCCCCGCCGCUGCCGCUGCCGCUGACGCUGACCACCAGGGCGCCGCUGACGGGCUGCGGCAUGCCCGGCGGGGCGGCGGAAUCGGGUCGGUACAUGGCCAGCGGCAUGUCCGCGGGCUUCAUUGCCAGCGAAGAGGCGCCGGGCGACGCCAUGGGGUUGAAGGCGAGCGGCAUGUCCGCGGGCUUCAUUGCCGGCGACGAGGCGCCGGGCGACGCCAUGGGGUUGAANNNNNNNNNNNNNNNNNNNNNNNNNNNNNNNNNNNNNNNNNNNNNNNNNNNNNNNNNNNNNNNNNNNNNNNNNNNNNNNNNNNNNNNNNNNNNNNNNNNNNNNNNNNNNNNNNNNNNNNNNNNNNNNNNNNNNNNNNNNNNNNNNNNNNNNNNNNNNNNNNNNNNNNNNNNNNNNNNNNNNNNNNNNNNNNNNNNNNNNNNNNNNNNNNNNNNNNNNNNNNNNNNNNNNNNNNNNNNNNNNNNNNNNNNNNNNNNNNNNNNNNNNNNNNNNNNNNNNNNNNGCGUCUGCUGCUGCUGAUCCCAUCCGUCCAUCUCGCGGCGAAACCCUAGGCUCGCCAAAUCGGCCGCGCUCUCCUCGGCCGCGCCGCGCGUCGUCGCUCCGAGCAGCGCGAGCGCGGUUAGCGGCGGUUGUACGUGAACCACCUCCACACUUGAAAAACUAUAAUCAAGGAAAUUCGGUGAGGAGGGGAGCGGCAGGAGCGAUGGAGUGGGGGAAGUUGGGGGCUGGGAGUUGGAUGCGUCGUGCGGGGGGGGGGGNNNNNNNNNNNNNNNNNNNNNNNNNNNNNNNNNNNNNNNNNNNNNNNNNNNNNNNNNNNNNNNNNNNNNNNNNNNNNNNNNNNNNNNNNNNNNNNNNNNNNNNNNNNNNNNNNNNNNNNNNNNNNNNNNNNNNNNNNNNNGGGGGGGGGGGUGCCAGCGGAUUUUCCAAUCGCAGAGGAAGAAAGAGAUUUUUUUUUAAUUAAACCGACUGGUUUUUGAAGGGUUGAAUAAAAAUCGGUGGUGGAACGUGGGUGGGAGGGUAGCGAGCGUUAGCCUUGGGAGGUCGAACCAUCGCAGAGGUUGAACCAUCACGACGGCACAUCCUGCUUUAAUAGUAGAGAUAGUAGUAGUAUAAACCCCGUACUGCUACUAAAUGGUCCCAACCAUGCCCCUCGGAACAACGUCAAAGUAGUAGUAGCGCGGGAUAUAAACCCCAUGUUGCUACUAAGUCAUCCAUAUUGUGAGUGGCGGAGCUUCAUGGGACCAACUUGGACGGUGGCCCCCUCACCCCAAGAAAAAAAUCAGACUAAACCACAUAGCUUUUAUGCCCUAUAUUCAAUAAAAAUAGGCUAAAACAUGUAGUUUUGUCCCUCCAUAGAUUUGGCCCAACUCCGCCAUUGCAUAUCGUGCCUCCUCUCCUGGGACAAGUCAUAGUAGUAACGCAGGGUUUAAACCCCGCGCUGCUACUAAUUACAAGGUUUUUUAACAGCCAUGAAAAUCUCUUCUCCUUCCCUAAAUCCCUCCUCUCUCACGUCCUUCUCCCAAGAUGCAUCGGACUCGCCUCAUCGCCGUUGCCUCCUCACACCGGUCGACCACGAGGCGCCGGCCCUGCCGGCGACCAGAACCACCAUGUGCUCAUGUGCUCUCUAUCUCUCCCUGAGGAGAUAUGACUGUACGGUCCGUCAUGUUGCCCAAUCCAAGCCUCAAGGGCAACUUCAUUGACGAUCCAAUGCAAAAAAAACAAAGUGCAAUAUAGUUUGCGAGGAGAUUACGAUCCUUGGGUCGAUCAGCCACACCCGACCUGAGUCUCGGGGGCUACUUCACACCGUUUUAAUGUUCCUGAAGUAUGUUGUUGAGCAAGGAUUCGAUCCUCAAACGAAUUUUGUGAAUCAGUCGGAGUCUCGGGGGCUACUGGGAUCUGCGGUUUUAUGUUAUCCUUUAGGUGCAUCCCAUAUUUUAGGCCGGCACAAACCUUAAGGGCAGCUGGCUAUAUAUUUCAGUUUAAAUAAAUUACACUAAUCAUAAAUAUUUCAUGAAAAAAUGUCGCAUGGAAAAUGGCCUGGCAAAAAACUUUUUCCCACGAAGGCCAACCAUCUACAUCGACAACUCAAGACCGAGGUGGUGCACCACUUCGAAUACAAUCUGGCAUGAAGGCCAGCUAUGAAUGGCUGCCUGCACAUGAGAGUUUUAUGGCAUGAAGCUCGGCUAAACCCCUUCAACUUUUUCAAGACCGAGGUGGUCUACGUCACCUCGGAUGCAGUCCGACGUUGGAACUCGGCUACAGUAAGGCACCGCCACACGGGAAAGACUUCAAACCGAGGUGUGUCAUGAAAAUAACAAGGCAUUUGAUAAAGGACGAAAACUUAAAGGAGCUCAUGGAAUUCCCAUCGUAUAUACUCCUCAAACAUACUUCGACAAUCCACAUGGACAAAGAUGGGAAGAUUUGAUAAACCAGCUUUCAAGACCGACGCCCAAAGAUGAGGAGCAGUUCGGGAAAACUGAGGAGUAUCCUUGACUUGAAGACGGGAUCAAGGGAUACUAUUGGUGUCCGAGAACAGGGGUACUUACCAUGUCGACUCCUGACCAGGUGGGUCGGGCCGAGGACCCCCUUUAUUGGUUGCAUCCUGGGCCACUUUGGGUAGUUGAUACGUCUCCAACGUAUCUAUAAUUGUUUAUUUGUUCCAUGCUAUUAUAUUACCAUUCUAGGAUACAUUUUGAGUAACAAUUUAAAAAUUUAUAUUACUUUUGAGCAAUAACCUAUUAACCCAGUGCCCAGUGCCAGUUGUUGUUUUUGCGUGUUUGUUUUUUUACUUUUUUAUGAUUUUUCGGGACCAAAAGAAAACCUCGAAGCCUCGGAAGAAGAAUAGAGCCCAGAUGAGGGAGGCACAAGCCAACAAGGCGCGGUCAGGGUGUCGGUGCGCCCUGAUGACUUGUCCGUCCUGGUGACCCUCCUACCUCCGUUCUUUAGCCUUUAAUUCACAUAUAUUCCAAAAACCCUAAAGAACAUCGGGAAACACUUUUUUCGCCACCACAAGUCUAUGUUCCACGGCGAACCCAUCUGGAGCUCCAUUCCGGUACCCUGUCGGAGGGGGAUCGAUCAUGGAAGGCCUCUUUAUCAACCUUGGUGCCCUCAUGAUGAUGUGUGAGUAGUUCACUAUAGACCUACAAGUCGGUAGUUAGUACUUAAAUGACUAUCUCUCUCUUGAUCUUCAAUACAACGGUCAUCACAUCUUCGCUUUGAUCCAUCUGAUGUAGUACUUUUGUAUGGUGGGUUUGUUGUGAUCCUAUGAAUUGUGGGUUUAUGUUCAGAUUAUUCAUUAAAAUUAUUUGAGUCUUCUCUAAAAUUAUAAUGAUUCUUAGUUGCAUGAUCAUUAUAGCUUCAUAAAUCUCUCCGGUCUAUUGAAUUGCUUUGGCCAAGUAGCUUGAUAAUUCUUCAGUGAGAGGGGUGCAUUGUAGUGGCUUCAACCUGGCGGGUUUCUAUAUCUUAGUGACAGAAGGGGACAAGAUACGUCUUUGUGUUGUUGCUACCAAGGAUAAAACGAUGGGGUUUAUUCAUAUUGAUUGAAUUUACUUUGUCUACAUCAUGUCAUCGUUCUUCAAGCAUUACUCUGUUUUUCAUGAACUUAAUACGUAGAGAGGCAAGCAUAUAAGCGCUCUUGAAGUAGAGUAAUAGUAGUAUGUGCAGGCAGGAGUCGGUCUAUUUGCUUAUGAAUGUGAUGCCUUUAUACACAUGAUCAAUGCCAUGAAAAUCGCAUAACUAUCCGCUUUUUUGUCAAUUGCCCAACAGUAAUUUGUUUACCCACCGUAUGUUGCUUUCACGAGAGAUCCCACGAGAGAACACCAUGGCCCCCGGGUCUAUUCACUUCUAUAUUCAUAGAAAUUAUCUUUACCUUGCUUCCUUUAUUUGUCUUUUAUUUUAUUUUGUAGUUUACAAUUAUCUACACGCCUUAUUUGCUUGCCAAUAACGAGAUCAAGGGGAUCGACAACCCUUUUGCCCACAUUGGGUGCAAGUUGUUUGCUCUUUUGUGUGUAGCCGCUGAAGAUGGUUAAGGAUUGAUAUUCCUAUUGGCUCGAUAAACCUUGGUUUCUUAACUAAGGAAAAUACUUACCUGUAUUAUGCUGCAAUUACCCCUUCCUCUUCACGAAAAAUCCAACGCAGAUCACAAGUAUUAGGAAGGGUUUGUGGCGUAGUCCCGGGAAAUGUCAUCACCAACUAUCAAGUAACUUCACACAAAUUAUCAUUCACUUGUUCUUCUUUUUAUUUUCUAUUAUAUUUUACUUGCUUCAAAAAAAUAAAAAAUAAAAAAUAUUUAUCUUUGCUUCUCACUAGUUCACUUCUUUGCUCGCUAUUUUACUUGUCCUGCUUGUCAUGUUUUCUUGAAAGUUGUUAUCAUGUCUGAAUUUGAGAAAGUUAUCGUUCAAAGCGCUAGUGAAGAUAUCAUUAGUGACUUGGAUGAAUGAAGACUAAAAUUUAUUGGUUCCACUCAUGAUCCUGCUACAAAUCAAGUCCCUACUAGUAAUACUCACAUUCCAAAAUUUAUCAUGUGGGCAAUGGGAACAUUAUUGGAAAGCAUGUCAUCCAAGAAUUCGCCCUANNNNNNNNNNNNNNNNNNNNNNNNNNNNNNNNNNNNNNNNNNNNNNNNNNNNNNNNNNNNNNNNNNNNNNNNNNNNNNNNNNNNNNNNNNNNNNNNNNNNCAUAUGAUGGAGAAUUCUUCCAAGAAACACGUCUUUCCAAGAAACAUUUCAAGAACCGCCGUGCUUCACCCAAGAACAUGGAAGUAGAUAACGACAAUGAAUCCGACUCCACCCCUGAGCCGGAACCAGAAGACCUAGAACUCGUAGAGGUUACUGAUGCGGAUGACCUGUCAAUGCUUCAACGAUUAAAGAAAGGCCUUUCACAACUUCACGCCGUUGAACCCGACGAGCACGUCAUUCAUGAAGACAUGCGUGAUAGUGAUGAUGAUGAUGAUGCAUUUAUUGAUGAUGAUUAUUAGUUUGUAAGAUUCACAACUAAAAUUAUAUAUAUUUUAAUCUUUAUUAUUCAUGUCAGUUAUUCAAUUUUUUUAUGUUGUACUAAUUUCUUUUAAUCUUUAUCAUGGCAGGUCACCAGGUGUUGAAAGAUGGUGGGCGAUGGUCCAGAGCGCUCGACGGGUUCUUCCCAGCCGCCCCGCACGAGGGGUGGUACUUCCCUUCCACCCCUAUGUCUCCGUAGAGCCUUGGCAGACAGUCUGUCGACACCACCCAUGGGUUCUUCUUCGUCGGCGGCAUUGCCCACUGGGAGAGGUGCUGGUUGGGUAGGGAAGAAGGGGAAGGGUACACGGAGAGGUGGUGGCCGCGGAAGAUCCAGGAGGACUGUUGAGCCGUCCUCGCCACCACCACCAGCUCAUUCACCCGAGCAUAGGACUACUAUGGUCGACCCGUUUGCGGAGGAGGCUACGGGGACUCCGGUCCAGGAGCUUGGUGUUGACGGGCAUUCGUCCCAUGAGACUCUAGUCCAGGAUCAGCCUCGGGUCGAGGUGCAUUCGGCCCAUGAGACUACGGUUCCGGAGGCUUCACCCGACGUGGAGAGGCCCGGAUGGGCUACCUGGCCGGAUCGGACCGAGUUGCCAGAUUGGACCGAGGGUCCGGGUGGCUCAGGGGGCGGGGAUGGCGGGGAUGNNNNNNNNNNNNNNNNNNNNNNNNNNNNNNNNNNNNNNNNNNNNNNNNNNNNNNNNNNNNNNNNNNNNNNNNNNNNNNNNNNNNNNNNNNNNNNNNNNNNAGAAGAGGAGAAGAGGAAAAAUGAAAAGGAAGACAAAAAAGAAGAAGAGAAAGAGAAGAGAAGGAGAAGGAGAACAAGGAGGAGGAGAAGAAGCAGAAGGAGGAGGAGGAGGAGGAGAAGGAGGAGAAGGCCAAGGACCUUCUAGCCUUCUCCUCCUCCUCCUCCUUCUCCUCCUUCUUCUUUAUUUCUUCUUCUUCUCCUCCUCCUCCUCUUUCUUCUCCUCUUUCAUAUUCUCCUUGCCUUAAUUUCCCCAACAAUGACAUAAUUAGCCCUUUAGCUUCAAAAUGCCAUAAUAACCUCAAAAUGGCAUAAGAACCUUGGUUAACUCAUUAAUAUUAUAUACUUAGCUUGUUUUCCUCUAAAAUGGGAUAAUUAGCCCAUUUAGCUCCAAAAAGACAUAGUUAUCUAAUUUAGCUCCAAGAAGAGGAGAAGAGGAGAAGAAAUAGGAAAAAUAAAAAGAAAGAAGAAGAAGAAGAAGAGAAGAAGGAGAAGGAGGAGGAGGAGGAGGAGGAGAAGGAGGAGAAGGCCAAAUACCUUCUAGUCCUUCUCCUCCUUCUUCUUUAUUUAUUCUUAUUAUUCUCCUCCUCCUCUUUCUUCUCCUCUUUCAUAUUCUCCUUGCCUUAAUUUCCCCAACAAUGACAUAAUUAGCCCAUUUAGCUCCAAAANAGGAGGAGGUGGAGGCAGACGGAAAAGAAGGGGGGGAGGCAGAUGACAAAGAAGAGGGGGGAGGCGGACGGUAAAGCCUCCGUUAGCCCCUAACGGAGGCAACGCCUGCCGGCUGCCGUCUCAACAUAUUUGUCGACUGCUCUUAUGAAAAGCGGACGACAAAGCUUCGGUGAGGCAGACGGCAAAGAAGNNNNNNNNNNNNNNNNNNNNNNNNNNNNNNNNNNNNNNNNNNNNNNNNNNNNNNNNNNNNNNNNNNNNNNNNNNNNNNNNNNNNNNNNNNNNNNNNNNNNAAGGGUAUGUGGCCAUCAAAGUAAGCACCCGGACGGAGUCUCCUACUGCUAAAAUAAAAGUCCAUACUCGAAUACUUCCUUCAUGCCCACAUUUCCCAAACAAACCAUUUACACUUGAGCUUGUCAUGCUUCUAUCAUCCGACGCCAGAGAGGAGCCUAGCAAGCAAAACAAUCAUAUUGUUUUUACUGAGUAUUUCUUUUCUUNNNNNNNNNNNNNNNNNNNNNNNNNNNNNNNNNNNNNNNNNNNNNNNNNNNNNNNNNNNNNNNNNNNNNNNNNNNNNNNNNNNNNNNNNNNNNNNNNNNNNNNNNNNNNNNNNNNNNNNNNNNNNNNNNNNNNNNNNNNNNNNNNNNNNNNNNNNNNNNNNNNNNNNNNNNNNNNNNNNNNNNNNNNNNNNNNNNNNNNNNNNNNNNNNNNNNNNNNNNNNNNNNNNNNNNNNNNNNNNNNNNNNNNNNNNNNNNNNNNNNNNNNNNNNNNNNNNNNNNNNNNNNNNNNNNNNNNNNNNNNNNNNNNNNNNNNNNNNNNNNNNNNNNNNNNNNNNNNNNNNNNNNNNNNNCGUCCCCUCGCCUGUGGCGUCGGUGUGGGCCGCGUCCAUGGGCCAGGGCGCCGCGGUUAGUGGGUCGCGGCGGCGCGGCGGGUCUCUGCCGACGACGGCGGCAGGUGGCUUCAUGGUGCGUUGGGCUGCUCAAUGGAGGGGCGUGCUUGCGGCUGCCUGCGCCAAAUCCGGCGUUGGGAGACGUGGGCGACGUGGGCCAUGGGCGGCACGGGGUCGGUGGCUGCUGUGGCUCCUAGACGGCGGUGGCGGCCGGNNNNNNNNNNNNNNNNNNNNNNNNNNNNNNNNNNNNNNNNNNNNNNNNNNNNNNNNNNNNNNNNNNNNNNNCUGGACCUUGCUGGAUCUGCAUCGGGGGAUCCUCCGUCCGCUGUCUCCUGGGCGACGCGGGUUGUGGUGCCGCGGGCCGGCCGUAGCCGGUGGCUUCGGGUGCUGGUGGUGGUGCGGCCUGGUGGUGUGCCCUGUCGGGAGGGGCCGGCGGUAUGGCCGCGGCNNNNNNNNNNNNNNNNNNNNNNNNNNNNNNNNNNNNNNNNNNNNNNNNNNNNNNNNNNNNNNNNNNNNNNNNNNNNNNNNNNNNNNNNNNNNNNNNNNNNGCCGCGGUUAGUGGGUCGCGGCGGCGCGGCGGGUCUCUGCCGACGACGGCGGCAGGUGGCUUCAUGGUGCGUUGGGCUGCUCAAUGGAGGGGCGUGCUUGCGGCUGCCUGCGCCAAAUCUGGCGUUGGAGACGUGGGCGACGUGGGCCAUGGGCGGCACGGGGUCGGUGGCUGCUGUGCUCCUAGACGGCGGUGGCGGCCGACCGUGGUGGCCUGGCGAGGUUCGGUGGUGGCGGUUGUUGCUGGCCGCUGCUGGAGGUCCCGGGGUGGCGGGCGUGCUUGGGCGGCGGCGCUGGACCUUGCUGGAUCUGCAUCGGGGGAUCCUCCGUCCGCUGUCUCCUGGGCGACGCGGGUUGUGGUGCCGCGGGCCGGCCGUAGCCGGUGGCUUCGGGUGCUGGUGGUGGUGCGGCCUGGUGGUGUGCCCUGUCGGGAGGGGCCGGCGGUAUGGCCGCGGUGACCGGCUUGACCGUGGUGCAGGUGGAGCGGGUUCGUGGGGGCGGCGACGCUCUAUGGUGGUCGUGCCCCCAUCGACGGUGCAGCGUGGCGGAUGUGAUCCUCCUUCUCCUCGGUCUAGAAUGGCUAUGACCGGGGGCGCGUGCUCGGGAGGAUCUGAUCGGGGCCCGAGGCGUGUCGGAGUUGCUACUCCGGGUAGGUGUGAUUAGGCUCGAUCCGGGAUGUACAAGCGGUUGGCGAGGUCCCUCCCUCCGUUGGUACGGUGUUCGUUGGUGGUGGUCGGGACUUCACGGUACUGUCGGGCAACACGGAGUCGAGGGCCACAGAUAUGGCGUUGUCCGAGUGUAGUCGGCGACGGCCGUCGGGAAUCAGGGAGGUGUGUCUCCCCUAGUCUGCCGAGAUUGGCUGGGGACACAGGGUUGGGCCCCUACUGUGGUGGCGCCGGACCAACCUCUGUGGCUCAUGCCGGGCUAGGAGUGAAAUCUGUGGACUUUCGCUCUUCCUACCAUGGCAGGUACUCUCUGGUGUGGGCAGUGGGUGAGGUCCUGGACUUGGAUGCCGGAGCGGCAGCUCCGGAGGGUGGGUCGCUUGGUUGGCUCUUUGGCGGGCGCCGUGUCAGCGAUGGUGGCUUCCUUCUUGGUUCGUGCGGGCGACGAGAGGGGUAGCAGUUGGUGGCUCGGGCGCGUCCUCUGCUGGACGUCGCCCAGAUCUGGAUCUGGGGUAUGGGCAUGCCACGCCUGCCCUAGGGUCGCGGUGACUUUGGAUGGGGUGCCGAGCCAAAGCUCCGCGCUUUUGUGCCGGCGACGGCGACGCUUGCGGGCGCCGUUCUCUUCUUGAAGAAGUCGAUGUGGAUCUCCUCUCCGUGUCAGGUUUCCGGGUGAAGACCCUUGCCCGGUGGGGCUAGGCAGCGACGACGCUCUGCGUCGUUCUCCCUCUUGUGGGCGUUGUCUAGGAGCUUAGGGGUCCUAUGGUGUUUCGUGAUUGUGCUCCAUUCUUCUUGUAUUCUCCUUUGAUAGUGUUGUUGUUCUGCUUCGCGGUUCGGCUAGGAUCUGCUUUGUAAGAGGGUCAUCUCACCAUCAUGUAUCGUUCAGCUGUGUACUUUGUGCGGUUUGUGCCUUUAUCUAUAGAGGGGGCGAAUGCCUGUUUCGAGAAUAUUUAUUUUCUUCUUUUUUAUCUUUUCUUCGGUUUUCUUUGUUGCAUUCUUUUGUUUUCUUAGUGUUUUUUCUCGGUUUUCAUCGUUUCCAUUCUCAGAAUAGGAGCAUUUUUUAUACAUGAUUAACAUUUUUUAAAGAAAUGAAAAUUUCUAUGUACAUGUGAAACAUUUUUUGUGUACAUGUUGAACAUUUUCUAAGUACAUGAUUUUUUAAUAUAUGUUCUGAUGUAUAUUUUCUUGUUCAUACACAUUAUAUAUUUUUGGUAUACAUAGCAAACUUUUUAUCCCUCUAACAGUUGUCAAAUACAUGAUUAAUAUUUUUUCACAUAUUUUUUUAUAUAAGCUUUUUAUCAUACAUGUUAUUCAUUUUCAGAUACAUCCGGAACAUUUUGUUACACGUUUAAAUUUUUUACGGGCACCUGGGCACAAAUGCUCCUAGUGUGAACAGUAAAAAUAUUCCAAAAAUAGAUUUUUUUAUGAAAUACUUUAAGAAAUGUUUGUUGUGCAUGCAAAAAAUUUAUCAUAAAAUCAUAUUGAUGGAAGGCGUGGUAAAAAAUUGAUGCUCUGAAAAUGUUACUUUCAAAUGCAUGUUGGAUGUUUGAUAAAAAUUUUCACAACUUCCACGAAUAUGAUUUCGUGAUGAAUUUUUGCAUGCACAAUAAAAAAAUUAAAUUUCGGCACAAAAAGUCAUAAUUUUUGAAAUCUUUUUCUAUUUUUAGUUGUACUGUUCACGGCAUGAGCAUUUUAGCUCAGGUGUAGAAAGGUACUAUCGAUUUAAGGACCGUCUUAUUAUUGUUUCUCAUGCAAGAGUAUAUGUCGUAAAAUCAAGUGAUCAUUCAAUUUUCGUGCUUUGUGUCCUUUUCAAUAGGGAAGAAAAAGAUGAACUGAAAACUUCAUGCAGUGAGUAGUUCAAUGUCAGUUACAUGAGGAACAGUAAGAACCUCAUGACCAUGAUGUCCAACUUAUAAAUACUCCCGUUCAGGUCUAGCUUGUUCAAGACUUGCUCGCGAAUGCCAAAACAACCAACCGAGAACUCUGGAAUAUUGGAGAAAAACAAGAGAUGAUGAGCUAUCCCAGCAAUUUAAGCACAAGAUGUAAGCACAAGAUGUCGCUUAGCAUUUGGAUUCAAAGGGUUACCCCGGACAAGAAGAGUCCUCCUCGGAGCUUCUAUACACGGUGUGUGAGUAGUCAGAUAAUUUUUUCUACUCGGCCGACAUGCACCCAACGCAUGCAGGGUGGGAGAAAAUAAUGAAGUGGCUGGAGAAUACCUUGAGAGAUUUCAUAGAAGAUAGAUUAGGACUAGCUUAGACUAUAGCUGUCCUGGAUUCUCAAAAUUUAUAUUAUAUAUUUGCAUCCUUUUCUGGAAAUUAUCUUUAGAAUUAGUAAUUAAUGUCUUUCAUCUGUCACGUGCGUAUGUUUUUCAUCCACCUCGAUGUACCUAACCUCACCAUGAUAUCAUGGGUAGCGAGGACACCCAGCACAAAGGAGAACACACCGCGGGAGAGUCUCCCCGGCUAGCCUCGACUGAAUCCACCUCUGAGUUUGACGCAUGUAGACUGCUAUGUGUAUUUCCACAUGAAGGUGGAGGUGUAAUUUCAUAGUGACCUUUAUCUAUCUCAAGAAUCAACCAUUAAUGUUGUUUUUAUGUCUUCUGCAUUGAGGGCAAGAGGACAUUCAAAUUCAAGAGAAGAUGUCAAUGCAUCAAUUCAUUAACCGAUCCAAUUUCUUUGCUGAGAAAUAUUAUUGUGAAGUCAAGCCGGUGGGAAGUGGAAGGUUGAAAAAGUUGCUGCAAAAACUUCACCCUUUCUCAAGUGAGACCAUUUAUUUUAGGGGACUGUUAGGCGUCCACCCACGGAUGCGCGUUAUACAUCUGUCAUCUCGUUGGCCAUUGGAUCUACACGUAGGCAGCCGUCGAUCGCUUGUCAUGUUCCGCUCCACUACAGGAAUCAGACCCUUUGACGUCUGCCUGCCAUAGCAGAC
rnacentral:lncRNA from 1 species